UGAAGUCAGACAAUGUAAAUCAGUUCAACCAGUUAGUCAAACAACACGAUGACCAAAUAAGUAAUGGGCACUUGGCCACCAACAGUUCCUCGCAACACAAAAACCCACGUCUGGGUGGAAAGGUGUGAGUCCAGAGGAUUGGAGGAAAAGGGUAAAUGUUGGGUGGAGUGUGUGUGUGUCCGGAUUGAUGGGCUGUACAGUAAGGUGAGCGUGUUGCGGCUACAAGGAGCCCCUACCAGCCUGGCAGGAGAGAUGUGGGCUUCCUGGGUCUGUAGGUCACUUCCUUUUAGCUCGCCAUCUAAAAUCUGAGAACCUGGCCUGUAAAGCCAGGGUUCAAGUAAAUCACAAUGUCACAAUCAAUAUACAUUGCUCGAAUUUCAGUGUAUACACAUGUCUUUUCAAUCAAAGUACUGCAGUUCAAUUCAAUCUCAACAUAAUCAUCAUAAUCCACAAUAAGUAUAGCACUUGUCAUUAGUCCAAAUAAAUAAAAUUUACAGCAUCAAAUACUCAAUUCAUUCAAUACAUUAAAUUCAGGAAUCAAUGUUACAUAUUAGCAAUCACAUUUUAGAGUUAAGCAUUGGCAUCAUCCAGCUAACACCAUCCAUUCAUCUGAAUGGAGGUGGCUAAGCUAUCAAGACAAACAAUUCUGCUCACCAGUUCACAGUUCAAUCUUCACAUCUACAGCCCUCCUCAAAUCACCACAGACUAGUAGCGGGCUGCUAUGAGUUCAAUAAAGUUUGUUACAUAAAGUUGUCCGUUUGUUUUAGUGAAGAACCAGCGAAAAUGGAUAAAAACCGACCUGUUGCUCAUGUGUCUCCUGCUUCCCCACUGCUUCCUCUCACACUGAAUUACCGCGGUAUGAUAAACAAACGUGAUUGGCGCCGCUGCGUCACAUGUCGGCACGACGUCAUUGCGUACUACGUUCUGAUUGGCCGAGUGGGCCAGGUAUCGAUCUCGCGAGAAUAGGAUCUCGCGAGAACGGGAUCUAAGAAUACCGCGAAAAGAGAAGCAGGAACUGAAUAUGGUAAACAAUGAGAAGCAGGAGCUGAAUUAUCACCUGAGUUACAGUUGGCAGACUGUCGGGCAGCAAAUUAUUCUGUCAGGAUUCUAUUGGAUUGAAAACAUUGAGCUCUUGCUCUUUUUAUUUUCAGUCUUCUUAGUUCAGGUUUGACUGGUGGGUAUGAUUGGUCAAAAGAUUUGUGCUUUGACUUGUAGUGACGCUUGAAAUUGCUUUUUUCAAUAUUUGCUAUAAUAUCAAAGCAGAGGCACACCGGUAUGAACAGCCUGUGGGAAUAAUAGGAACAGCUCAUUCUUGAUAUCAGCUCUGUUUUCACUGUGAAAUCUUCUCUUUUCAGAGGCCCUGACUCACUGUUUUUUUCUCCCAGAUUGUCAGUCCUCAGAUGGCUCCCCCUGGUGUGCAUCCUGGUAUUACCCACUACCCUGACGACAUUCAAAGAUCUGACUGGCUCAUUGCUAUCACACGUGAUGUUUUACAAAGGUUCCAAGUGGCUGCCUUGGACAGAAUAAAACUCAACAUUGUAAGUAAUCAACAUUUAUUAUCAAAUUAGGGUCUAAACAGAUAGUAUCUCAGUCUGAAUCCAGGUUGUGUUAUGCUCUGUAUAGUUUAUAUCACCAAAUUAACUUAAAAUUUAAAUUUAAGUAUAACCGUCUUCUUUUUUUUUUCUAAAAGAGGGCAUAUUUUUCACAUCAGACCAAGCUGGGUGAUACAAACUUCAGAAAAAAAGGAGAGAAAAGAAAAAAAGGCAAAGAGAGAGAGAGAGAGAAAAAAAACCCUGUUGGAUCCCCAAACUCUGAAAGUGUCAUCAGAACUGAAACUUAUCCUUCCUGCCUGCAUCCUCCACCAGAACAGUGACAUCCACAUGACUUCUGAACCAAAAAUCUUCAGAGGCAAGUCUGCUCAAACUCGUGUGUUUACACAUCCAAAUUUAGUACUGAGGAUUCUUUGAAAGCCGACAUCAGUCUGAGGACAUGACUGUGUUCUGAUAUGAAAAGAGUCAGAACUGGGAGAAACUCCUGCUGUCUCUGCAUCUCCUGCACAUCAUGGUGCGUAAAAGUGACCUUACCUCAACCCUGAAAAACGCUGCCGUAGAAUAAUCCUAAUUAUACCAAUCCAGAUGUUGAUCUGAAGCUGUUUCAUGCUAUGAAAACCUUUGAACUUACAUCAACAAAGAUGUUGGUUGGAACCAGUUUGCUAUGUUGGACACGUCCAGUCCUGCCAGAGAACAAAAAGUCCAUGUAGCCUGAUGCAGCUCAGCUUUAUCUUUCUCCAGAGACUCCUUCACUGUGCUCAGCUCAACUUAACCAGAGUAUGUUCUUGUGAGUUGCCUCAGUAUUAGUGUAUAAUGGCAUUAAGAAGAUUCCUGGAGAACAAAUUGGGAUGUUUUGUGUUAAAAUGAGGAUGUCAAAUCCAAAUAUCUCCUGCAGCUGGUAAUAUAUCCUUUCUCUCCUGAACAAUGCUGUUGGGUAAUUUUCUGAUUGAGUUAAAAAUUUUGAUCCACUUAUUUCCAAUCCUUUUUAAGAAGUUAAUUUGCUGGAUUAUAUUUAUCCGGCCUACGGUCGUCAUUAUUCUAAACCCUUGUUGUUGCUGCGCUGAGUGGUAGAUUCAUUUAAUCCAGUAAUAUAUUCAUCAUUAAUUGUUCAUCUCUGAGUCUUUGCAAACAUGCAUUUACCUUUAUUUUUGCUGUUUGAAUGCAGUUUAACAUCUCAAAUUACUUUUUUAACCCUUGAAUACCUUUAUGACUGCUUUUGUUUCAAACCAAGUCUAAAAUUAAAUGUAGAGCAAGAUUCUAAGUUGUUAUCAUUCUUAUUAAUGUUAUACUUUCUUUUGUGGGUGUUAGUAAUCUAAAAGUAUUUUGAUUACAUUUGUGUUGCUCUGUCUCAAUGAAAUAAAAGGCUCACAAACUAAGAGCUGAAAAGUGGUGGGAGUCUGCUCCUUCCUGUUAACUCCAUAAAGUUUUCUGAUAAUAUGAUAAUUAAUUUUUUGAAGUUGCAUGCGCCUCCACAAUAAUACCAGUCAUGGUUCUCCUCUGAUAUUGAGUUCACAGAGGUUGGCUCAUACAAGAAUGAGAUAUUUAAGUCAGACUUUAUUUCAUUUGAAUCUCAAAUGCCAUUUUAAAAAUAGAGCCAGUACACUGAGAGCCGCUCUGUUCUCAUCAUCACUUUGUCCUCUAUCUCUUGGUGACACUUUGUCAGAUACCAUGACACAGAGGGAUAUACAGCCAGCCUGGAAGAGAGACUGACAGAAAGAUUAGAUAAAAUAAAUAAAGUAUGUGCACGAAAUCAUAGCCUUGUGAGUCUUAACUUUUUGUGCUUCCUCCCAGAGGAAAGUGCAGACAAGUGAUUUCAGAUUGAAGGCCCUAAACACUCUGAUGUAGUUUUACCUCAAGGGACCUUAUUAGGCAAUGGGUCAGUACACACUGCAGCCCGAACAAAACACACUCUUGUCGCCAUGCCAGCACUUGUCUUGAUUAAUUAUCAACACACGUUAUAUCCAGCUGCCACAGGCAGGGAGUGAGAAGAAAGAUUCAAAAACAUAACUACCACAACAUGCUACCCUUCAGAACCAGUUUACCAGUUGAUUCAACUGGUAAAUUAGUAUGUGGAGGUUGUCAAAAACAUCCCCGGUUUAAUAGGCGAUGGGAUGCUGUUAUGAUAAAGUUAUCCUGCAAAUCCUUAAAAGGCUUUGUUGACCAGAAAAAAAGGGGGCAAAGAUAAAAAACACAAAGUUGAAACUGAGGAAUACUUGUGUUUUUUUGACAAUUAUGGACUUAUCUUAAAUCUGAUACCAGCAAUGCAUUUCAAAAUUCUCGGUACAGUGAUGACAAAACAAUAAAAGAGUUGUGUGACACUAAAACAAAACACCUGACAGAACUGGUCAGAUAAUUUUUGAGCAGGUAGAUAAAAUAAUCAGGCACAAAUGGGGAAAUUCAAGGGAAGUAAACAUGGGCAGAGGUACACCACUCUGUGAGAGACUGGGUGAGGAAGUCUUGUCACGAUUCCAGGAAAUUUAAGGAAUACUACAUGACACAAAAUCAUAAAAAAGAUUCAGAGAAUUUCAGAAAAACUGGAGGCCUCCGACUGAACUGUAUUAAACAGACAUGACUCUGCAGUGGAAAUCACUGCAUGGGCUCAAAGUCACAUCCAGUGUGAUGGAGCGCUGUUAGAGCCGAGUCACUCCCCGACUGGCACGGGGCCAGGAGGAGCUCAUUCCUCGCAGAGCCAAGCUCAGUCAAACUGUUAAACAGUUUCCCUCCAAGAAAAAAACAACUGUUUUCCUUUUUACCUUGACUCCUUUCUCCUCGCUGUAGGUGUUUGAAGGUGCAACAACUACACGCCACACACACAAACCCACUUACCUGCUGCCAUCUUCCACGUCGAACCGGGCCACUUCUUGGUAAGUAAAUCGUGAAAGGUGGCGCGCUUUUGGGGGUCAUGUGACCACUGGACCAAACCGUUAUAGUUCAUUUGUGGUAUUUUGAUCUGAUUUAAUGUGUUUUCAAUGAGUAAGGUCACAGCUGUAUGGAGGGCUAUUAGGGCCUUUUUGUCCAUGUUGAAAUGUCUGAUUUGUCGUUUGUGUUGUAUUUUGCUAAUGGUAUCUUAAACCCCUAUAGGGGGGUUUAUGGAUGGGCCCAGGGGAGGGACUAGGGGGGUUCAAAAGAAGAAUGCCUGGGCCUCUCUUGGAGUGUGGAGUUGGUUGCAAGGAAGGUAAAUGCUGAACUGAAUUUGUUGAAUUGCUGCUGUGUUGCUGAUUGAGUUGAGUUAUUGUAGGACUCUUACCCUGUUGGCAUUUUCUCUUUUUUUUGCCUUGUAUAUUUUUCGUAAAAAGUAUUUUGACCAUUUUUGCACUGUUUUGUAAAUAAUUUUUGCACUGCACCUAAGGAAGCCGGCAAUGAAUAAAUUUCACCAUCAACGUAUUUUCGACUGCGUUUGUCUUUUCCACUGUUUUUGAUUGUUUGAGAGAGAACCCAGAGGCAUCCAGAAAACUUUACUUGUGAGCAGUUUGUUGCUACGUCCAGGUUAAAACUCUGUCAUGCAGAGAGGGAACAAUAGGUGAACAUGCUCCUGACCUGUUCGAGCGACUUAAUAAAGGUGGACUGCUAUGAAGUGGAAACCAACAAAUCAAACUUUAUUUAUUUAUUCAUUUUUUAAAAUAUGGAAUCCAGAAAAGGAGAGAAUCCCCUGGUCUGUUCUCAACAUACAAUUCUCUCAAACUGUGUGCAGUGCUCAUUGCUGCUGGUGUAUGAAUAGAGUCACCUUUGUUAUGAUAUAAUACCUCCAGUUGUCAUACAUGAGCAGGAAGGAUGAGUGCGCUCUGUCUGCAGGGUCUAUUUUAAGUGGAGUGAGGAACAAACUAACAAGCAGGUCAAGUUGUAUGUUUAUGAUGAGUAAAAUCCUCCAACGCAGGACCUGCAGCUUUCCAAAAAGGCACUGAACCAUUUUUGCUUUCCUGCAUUUGUCAUAGCCACUGGCCUAAUUCCAAGAAUUAGGGCCCCAUAAAUCAUCCAUUUUCUGUACAGUUUUUUCUUCCCUGUUAGAAUUGGUAACAUAAUCCUGAUCUGCUUUUCCAGAUUGUGCCACAACCCGUAUCUUUUCCCCAAGCCUGGUCAAGAACCCCUUCCUGAACUACACCCAAGGCUGAUCAGUUUCCCAGUCAGGUUCUCUAUUUAUUUUCCCUCCGUCUUCUAGAGUUUAAGUAUUCCUCUCAGACUCAGCCUGACCCUGAAACUUAGUCUGAGUGAUAAACACUUGGCAAAUCCCACCCACCAAUAUCCCAGCACCAGUGGUUAUCCAGUUGAGUUUCCUGUUUGAGAAAGAAGCAUCAAAUCUUUAAGAAGAUUGAUCGCCCUUCUCUGUGUGUACACCAGGAGCUCUCCGCUGCCUUCAUUCAGCAGGAUGUAUCCCCAAGUGAGGCUGCUGACCCAGCUUGACAUCCUCCUUGCCGUAGGCUGGGCUGUCAGUUUCCUUCAACCUCCUCCCUAACUCUGCUUCCUCACUCGACCCUCUGCUCCCUAUCCCUAUCACUGAUGGUAAGUGACUGCACCGCCAGAAUUAUCAGGGCUAAAUCAACUGUCAGAGGAAUCGAGCGACCUUUCCUCAUACAUACCUUCUGAGUUUCUGACAUGUUGGCAAAAAUGGUCUUACAUAAGAUGCACUGCGAUGAUUAUGAUCAUGACUGAAAGAAACCUUCACAGAAAUGGAGUUCUUCUAACUCCAAUACAUCUUGACAAAUGUGAAAAAUUUAUAACAGGUAAGAAAUUUACCCAGCAAAUCUUUUUCACCCAUUAAUCAUAAAAACAAGUUUUAACUUGACUAUAAGUGUCUUUUUAUUCUUGUGAUGCUGUAAAGUUUUAUCAAAGUUUCAUGCACAAUCACAUCCACUCAGUUGUUGACACCAUAGACUGUAUAUAGAAUAUAUAGUAUAGAGUAUAUAAUCGUCUGCCUCCUCACUGGGUAAAGCCACCGCGAGAGCAGCCCCCUCUGGUGACGGGCUGUAGUAUAGGUCAUAAAUCCCGCCUCCUCCAGCAAUCCCAAUGGAGCUGUGGACAAACUUUAAAAAUUUAUUACGCAGAAUAUAAUUUUUUCUGUGCCCUGGUUGCGAUGUUUACAUGUAGUUACUGUCAGACUGGUUUGUGCUCAAGUCCUCUUUUUUCUGUGCAGCUCUAUUUAUAAAAGUUAUUAGGGGGUUCAUGUUUUCUAUGAUUGACACUUGAUACAGCCUAUGGGGGUACGAGGAUUGCGUGGCUCACCUGGGGGAUAUACUGUUUGAGCAGAGCGUCAUCACAGCGACUCUUAUGCUGAAUGUGUACAAUGCUACUGCGCAAGUGGUGGUUCCAGGAAGUGAAGAAAAUCCCGGAAAUACAAAGAGCAUUUCAGCUUCAAAUUCGUAUAAUGGCGGAAGGCGGAGCCAAGUUGUCCAUAGUAUAUACAGUCUAUGGGUGACACAUUUAAAUGAGAGCAUCACACCCAGUUAAAUGACUUGUACAAAAACUGCUUUUGUGUUUACUUGCUCAUUGCUCCUGAUUUCACUCCCCUCUCCUUGAUCCUCUCUUCUGUAGGCACAAUUAGAGCUUUGUGACACUCUUGGGUCUGGUGGGUCGACCCAGAAUCAAGAAUAGGGGGUUAUCAUUUAAAGGGAUGCUCUCAGCUCUGCCUCCUUCUGCCUGUGAUUUUCCUGUCGUCUUGUGUGUGUUGUGCCCUGUUUGUUUUCCUGUGUGAUUAGGUGUGGGCAUGACACUCAGUCACACUCUGGCUGUCAAUCUCUCUGCACACCUGGGACCCAUCUACUCACCAAGCUCCUGCAGUAUAAGUACCCCAGCUCCACACAACAGUCAUUGCCAGGUUGUUCAGUUCCCCGAUGUGACACUGUGCCGUGGCCAAGUUUAUCUUAGAACUCUGACUUGCUUGUGGAUUUGGACUUCGAAGUACCUCUUGGUUGUCCUUGUGUCCCAGGAUCAACAUUUGGUUUUCCUGUGUCUUGGGAUCCUCACCAGUCUGGAUUUUCAGUCUGCUGGCCUCACUCUGAUGUGAUCUUCCCUUCUGCUACUCCACCUUAACUCCCACUCAGUUUUACACCUCACUUUAACAACUAAUCCAGUGAGUUACAUCCAACUUUUACCCUCUGCCUCGGUUUUUGGGUCUCAGAGCUCACCACUCGACAGUUUCCCCUCGAAUAAGUAUUUUAAGUUCAGCUGUUAACAGUCCUUGGCCCCCAACCUCAAAAAAUACUGUUUGGAUGAAGAUCAAUGCUCCACUCUCUGAUAUAUCUUCAACUUGUCUAUAUAACAUUGGCAACCCACCUUCGCUGAGAUUACCUAUCAUACUAAAAUAUCUGAGAAGAUUCACGUCAAACCAUUUUGUUUGGCACAAAAUAAAAUAAAAGACCCGCUUAUCCUUCAAAUAACAGCCAAGAGGUGAUGCAUCCAAAAAUAUCUGCAAAUAUCCAUGAGCAGCCAAUCUGCAACCCACCAUAAAACCUUUUUUCCAAGAGAUUAUGUCGUGUGUGUGUGUGUGUGUGUGUGUGUGUGUGUGUGUGUGUGUGUGUGUGUGUGUGUGUGUGUGCUGUUUGAGAUGUGAAGCGAGUGCGCUGUUGGGGUUUCUGUAUUACUUUUGAGAGCUCUUGCUGCUGUGCGCCGCUCCUUCACCUUAAGGGUCCACUUGCUUAUGUACUAUUUAUCAUGUUGGUCUCAAAGAGCUGCAGGUCAGCGCUGCCUCUUACUGUAUAUAUACAUCCUACACAUCAUGAAAAGACUAUUAAGGAUUUAUCCUUAGGGUAUUUAACAUGAAUUUUAAAUUCUGAUUCUGAUGUCAUGUCGACGUCGGCCUCAGUCUAUAAUGUUUGACAAGCAUCGGUGGAUGAAAUAGUGGAUGAAGUGCUCUAAUGUCCCAGCUCAUCAAAUGCAAGGUCGUUUUUGCAUAGGCUGGCCGACCCCGCCUUCCAGUUUGGACAGUCACCAGAAGGCAGUUGUCAUUACAUGGCGUUAACGCAGAUGAAAAUACGCCAACUCCCCGCUAUGUUUUUCAGGUGAGCUACUAAUGUAAAUUGGCAGAAAAUAACCUUUAAGGCAACUCUGUGAUGGUUUAUAAAGUUGCUAAGAAUUCGUUGACGUCAUGAGUAGCGAAGGAUCCUGGGAAUCAUUUACAUUCUUUACCUGUUAGACAGUUACUGCAGCUUCGGGUGCCUCCGGUGUACAUGUGUAAGAAGUUUUCAUGCCCAAUCAUCAGUCAAGGUCUCCUAUCAGACGCAAACUGACCAGGUAGUUACAGGUAAGCACUAAAGCACCGAACUGCUUGCCCUGGUGCUGCUGUAAGCUCUGUUAGCUUUUAGCGUAGUAGUCCGUUGUUCGGCAUGAGAUUUGGUGGUAGCAGAUCUGAUCUGCACGGAUCUCUUCCACUCAGUCAAAUGGAUCCGGUCAUUAAGACAAGCGGAACAGUUAAAACUAUGGAAAACUAUUGAAGGCACACAGUGAAUUGAGAUGUACAGUUACUAAAUUUUUGUCUUUUGCAGGCUGUCAGAGUAAGAACUGGUUAUGUUAACUGUUUUGCAGGUGUUUGUUUCUCCAGUCUAUAUAAAGUGUUUUGAUUGACUUAUGACUCUUUAUUAUUCACACACAUGAAAGUAGGUAGUAAUUAGCAGUCAGUAUUAGGUUGGCAUUAUUUUAUUAAUAUUUCAUUGUAUAUUUACGGUGCAGCUGCAACCUAUAGAUAAAGAUUGUGUGCUAAAACUUUGAUCAAUCGUCCAAAAAUUGUGUGUCGAUCAUUUUGGAUCAAAGUCUGACCUCUUAGCAAACGCUCUCCUCGCUACAUCUCGGGCUGACGUCGGCACAAUGCGCGUGUGCUGUCUGUGCUGUAAAUUACACCGGGAGAAAAAUCUCUUUAUACAAGAAGAAGCUCAGGGUUGCAGGUCUAAAUGGAUUAUGACUUGCUUUAUAUUUUCUACAGAAUUCGAGUCAGCAGAACGGUCCAGGACUGUUUGACCUCUGUUGCUUUCAUUGCAUAUGUUAUAUAUUGCUGUUCCACAUCACACUGACUAAAUGCUCCAUUUCAAUAACUUGUGGCUCCUCUUUGGUUUCCUCUGAGAGCUCGGCUGUGCUUGCGGAAACAGCGGUACAUAAAUACUGUAUGGUUUUAUGUUAUUUUUCUAACCUGAUGUAUUUUACUACAGGACCUAUUGUCAUUUACAGAGACAUAUUUGAUCCCAGAAGUCAUAACUGAGCAAGAAAUAGGAGCCAUUAUGUGCCCAGUUGCUUACAAGAGCACUCUGUAUGCAUGACCUAAGCCAUCACAGUUCUUUCUGGAGGACAGUGCAGUAAGAUACUGGAGGCUGCCUGAUGCUGAAGCAGACUUGAAUAAAACGGUGGGCUCUGACGCUCAGCAUGGCAGACAGAGCUGUGUGCAUCAGGUGAGAUUGUGGGAGGCAUCCCUCAAGGACCGACAGAGCUGCCGCAGGCAAUAAAAAGAUUAAUAAUUUAAUAAAUACACAUGCAUAAUAAAAAGGCCAUUAGUUUCAAUUGAAGGGUGAUUAAAUUAUUCACAAGAAACAGUGGAAUAGAAAAGACAGGAUUUAAAGCAGUGUCUCCAGUGUGUCGUUUUCUAUAGUUUGUGAUAAGGACGAAAAAAAUGCAUCAUCCAAACUUGUCCACCAAACUUCAAAUUGCCUUUCAAGAUUUUAAUUGAAACAAAACAGUAUGCCCAGACUGUUUAAUCUUACUUAACAAAUGAGCGCAGUACGUUUAAAAUAUUCAUGUGUAAGCUCUGUGGAUAGCAUCUAGUCAAAAACCAGGUCUAGAUCAUGGAAAAAGUAUCAUGAAGCCAUCUCAGAAGUUUAGUGUGGCACAUCUGUUAUCCUACUUUUUUUUUUCCUCUUCACACUGAAUUUCGGUCUUUUCAUACUCAUACAACGCUCAUCUCCUUUUCUGACAGCUGAGUAAACCUCCACCUCUUUUUUUACCAGGAACCAUGUGCAACCGUGCUGCUCUUCCACAGUGGAUAUACGUGUUUGUGUCUGUUUCUGCUUUGGCAGGCAGAGCUAUGGUGAUAACAUGUCAAUCUUACUUUCCUGUCGGAUUUUUUUCUCACUCUCUCUAAAUGGGUCCAAAACUUCUGAAUUAAAAUUGUGAUUUAUUGGACAAGACUUGUAGCCAUCAGACCUUAAAAUGAAGCCUUGAAGUGAGACCAGAGGAAAAUGUUUACCGAGGUGAUAAAUCAACAGAGAAGUGGUGUCAUUUUCAGGGAUUUUAUGGGAUCAGACUUAUUUGAACCCUGUGAAGUCUCCCCUUUGCUGGCAGUAAGAAAAAAAAACUGGGUUUCAAACUCUUCUUCCUCAUAAACCACUUUGCAUGUAGUGUUUUAUUUUAGGGUGGCUCUGUUCUAAGAGCUUCCUACCUUUCUUUGCUCAUAUGGGGAAUGCCAAAGCCUGAGGAGGUGAGAAUAUGCCUCCCUGCAUGCAUACAUAAAAAGCCAAGGCAGGCAGAGCAGCAUCAAAGACCCCCUGAGUCCAGAACAAGCUCUCAUCAGAGACGACACACGACACCAGUAAAAUCAGACACAGCAUGAGUGCCGGUGUGGAGGCGGAUUACUAAGCACCCUGCCGCAGGUAGAGAAGGCAGGCCAAAGCAGUUUCAAUAAAACACCCAUUUUGACAGUUGCCUGUUGUAUGCAUAGACCGAUAAGGGUUUGCAUUUCAUGAACAGUUAUACUUGGUGCUAAGCUUGACUUCAUGGCCUGCUUGAGGUAGCCCCUUUGUUGAAUUUGUGACCAAACCAUCCCCAUUGAAAGUGGGUGUUUUUUUUUCAAACAAACUGUGGUGACAUGAGAAUGCUGUGGGAGUGUGAACAUCAGGCCAGUAGUUGGCAGUAUAACUGAGUCAUGAAACACCAAGUGUUCUUCAAACUGCACUUUGCUGGAGAAGUGCUAAUAAACUCAUUAAAGUUGGCAGCACAAACACAUCACAGUGGUUUGCUUCUGAGCUGUGGGACUGUGAUUUUACCACCGUCACAGGUUUCAGACAUUGUGCAAGUAAAUGACAACAGAGGAUUUGGCAUAAUCAAGAGAUUCUGCUCAGGAACCUAUUUCAAACAGAAAUGCUCAAAACUCAAAAUAGUUAGUAGCUUUCUAUUCAAGAAGUUUCUAUGACAGCCUACCAGGGGCAGCUCUGCAUGUUUCAUAUCAACCUGUAUUAGAUCAAAUGGUUUACACCUAUAGGACGUGAUUUCUGAGCUCAUAUACCAUGCUGUUUGAUAUUUUCAUUGACCUCCUCCUGGGAAUUGAUGAGUUUUUAUCGAUAUAGAUGCCUUCGUCACUUCUACCAGCAGAUCAAACUCCUCAUCAAGUCCUGUGGAUUUUAAGCGUAGGGAAAAUAGACCUGUGCAGGUUUUCCUGUGUCAAUGAUGAAACAUUUUGCAUAAGUGUCUCACUGUGAGUCUCACAGUGAGACACCUAACCUCUGACUCCUGAGGACCUUUGCAAGUCAGCUGAUUGUUUUGACAUGUUAACCAGACAGAGGCUGUAUCUGCAGGGAUGAGAACCUCGAUAUAGCAUAGUUAGCUGGCAAUCAAAGUGGCACACGGUCUCAGAAAGCAUUGUGGAUUACCUUCAGUUUUAAAGGACCAGAUCUAGUCAGUGGAAUAGAAAAACCACACAGUUUACAGCUAGCAGGCCGCCUGUCUCAAGAAGAGAGUGGAUUUUACUGGAAGUCUGCACUAUCCUGUUUUUGAGCUAAUAUUAUAAGUGCAAUAUUUAUUCCUAUAUGUAGCAAUUUGGACUCCUACUGUUUGCUGUGCUCUACGAUUACAUCCUCAAAAUCCUUGGCUGUUGUUUGCGCUGGCUGUUGUUUUGCAAAGCACCAAAAGCAAAGUGAAAAGCACUGAGAAGAUAACCAUUAAUUAUUGUGAAAAAGUGAAUUAAUGGCUCAAAACUGGUCUGAACUGGUCUCAUCAGGAACCAGCUCUUGACUCCCUUCUCUGUUUCAUUACUGAAGAGCCGUUUUAGGAGCCUUUCCAAAACACAUAUAAAGCCUUCAUGGACAGUGUUUUAUUUUGCCUCCAUUAUGAAACAUUUUUAUAAAGUUAAUUUAAUUAACUGCUAUAAAAUUUCUCUUUGAACGGCUUGUGGGCUGUUAUCUCUCUUAAUGUGCAAGAUGCAAAUGCUGCAUUUUCAUUUUAAUGUAGCAUAAAAAGGUUUGUUUAGACCUCCUGAUUCAUAACUAUUUUAAUAAUCAUUUACCAAAAUAAUGAGCCUUUGGGAUACCUUAAGGCAAGGUAAGAUACAAUAUGGUUUUAGCUACUUAUCAAACUGUAGUCCUCGCAAAGGGAACCUGCUCAGUCAGCACAUAAUGAUUUGCUCUGCUGUGCUGUUGGGUCUAUGAGUACUCUUAACUAUCUGCCUGAGGCCAAUAAUUAGCUGCCCAAGGUGUAUCUCACCAUUGUGUGUAUAUAUAUUUUUUCUCAUACUCCUUCAGUGCUAUCUUUUGUUAAUUAUUGAACCAACAACCCUCCUAGCAGACAUGUGGAAUUAUUCAUGGGCUGCGGCACAAUCAAUAGGAUUAAUUGCUUGUUUCAGGGCUGUCCAAUAACACCAGUUUGUCAUAUAUAUGUAAUUUAAUAUAACACUGCUAACCUUCAAAAGGGCAAUAAGAUGAAAGGUGUUGGAGAAAUUCCUGUGGGUUCCACCUCAUAACCUUCAGCAAGUUUCUGACUCCAAACGUAUUUGCCUCAGGAAUAGAAAUGGAGGAACAGAGUUUGCCCCCUGACACUGCCUGCUGAGUGACUAUUAGAGCAACACAGCCUCCUGAGGUGGGCUCCAGUGAAGAGGUGAGCAGCCAGGGAGUGAGUCAUCAGUGAUUCCUCGGCGUGAGAGUGGGUGCACAGUGGAAAAGUUCAGAGGCGUCCUAGGAGUGUGCCCAAGGGUGGUGGAUGGAGGUCUUGAGGGGAAUCCUCCACGCAAUGUUCAGCAUGUCUGAUCUCAGCAGGAGAACCUUGUAUAAACAUGUGUUUGUCUGCAGGGGGAAGCAGGCAGGGAAGAGGAGGGAAGAGCAGAUGCAAACCAUCAUUAUGCUAGGAGUAGGGUAUGUUGAUGAGGACAACAACAGAGCCAAGCAGCCAGUGACAGUCCCUGGAUGUCACAGACCACCCAGCUCGUCAUAUUUCAAAGCCUGUUCUCCUCUGGGUGCUGAUGUGGCGCUGGGACAGUCUGGUAAAAGGCAACGUAAUCAAUCAAAGCCGGCAGCCUGACAUUCAACACAGAAGAACAUUUCAAAGGGGAAAUCACAGCCAGAGCAGGGUUUCUGUUUUUUUGUUGUUUUUUCCUCUUAUUUUGUCUGCGUUGCACCGGCGCACAACAAACAGAGGACUCAAAAACAGUGCCAUUACCUGAAUCCAAACCGUUUUUCUAUGAAGCACAGAAAGAUCCUGAAUAUGAAAUUGCUGGAAGAUAAGACAUAUAAAUCUGCAUAAACUUCAGUCUGUUGUUUUUUAGUGACUCUUACGUUAACUCAGUGCACAGUUGUUGUGUUUUUAUUAUAAUUAUGAUUAUUUUUUUAAAGCAAAGGAGCUCUGGAGUCUUGUAUGUCAGGCUCAAAAAAUGUCUUCAAUGGCUUGUUGUCGAGAAGUCGAGGUAGUUCGAUUUUAUUGCAAUGAUAGUGAUCUGAAACCGUGGUUGCAUGUCAUGUUUGUUUGUUCUUGUCAUAUUUUUACCUUUACUUGACAGUUGAAAUCAUUUAUUGCACCAUGUAAAAUAGAUGUAGUCUCUGUGAUGUCGCCCAUUGGCCUCUGAUGUGUUGUUGUAAUGCAUGUUGAUGGUGGGCGCCAUAUUGGAAAUGCUAAUUUAGCCUAUUUUUUAGUUGGCCUCGUAAGAGCUAAGGAGAUGGAGCACCUGCCUGUCAGCUAACCAAAAUCAUUGCUUGAAUCAGGCUGCCUUUGUUCUGUUUUUGCUCGACCACAAUAGCUUUUAUGGGGCACUCACACCAAGCGAAUAAAUAGUACCUACUCGCUUCAUUCCCAUGUUUAUAGCCAUAUAUGCUAAUUUCAUGGUAAUCCCUACCAAGUGAUAGACAAAGGUUUUGUACAAUUUACCAGGUAAUCUGACCUCCUCACUCACUUUCCUCCUUUUUAUUCCAGUUUUGGUAAUUGAAAGAAAAGGUAUCAUAGAAUUCGGGGCACCCACACACAGACACGAUCAAUUUGUUCUUCAUUUUAGAUACCAGUGAACAACCGUCCAUUACCUUCAUGCUGAUUGCUUAUCGUAACACGAAUAUUCACUCAUGUUGAGACAUUUUCAGCUCCGGCCCAAUUUGCAUCAUUUGCGCAGCCAGAGUGGUACAACAUCUAAUUGCAUCUUUGCAUUGCCUUAACAUAGAAUUCAUUUGGUUAGGGUUAGGGUAUGUGUGUUUGCUUCAAGAGCUUCUGCAGGCAGCUAAAAGUGGGUACCAGAACUCUUAAGCUAUGGCUUCAUUUCCCAAGUCUACAGGUUGUACCUUGGUAGAAACAGACUUGUGCUUAGACUGUGAGACUAUGAGGACCGUCCGUUACAUAUUCCUAUAUUGUACAGUUUUUUCUGCUGGUGUCUACUGUCACCUUCUUUAUGGAGAAAAAAUCAGCUCUGUGUGUUUGAACAGAUUGUAAUGUGUGUUCUGAAUGCCAGAGCAAGGAAUUAUGUGAAGAAAACCUUCUGCUUAAGCUGGCUGAGCCUCACACUACCUUUAACAUAUGGCAGCAGAUCAGAAAACAACUCAUUUCAGUAAUUUAGAUAGGCUUUGACAAAUGACCUACUUGUUGACGUUGGAUUUGGAUAUAAAUCACAAAAUAGGACCAACUCAUAAGUAUAAAAAAACAUGUUUAAAACUGCACACUGCUGAAGGCUGGAGGGAAGCACACAUGCUCUAUCUGGAAAACAGCUGUGCUGAAUUAUUCUUAGUCUUGUGAGUAAUUAGCUCACUUGGAAAUAUGCUAGAUGCAUACCCGCUCGAGUUAAAGAAAUUGAAUUUCUCAUGUUUAUUUGAUAAAUAAUGCAGACUUGCUAAAUCACUGCAAGAGAAACUCAGCCUUGAACCAUGUUUGAGUAAUAAAGAUUGAGAAAUGGACCCAGAACUGCUCUCAGCACAGCCUGGGAGAGAGGAUGGGCAGAAAUAUCAAAACCCUAUAUUUCAUUUUCUCCAUAUCACAGAAAUUGCUAAACUCAAGGCAAUUGAAAGGGAAAGUGAGAUAGGGAGAGGGAUGAAAGAAAACUAUUAAAUGUCCAAAAUGUAUUACUUCCCCAAAGAAAAUUCACAGACCUCUCCUGAUUGUGUGAAUAGCCAUAACCAGGGAGUUUAUAGACCUUCAUGCCAUCAUAGUUUUUUAUUUUUUUUUACAGUUUCGAAAAUUACUCAGUCCCAGGGUGUAACAUACUGUUUAUUGACGACAGAAGACAAAGUCUACUACAGCCUGUGAAAUAAAACCUCUUUCGUGCAUUAACUUGGUCUGGUCAGUUUCAGGAUGUGGUCUGAGUCUGACGCUCUCACAGCUCGGUAAACCCGGUCUGAUAAGGGUUGGGUGCGGUGGGGGGCACCUGGAUAGAUUUUCGAGGGUGUCUUCUUUAUUUGUGAAUAUUUCAUUUUAAAAACAAUCAGACAUAGUCCCCUCAACACUAUUUCAAGAGCUGGAAAACAAUUAUAUACAUAGAUCCGUGUUUAAUAUAAUAAAAUCACCACCAUGUGAACAAAACCUGUGAUGUAGUUUGAGAAAUCAGUCCAAGUCAGAGCGAAGCUUCUGUGCUUCUUACCUAAUUUGUAUUUUGUAUCUGAGCUUUUCUGGAGGCAAAUGUGAAAGCACCUCUCUCCAUCACUGCAAAAAGGAUGGAGCUGGAUUUGACUUGCAGUUAUAGAGGAUAAGCCUGCAGGCAAGCAGUGAAGCAAAUGUCAAGGCAUUUGCUCGCAAAUCUGUGAAUUUACAAGAUGGGGUGGGAUCCCAAAAAACUGCUGGGUGAAAAUCUGGUGUAAAAGUUUGUCAACAAACAGGAAAAACUACAUCAUAAAAAUGUCCCCAGUAUCUGUUUAAGGAGGAGCAUUUCCACAACUUAUGCCGAGGACAAGGGUGUCCCUUAAGUGAAGAUGGUGAAGUACCUUCAACAGAACCUGUGAUAAAGGGGGGUGUUUUUUUCAACUCAGUGUAACCAAGUGGUUCAUGGCAGGGCUGGUAAUGGUUGUUUACGCUGUUUGCCAUCCGCCAUUAAAGAGAGGGAAAAUAAAGAGGAAGCAGCUGCAGCAGAAGAAGACUCAGAAACCAGUUAGCCUUGAGCACAGUGUGCACUUACUGCUACUGCACCUCACCUGCACCCAAAAACAGUUUCCUUGUCUGUUUGGGAGAUUUGAGGAUUUUGCCAGAGAAGCAGGAUGUUUGUGGACAACAUGUAAUGCAGAAAUUGGUCUCAGUUUGUUUAAUUAGACGUUCUGUCAUAGUGCUGGUGACAUGGAUAAAACACACAAACAUCAUAUUCAUGUUGGUGCAUCCAGAUAACGUUUGAAAGAACAGAUUUUAAAUUCCUUUUUUCUGCUAAAACAGAAAAGGAGGAAAAAGUAUUGCGCCUCAGUUUGCUUAUUUGUUCAAGUCUUUGUUUGUAGACCUCGGGCUUCCUUUGCUCUGUCCUCCGCUCAACUGACAGCUGUUCAGCCCAGCAGGCCCCUGAGGCAGAACACGAGGCUCCAUCUGAUGUCAGUUUGUCUGGUGUCAGCAGGGCAAGGCGCCUUGUUUUUCCAUCAGCAUCUACACCUCUGUGUCCAGAGCAUCUUUUUUUCCCUGUCUUCUUCUUUUUGCGAGUAAAGAACGGGGGGGAUUUCAACAUCGUUAAUGAGACAUGCAGCAUGGAAAGACUCAUGCAUGACAACUUUAACAAGUCUAUAAAGACAGUCACGUAAGUCUUCUCCCUCCCAUGUGGCAGAGAAAAAUCUCUGUAUUUCUGGCACAGAAAAAUUGCCAUGACUGUUAGGAUUAAUGAGUCCCUCCAACAGAGAGUGUAGGUGUACUUGUCGGUGACACUGUCCAGGCAGUAAGUGUUCCUGUCAAGUGGCACACAAUCCUGUCACAUUCCUCAGUCUUUAAUUAUAGUCGAAGCUCUCCUCACUCUCAGAGUUUAUUCGGACUGAAAAGUAAGUCUUUGUGUAAAAAUGAGGUCUGUAAAAAGUGUGACAGUGGAAAGUGAUGGGAAGUGAAUGUAGAUAGUUUUAUCUUAGUCACAAGAGAAUUAACUGGACUUAGUAACCCUCUUGUGAUGUCCUCCUACAAGGCUUGUGGUGAUAGCCAUAUGGCAAGGGCCAGCCCACACUUUCUUGACAAAGUUCCUUCAGUAUUUUAUGGCUGAAGGAGAGCAUGACUCAGUCCUGGCACUCUCUUCCUACUCCCUCCAAACUGACGACUAGUAGGGUCUGUUAGGUGAAAAAUCGUUACACGGUGGAUAAAAGCAUGAAAUUUGGCACAUAUGUCCCUUAGGUCAUCCAAAAACAUCCUAGAAGGGGUGCCCAAAAAAAUGUCAAACAGGAAAUGAGUUAUUGACAAAAUUCAAAAUGGCCGCCUAAACAGGUGUUUAGUUCACUCAAAAAACACCUAAAGAAUGUCCAAAAAUCAUCAAGUUUGGCACACGUGACCCUUGGGUCAUCCUGAGACAUCCUAGAUAUAGUGGCCAAAAACAGGAAGUGGAUUAAUGACGAAAUUCAAAAUGGCCGCCUAAAGUGUUGCCAAUUGAUUCAAAUAGCCUAUUGAAUCUCAGAGAAGCAUACUAUUUGGCACAUAUGUCCCUAGGGUCAUCCUAAUACAUCCUAGAAGGGGGACCCAAAAUAAUCUGAAACAGGAAGUGAGUCAUUGACUAAAUUGAAAAUGGCCUACAGUGUUGUUAAUUGACUCAAAAGUCAUCUAAAGAAUCUCAUAAAACUAUAACGUUUCUCACAUGUGUACCUUGGGUUAUCCUAAACAUCCUAGAAAGGGUGCCCAAAAUAAUCUGAAAGUGAGUUAUUGAUAAAAUUGAUAGAUGAUGCAAAUGAAGGGGCAGAAAGAAAGGGAGAUGACGCUCACGGUGCAGGCAUUAUUUUUCAAAACCCUAUAAAUGCAUACAAAACUAUUCGAAUUACAACCCUCUGCAUUUCCCCGGUCUUGGGACCGGCACAAGUAGAACACUGGCUUGUGUCCCAUUGAGGCUGCAUUCAUUCAUUCAUCCAUCCAUCCAUCCAUCCAUCCAUACAUCCAUCCAUCUACCUACUAAUCUACUGUAUCUAAUCUAUGUAUCUAAUCUACUUCCACUUCACCAUUUCUGUGUGCACCUGGAGCGAGGAGAACAUUAUUUUGAUUAGAAUCCUUCACACAAAUCCUCCGUCCCUUUUUGAAGUCAGAGACCCCCCUCUCAUUUUUCCAGCUUCUCUUCUUUGGUUUGAGGUUUUCGGUCAUGGUACAACCUUGAAAAAAGAGAGAAAACACCUGGUUACACUGAUGCAAUUCAUGAAACUUUAAUCUUUUUUUUUUGUUGGUGAAAUUGUUUGAUUCAAUAAACAUUACAUUCCUUGCUUCACAACACCUUUACUCUUUGUAUUUAAACCUCCCAGGGUUUUCUCAUGUUUGUGGAAAUUGAAUCUCUUUAGCUCCAAGGAUGAGAACAUUCAGUACAACAAAACCCUUAUAAAGUAAGGUUAAUGUAAUUAAAUUCACAUCACCACAAAGAAUUAUUUCGCUUAAACACUUAACAGGAACUGAAAAGAAGGAGGUUAGUAGCAUACAUUUGCUGUGGUGGAUGUUGUUGGAAAACAGCAACAAGGUCAUGAAACACUCUGUCUUAGCACAAGUAAUGAUCCCAGCCACACCCUUACAAAUGAUGCUGACAGUGAAGAGAAAGAUGGUUCAUGAUCACAGAGCUUCUUGUUCAGUCCUCAGAGGUGUGAUGGGUGGUCCUUAUUGAUAAUGCCAACCCCAUUUUUCUUUCUCAAACAUCAUUUUCCCCCGGAACAUUCAAGCUCAAAGCAGCGGAUGUGAAAGCGCGGUAUUAUUCUGUGUGCUUUGGCCAUUCACUUUUCUUUGUAAUGUAUAAAAAUGCACCGUUGUGUUGGGAUGAAUGGGAGCCAUUACCAAGAGGAUCAGAGAAUGUGGCCGCCGCUGUAAGGAUGUUUUCUCCUUUAUGUCUCCAGCUCAGCCAUUAAAGUUCACACAACUCAGCCCAGCCUGUGUCUCCCAGGUCUGAUGGCUCCUCCGGGGUCAUUUAUCAGUCAGCAAAUGUUAGAGCCAGGAAACACAAGGGCAACUCGGGUACGGGACAACACUGUGGUGAAAUAAUUUGUUCCUCUCUGCCAAACUCCAAGCACAAAAAACUUGGACAGGAAUGAAUCGCCGAGGCCAGUUUAUAUCUGAAGCGUACUUUAUCAUUACAGUGAUAAAACCACAAGAGUAAAUAGAACCGGGUUAGCAGGAUGUGCAAAUUCAAAUAAGAUUUCAUUAUUCUUACACUGACUUUGCAAAAUCGGGGCCAAAAGUCGGGACGAGGUGGAUACCUGCGCCCAUCCUCUAGUGCCUCUGAACAGACACUUCAAAUGGGUUGGGACAGGAAUACAUCAGUAACAAGCUGAAGAAGGAGCGCUUCUUUGAAACGAUCUGCCAACCUUCCAGCAUGAAAUGGUACAAAGCUAUCUCAGUGCUGCAGCAGCACAUCACAAAUCCUUUACAGUGAAUUUUUCUGUCAUUUGACUUUUUGAUUCGUGAAUUAAUCGUCAUGAUAGUAAAAGCAGCUGUUGAUCUUAGUCAGUAUCAUUCAUACUACCUCUGAUAAUUUUCUUAAACGGCUCAUUACUCUUUGGUGUAAGAGUGUGAGAUGAUUUUAGGGUUGAUCUUUAUUAACAGAGCAAGAAAUGUUGUUGCAAAUCUGCACAGCAGUUCCUGACCUCAACAUGAACCUGUGGGAGUGUGCUUUCCCUGAAACUUACAUGCAUAUUUAAAAAGUGGAACAGUGUGCUCUGUAAUUGUAAAACCUAGAAUCCUAUUUACUCCCAAAUAAGAUCUGCUGGAGUGUGCAUGAUAAGUCUCUUUAACAUCUGAAAAAUGUCUGACUUUAUUCAGGGGGUUGCAUCAAAAAAAAAAUGGCAUUUUUUUCCCCGAGACAUUUUCCUGCAAACCCCAGAGUAAAAAAGUUCUGCAAGGAGCCGAGGUGAGCUGAUGUGCAAAUUUAGCCGGGAUAAGCCUGAAAAAUGUCCCCGGAGCGUGUGGACGGCAGAGCCUCUCUGCUUUGUACUAUUUCCUGCUCACCUCAUUUGUCUGUAUCAUGUUUUCUAAUGUCAUGUUUGUACUGCGGGAACACGGUUACGCAUGAUGAGGUGAAGUAAACACAGACACAGUCACCAUUAUAGAUGAAGACUACUCCUCCUCCUCCCCUUCAAACUAACUAUAGUAUGGAGUUGUAAGAAAAUACUACGCAUGGUGAAAAUAAUGUUCAAAUGGUGAUAAAUUUAUUGGAAAAUAAAGAUUUGAUAAAAUCUUUGAAAUUUAAGCUUAAAAACAACAAAAUUAACCAUCUGUAAAAGUACUUUUUAAUGCAUGCUUUUUAAUCUGUUUACUAUUGCUGACUUUAGGAUAUGGUGAUAAUAAUCUGUAAUCUACUGAGCAGUCCAAGUCAAAUAUAUAUGCUCUUGUCAGAAAACAGGAUAAAACAGCAACUUCUUGAAUGAGAAGUCAAACUGAAGGAAGGAACCCUGAAGGAGUAGAAACUGCAGUUUCUUGGAUGUCCUCUUGAAGUCAGCUAUAAAGGCCUGAAAACCACACACACAUAUUUUAAAAGGCCUGUCCUAAGGACAAAAACAACUGUGUUUAAAGCCUGGUCCAAAAACAUGUUUGUCUCAUUAGUUUAUGUCUCUGUCUACACACCACAUAUACGGGGGUGGGAGCGGGGUGGUUUUUACAUUCAUAACUCUUUGUACAGUAAAGCUGGAGAUUUAGUUACUUUCUUCAAAAUGAAAAACAGUCAGAGAUGUAGAUAUUUUUUAAAACUUUUGAGCUCUUCACAUGUUCGAACAUCUGAUCACCAAAGUUUUUCUUUAUGCAGCUUGAAACAUCUUAACUGGGCGUUCAAUAUUUUCAUAAACUCGUGAUAUGACUUAAUUCCUCACCCCUACACUGGUGUUACCUAUUGUCACUGCUCUACAUCUGGGACAGUGAACUGAGUAAAGAAAAAGUGAUCAGCAUGGACGACAUCCUUGUCUUUCAUUUCAGCUGUCUUUGCUUUUUAGUUGUAAUGUUGUUUUGGGCGUGUAAGAUCUUAUUCUCAAAAGUCUACCUCUUUUGUAAGAUGUAAAUAUCAUUUUCUUCUGUUUACAAAGCAAACAAUCAAAAUCAUCUUAGCUGUGUGUUUUGUACUCUCAGAAUCUCAGACACCAAUCAGACUAACAUAGAUUUGAUUCGCUCCCAAGGCAAAACAACCUCAUUGUUUGAGGCUGGCUGCUGCCAAGCAAGCCUGAUGUUGUGAAAUGGAUACACCUGUGAACCACCUGCAUCAAAUCAAGGUUGUUCUUCUGUGAUGUCAGGUGGAGAAUAUCUCUUUGUGGCAGCCAUGUCACUGGAACGUCUGUCUCUUUAAUGUAUAUUGUAUACACAAAGACCAAGUGUGCAUAAAUUACUGUGUUGGCUCCCAGAAAGGUUAGCGUGGUUGUUAGCCAUUGUUCCAACAAGGUAAGAGUGGUGUAGGUGGCAGGAGUUGUAUUUGGUGUUGUGUGGGAGUGAAGGAGGUUGCUAGGUGUCAGAAUUCACAUAUCUGUUAGCGUAGCCUGUUACCUGUGUGCCUGAUGACUGGUGAAUAAUGCUGCCUCUGUGAUUGCCCUGCAGGUGUUAUGAUGGGGCCGUCUAUUAAAAACAGUUUGAAUUCUUCAGAGAUCCACAUGUAGCCUUUGUGUUGCUGCUCGGCGAGUGAUUAGGAAAUGUUUCAUCACACUGGGUGUGUAAUUCAAGUCUUUUGAAUGGUCCUAUUCUGCACCAGUGCCUUUUCAUUUGGUGGACACAUACUAAGUGUCCAUGCACUGAGCUAACAGAGUGUUAUAAUAAUUCAUCAAUCUCCAGCUGCAUAUUGAUCUGGCUGUAUUGAUUUCAUUAUUUCUUAUUAGCUCGCCUUGAACGACUGACUGAUGCAGAGCAAACAAACUUAGAAAAUAAGACGGCCAAUGUCCUGGUGUGCAAAUGCUCCUAUUUCACAGAGGAUUAACCCUUAAGUUGGAGACACACCACUUGCUAUUCAACCUUCCAUUCACACUGGCUGCACCAUAAACACAAUAGGACACACAGAUGAGGAUGCACAACCUGCCUCCAGAGUGCAUCUGCAAACUGCAUCCUACAUCCGUGUGGUAUUUAUCUAAAAACAUGUACAGCCAAGGCACCAAUCAGAGGCUGCAAACAUGGCUGAAGAACGUCGAAGGGUAUCUCAAGCCUCAUUCUUAAAACAUGAACUGAAUAUGAACUUUCGGUAACCCUUUCUUUUACGAUACACUUAUAACCAGGUAAUUAACAGGUAAUUACCUAGUAACAACAUGAAAUUACCUGAUAAUUACAUAACAACUACUGAGUCAAUACUGUCUAGCUACCAGGUAGGUAACCUUCCAUCAUCGUACAAAUCUGAAGCUGAAUUGCUCUGAUAUUUCCAGGAUUUUCUCUGCUUCCUGGAACCACCACUUGCGCAGUAGCAUUGUACGCAUUCGGCGGCUGAGUCGCUGUGAUAAUCCUCGGCUCAAACAGUGAAUCCUCGUACGCCCAUAGGCUGUAUCAAGUGUCAAUCAUAGAAAAUAAGAACCCCAAAUAGCUUUUGAAAAUGGAGCUGCACAGAAAAAAGGAAAAAAGAAAAACUAGACAGUAUUGACUUAGUAGUUAUCAUAUAAUUACCAGAUAAUUUCAUGUUGUUACUAGGUAAUUACCUGAUAAUUACCUGGUAAUAAGUGUACCGUAAAAGAAAGCGUUACCGACCUUUCUAUUCAAACUCCUCUUAGACUAUAUAAACCUUUGAACUCUACAUAUCACAUCUCCACAGUUUCAAUGAACACAUAAUCAAGACAUAUAAUGAACUCAGAUUUCAUAAAGUCUGUUUUGGCUUGAAAAUGAUCCUGAUGUGUGUUUUUGUAACUUCAAUUUCACAACUAUUUCUAAAAGUGUGUUUUUAACAUUCUCUGUCUUUAAAUGUUGUCUCUUCAAAUUCAAAACAAAAAUAUCUUUUUUUUUUUGCAAUAAAAAGCAUCAAAUUUCUAAGCAGUUAAACCAAAGAGGUUUUAUUCUCUUAAGGACUAAAAAAGAUGAAUCAUAUUUUGCUUGACGAAGUCAAAAUGAUUUUGGAAGGGUAGCCGUAUCACUGCUAUUAUUUGUAAAAAAAAAAAUUUAAAAAAAUAAAAUAAUAAUAAUAAUAAUAAUAAAAAACUUGAAUUGUAUCAUAAUGUGUCAAAGUAAUAUAACUUAAAAUUGCCCAAAACUAAAAAAAAAAAAAAAAUAUUAUGUUUAAAACAGAAGAACCUUGUUUUCUCAUUAUUGUAUUUAUUAACCUUUUGAAAAACGUUAAUGUGAUUAUGUACCUUUACUGUAGAUAAUAAAUUCCCAUUACAUGUUUAUACAGAGGAGUAUAAUUCUGCAGUAGCUGAAAAAUUAACCAUGCAGCCUCUCACAGAGUGGUGAAACAUGUUGAAAGCAUCGCAUACAAAAAUCAGUGUCAAAAACAUUAUGUCAAAACUCAAUAUGUUGUCCAUGCACAAUUGCAAACUAAGUAUGAGGUUUGAGUUAUUGGCAAACCACAAAUAUCAGAUUUUAUUGACAUUUAUACCAACAUUUUUGGAACUUGGGUUUCAUAUGUUUUCAGUAAUUCAAGACGUGUUUUCGAUACUCAAAGUGAAAUUGGACCAGGGCAGACUGAGUUUGGAUGAGAUAUGUUAAAACUGCCCUUUAAAGAGGUUGUCUGAGGUUUCCAUUUAGUGUUGUGAGUGAUUACCUCAGUUAGACUCUUCACAUAAAACAAACCGUCACCAAGGGCGGUGCGCACACACACAAAGGAAGAAGAGGCGCACGUGAAAGCAGCAGAAAAAGCCCUUAACAUCCUACUUGCUGUGCACAAGGCUCUGUUUUGUUUUCAGCAAAUGGCUCAAUGGUUCGGAGCGUCAUCAAUUUCAAUCCGUCUCUUUUCAGCUCAGGUGGUCUGCAGCGCCUCUAUCACUCCGUCGGUAAACAUCCCGACAAAUAUGGAAAGAUCAAGUGAGGUUUUAUCAUUAUCAUCUCUGCCAAUGUCAUACAGGUAUGUGCUUUCUUCUGCUGGACCAUUAGCGGUAAAUCAAAUGGAACAUAAGCACACUAAUGAAUGGAGCUGGGAACACUUUUUAUACAGCCUAUCUGCUGUGACAUGCUGACUGAGGGCUCCCUGUAUCUUUCCUGAAGGCUAUUUAUCUCAUUUCAGUUUAUUUUCAGAUUAGUUUUAAACAUAUGCAGCGUUGCCUCUCAUCAAACAAUGUCCCAGUUUUUACACCCGCUGUGUGGAUGUUAUGGUGUUUCUCCAUCCUUGCAAAUUAGAAGUGAAAAAAGGCCCUUUAGAGUGAAAGAAAACAGCCAAAGAGUUCAAAUACAUUAAAUUUUCAGCAAAGACAGACCACCCUUGCCCUGCCCGCAUCGCUGCUGGAGCCUCAGCUCUCCCGUUAAUCUGACAAAAAGAUCCCAGCCAAGCACUUUUCCUGAGGGUUAAUUGUACGUGACAUCCAUAAUACAGCUCUGGUCAAUGGUUAUCUUCACUUGGAUGAGGAGCAAGUUGUUUCAGUCCUGUUAGAAAUUCUUGGGUGCUCUAUUUCUUGCCUUAAAAAAGUGUCCUCAUUAAUGCAAUUGUUCUGUGAAAAGUUCAAAUGCGUAAUUCACUUAACAGUGGGGGGAAUUGAUUAAUUUGACCUUUACUGUGUGGUUACAAUCCCAGAGAUGAUAAGAGGCUAUGAAUGGAUCGUGAUUAAUGCUGAUUACAAAUAUUUAGCAAAAGGGAAGCGAAUGUGUCUUGACAUUUGUGAAAAAUGUUUAAAAAGCCAAACAGAGACGUUAAUGGUUCUUGUGAGAAGUUCAAAGAAAGUUCUGCUUCUCAAAUGGUAUGAUCCAUUCAAUUAAAAUAAGAAGGUAAUGCUGCAUUGGUCUCCAUACUGUGCUGCUCGACUGAACUGCAGCACUAAUGAUGAGGCUCGGGGAAGCCGAACUCCCUCAGCUAUCUGUGUCCCUUUUAUUAAGAUGGAGGGGGGUGGACGACUGCGUUGGGGAGAGGAACUGAUGGGUUAAGCAUCUUCCUCCAGAGGAACUUUAUCUGCAGCUGAGGCCUCGGUAGUAAAUUUUAAUUACUCUGACUCACACACAUGCAUGCACACACACACACGAAGGCACACAGUUGGUACACACCUGUUUUCCUCUUUUCUGACUGUUUUCUCUUUUUUGGUGUAUUUCCAAGAGGAUCACAGAGUGCUGCAUUUUUAGGUAGAAGAUUUCUCUUCACCAAGUGCGAACAUAAUUGGGUCAGUCUUGUACUCUUGGUCACUGUGGCUGCUCUCUAAACCUGAAGUAUUACUCCCAUUAGCUGCAGUUCUGUUCCCCUGGGCCAUGGGGGACACAUAGAAGGUAAUUACAGAACAUAAUGUUAUUAAUUACUCUGAGCACUCAUGCUACCGUUGGAGCUGAACUCUGCAGAUGAGCUUUUCAAAGCCAGGCGAGUUUGCAGCACAAUGCCUAAGGUUAAGUGACCCACUCAUCUUUGUCACUGCAUGCAGGGAAAUGUCUCAACUCCUCUGUUCUUGUGAGAUUCUGGGUACACUGACUGUUUUCCUGCUGCUGUUGCUGCCAAGCUAAAAAAAGAAACAAGAAAGAUUUAUCCACAGCGGUCCCCUGCAGUCAUCAGUGUCCUUAUAAGGCAAGCAGAGGGGGGAAAAAACAACAGGAGCAGAUGCCACUGUGAGGUUCUGAAAACAAAUCCAAACCAGUUAAACCAAGCGAUCGGUGAAAAUUAUUAUUUUUAUUAUUAUGAUUAUUAUUACAGACUGAUUUGUCGUGGCGGGUAAUGAGACCCCCUUGCAUGUCAGCAUUGUCAUUAAGCAAAAUGCCUCCCGAUUAUGGGUGUGAAAUUUCCCACCUUCAGCAUGAGCUCCCCGUGAUCUCCUCCUACAUGUGGAGUUAUAUAUAGCGUAAUUUAAUCUCAUUAGCUCAGUGAAGCAUAUGCUUCUGUGUUAUGAUGAAAACACAAAAGUAGGUGUUGUUUCGCAGGACUGGGGAGCUCAAAUGAAUGUGGGAAUGCUUCAAGCUUGUUUGUCAGUUAUUCACACAUUGUUUAAAUUGGUAACAUAUCUAAAAAGGAAAAUGCCCAAUGUGGUGUUUGUGAUUAUGUGGGGAAAAAAAGCCAGAAUCAUCAGAUAUUCAGUGCAUGAGUCACUGUUUGUGGGCACCUUAAGGAGGACAUAAGCUUGUUUAGAUCAUGGUUACUUACUAAUAUCAGUAAAUUAUGACUUUUAAAUGAUCUUUUAUACAUUUUAAAGCCAAACCUAAAUAUUUGUCAAAGUCAUUUCCCUGGUAGUAACCUUUCACUAGGGUUUCAAUUCACUGGAGCUGUUGCUAUUGUACUGAAUAGAACCAUUAGAAAUGACUUGGCAUUGGGCUGAAUUGGGGUCCUUGGUUUAACUGUGGGGAGUAUGGCUAACGUUGGUGGGAAUCAAAUGCUCAAAUGUUCCACCUCAGGAUUAGUUCAUCUGGAUUUAUCUCCUUCCACCAUGUUUCUCGUCAUGUGUUUCUCGUCUUAUUUUGAUACUCACUCUUGUUGUCUAGUUCAGGUAAUUGACUUCCUGCCCGCUGUGUUUCUCUGAUUGUGCUCGUGUUCUUCUCCUGUGUCUUGUUAUUCCCACUCCCUGUGUGUAUUUAAGCUCACCCUCCUCUCAUUUCUGCGCCAGUUUGUUUUGUUCCUUUGUUUCAAACAGUUCAGCCUUUUUUCCACAUGUUGCCCUUCAGGAUUUUUCGACCAGUACCGAUGUCCUUUACCUCACCUUUUGGAAACCUCUGCCUGUCAAGUGGGUGAGCCUGGGCCCACCUACAGAGAUGCUCCAGCUCUUAAGCGAGAUUUGAGUUCCAGUUUUGAGAGAAGUGAUUACAUCUGUUCAGACGCAGAUUAACCCUCUGGUUCAUAGUGGUCACUACAGUGGACAGCUACCAAAAACUCUUUUUCUCUUAAAUGCAAUGGUUUUUAUGGUUGAAGUGUAUAUCAGCCUCUAGGGUGCUCUCUACUGCCCUACUCUAUUGAGUUACAUUUAGUGAGCAAUCAGUGUAACUGCAAGUAAAUUUCCUACGAAUCCAAGAUGGCCGAGAAACAGCCACCCCUGCUGACUACAGCUGGCAUGUCCUGUCAAUACUUCUAUAGUAGAAGAACCCCAGCUGUAAAAAAAAUAUGAUGAUAUCCUGUAACAUCUAAGGAAGGAUAUUAUCCAUUUGGAAUUGAAAAUUUCAUGUCCAAUAUGUAGAAAAUUACAAUUAACCAUGUGUCCAACUGAGUGGACAUCAUGCAUCACCCAGUAUUUUUUUUAACAGGAGUCAUGUAAUUGCUCCACUGUUACUUGUGGCUGUUUUGGUUAUAAAUCAGUGUAUACAGUGUAAUCAGUGUGUAACAGUGACCAGUAGUGGCUGUCAGAGAAGAAUAGACAUGUAGGAGCUGAGGAUGAUGGAGAUACAGACAGUCAGGGUGCAGAAAGGGUAGAUGCCUAUAGUCAAGUGGAUGAGGACCAGGAUGAUGAGAGGCAGGAUGCAGGGGAAGGUCAGCAUGAUCAGGGAGCUGUGGAAAAUAGGCACAUGACACCUGACCAUUCUCAAGCUCGCAAAAAUAUCUGGAAAGUCCAAGACAAUCUCUUUGAUAGAGAUUUGCCUACUUUUCUAGGCGAGUGGAAAUUCAAUGUGGAGGGAAGAGAGCCUAUAGACUUCUCCAGACAUCUGUUUCCAGCAGAUCUCAUUGAUGAUAUAGUGAAAAACACCAACUUGUAUGCUCCCCAGAAAGGGAAAGAAAAUGUGGCAGUGACAGGAGAAGAAAUGCAGACUUUUUUAGGGAUCAACAUGAUCAUGGGCUACAUUCGUUAUCCCGGGGCAGAAAUGUACUGGUCUAGUGAGGAUGGCCUUCGUCUAGGGAUGAUUGCAAAUGCCAUGUCUGUAAACAGAUAUGAGCAAAUCCUGUGCUCAUAUUAAGCCUGUGUGCCACUGUGCCCUGGAUGCUUUGCCAACUUUCAUACAUCCUAGGUGUGAUGAGCAGAGACAUGUUUGGAGAUGCAGGGACUAAAAUGUCAGUUUUUGUUGUUGAAAACAACAUGCUCGUAUAAGGGCAUGGUAAAAUCAGUCCUGAAUCUUUAUAGUACUGUGGGGACUUACAGUUUUGUUUCCAAUGUUGGAGAUAGUUUGGCAUAUUUAGGUGUACUGUACUUUUUACUGUAAGUUCAUAAUGUUUUGUGUUGAGUGCUCAGGCGCAUGUAGUCCACUUGAAUGGACACUUCUGUAGUUUUGUGAAAAAAUAACAUUUUUGGAAAAAAACAGUUUAACAUGUUCUUUUAUGUCCUUAGAAUAAUAAAAACACUUGUGAAAAAAAUCUUAAUCAGGGCUUUCAUAAUUCAUGCAUCAGAGGGUUAAUACGAAAGCUGCCGAUGAUUUUUUAACCGAGGUAUCCAUUGUCAGGAGUUGACUGGCAUCCUUGGAAAACUGAUAUGAAGCCUUAACUCAAACCAUGGUGAAGGAAAAGAUAGUUUCUCUGACAUCGAGCAAAAAGUUUUUUCUCUUUAAACCCUGGGUUCUUCUAUUUCAGGACUUCAGCUAUAAUGCAGCUCAUAAUGAAAUUCCCUAUAAUAUAUGUGGCCACCAAUCCCAGAGGGUAAUAUUCUUCCAGUUAUGUUAACAGUUCUGUUUGAGUAAGCCAUGGCAUACUGAUCCUCCAAAACAAACAAUGGUAUUGAACCAGAAUUAGCUUUAAUACCUCUGUAAAUGUCACCGCUCGAUUCGUGGUUCGUGCUACAUCCAACUCCAUGGUGUAUAGGCUUUAUAGGGAAAGCUUAUUUAAUUCUACUAAUUAAUCAAUAACUGUAUAGAUAUGAUCACAUUACACACAUGUGCCUGUGUCCCUUAAUUAAUAGCUGCACUGAGAAUACAGAACAGCGUUGAGGUUCCUGAAUGCCAGUACUUGUACCUGGAUCCUGCAGCACGCUGGUGUCAUAAAACCAACGCCACACAUAUUCAACAGUUUGUCUUUGCAGUUGUUUAUGGGUGAAGAAGAAGAAAAAAAGAAGGCAGCAUCCAAACAGACGCUGUGACGGUCCUCCAGAAGGGAGCGAUGCCUCCCUUUAUUCCCACGGGACUCUUUGGCAGUUAUGAUGCAUUUACUUACCCACCUGAACACAAAUCAUUUUCUUUCAUCUGUUCAUGCUUUACAGGAGAUCAGUGAGAUACAUCUCCACCCGUUUGAAGUACUGUUACCUGGAGACACGCUGCUGGGCUGCCGCACUGAGCUUAUUUGAUAUACUGAAUUUUAUGUCAACUGUGGCAAUCCACUCUAUGCAUCAUGUCUAGUUUCAAGCAUUGGGGGAGGAUAUAAGACAUGAUAUUGCUGUUUCUUAAAGCCGCAGAUGCUGCUGGACUGCCCGUUGUUGUGAUGUUCUGUAACACAGAUCGUUCGCCGUAUGAAGAGGAGGUCAGGGAAGUGCAGGAGACAUCAGAUAAUGAUCGCUCAAAUCAAUGAAAGUAAAGAGCUUAUCAGAAAUACAGUAUGCAAAAUGAGCGGAUGCAUGUUUAUCCCCUGAUAUGUAGUCUGCAGGUGUGUCAUGUCAUGUAGGGACAAACAAAGAAAAAGACCCAAAUGCAGAACAAGAAAAUGAUUGAAUUAAAAGAACCAAUUGGAAAAUGCGGGCGGCACAGUGGUGUAGUGGUUGGCACUGUCGCCUCACAGCAAGAAGGUCCUGGGUUUGAAUCCGACUCAGGGUAUUUCUGUGUGGAGUUUGCAUGUUCUCCCUGUGUCUGCGUGGGUUUACUCCAGGUUCUCUGGUUUACUUCCACAUCCCAAAAACAUGUCUAGGUGGGGUUAGGUUAAUUGGCCACUUCCAAAUUGCCCAUAGGUGUGAAUGUGAGCGUGGAUGGUUGUUCAUCUCUAUAUGUCAACCCUGCAAUGAACUGGCGACUUGUCCAGGGCGUCCCCUGCCUUCGCCCAAAGAUGCUGGGAUAGGCUCCAGCCCCCCUGCAACUUCAGCAACGGGAAUAAGCGGUAGAAAAUGGAUGGAUGGAAUUUUAAAAAAGCAACAAAAGAGAAAAAUCCCAAAGACAAAAUCCACAAAAAUUACUGGGUCAAAAUCACAGGGAGCAACAGGGAACACAAGCAUAGGCAUCAACAUACAUACAAUGAACCAACAAGGACAGAGGGUAAAACAGGGACUAUAUACACACUGGGAAACAAGCAACAGGUGAGGCAAACGAGACACAGGUGGAACUCAUGAGUGAUUAACGAAGGAGGGAAAACUAAGGAAGUAACAACAGACUAGAAACACAAGAAAUCAACUACUACAAAAUAAAACAGGAAACACUGAAAACUGAUCUAAAGAAUAAAACACAGAGAACAGGAGGGAAACAGGGUCAAACACAAACUGAAAACUCACAAGAAAAGAACACUAGGGAACAGAAACACUUGGGAAAAAUCACAGAGAGACUCCACUCAACUUAACCAGGGAAAAACUGAAAUCAACAGAACAUAUCCUGACAGAGUAUUGCAUUAUUGAGUUAGAAUAACAUCAUACUUUCAAGCUAUUGUAAACCUAUGUACAAACUGUGUCUGCUCAGUUUUAUGAGCUCACAGAUUCGCUUCAGUCCGACACAUCUGUUGUGCAAUAAUACACAUCGCCCCAAACAUUUUAUUUAUCGGGGUUUGAUGGGACUGUUGUGAACUCCACAAUGCUACAGGAAAGAAAAGUUAGUGAGUGAGAUUUUACAGCCAAAUAAAAUUUUAGUGGUUGAGUAAGACUCGUCUCACCCUGGAGGAGUCCCUCUAUUAUAACAACUUUAUAUUAUCCCACUUGUUACACAGCCAUUGACUUUGCUCAUAGGGUGGAUGUUGGUUAUUUUACACUGAAUUCUUGAUUCACAAAUGUGUUAAUUGAAUUAAAAACGGCUUUUAAAGAUAGGGUAAUGUGUCUCCAGCUGAGGUCUUUUUUUGUUGAAGCAGCCAGAGAAACAGAAAGAAAACUGCUGCAGACAGGGACAACUGCACCAUGUAAUUUGGCUAAAUUUAACAAACACGAACCAAAGCACUAUUCUCAGUGUAAGGGAACCGUCUAUUUGGGGUAUUUUCCUUGUUUUACUGUGUUAAGGUUAUUAUUAUGCAUACAGCACACUGGUUUUGUUCUCCAGCUAGUUUUCCAGCUAAAGGGCCGAGCUAGUCAGCAUCACUCAGCACAGCUAAGGUAUGUUCACAGAUCACUGAGGAGAUUAAACAGGACUACAGCACAAGAAUCAAAUUGUUGACAGAAACAUUUCUACAACAGCUACAGUAGGGGGCGAAAUGCCAUUUACAACUGAUCAGAUGACUUACUACAUCCUACACCCAACAAUCGACAAGUACAUUUUCAAGUGGUGAAAGAUAAAAACAUGGUCACUUUUUAAACGUACAACGAGAACCGACUUCCUAGCAACAAAUUUACCAAGUCCACUUCCAGGCCAAAGAGAGUGUGAAUUCUGGAGCACAAGCAGAACACUUAGACCAGUUUCAGUCCAACUGAAUCAUCUAAAUCGAGAAGAAAAUUGAGCUCCAACGACAUUAUCCAGGUUUGUUAGUCCAGCUAUGAGAAGUUUGUGUGAUUUCAGCCGGACUAAAGUGAAAACGUAUUUCAGAAAGUAUCUAUUUGAAUUGUACAGUUGGAUCUGUGUUAACAGUAACAGCUAAAACUGACGGCUUCUUAAACGGAGUUAUCUUUGCUUUAGCCGAACGUUUCUACUCAUGACUGUGAAAGUAUGAUCAGGAAUGUCGUCAUUGAAAGUUAAUUUCUGUCUUGUGACAUCCUAUACCAUCUAUAUAAUAUUCACUUUAUCAUCUGUUUUCAGGUGAGACUCGAACCCCCGACCGCUGCGGGGACCGUUAACCCACUCGGCCAUCUGCGUACCGCACAUUUUAAUGUGUUUAUUAGCUUUUAACUCCUUCCCUUCAUCUACUAUCAUCUCCUUCCCUUCAGUACACAACCUGACAUGAAAUAGACAUGAAUUCUUCCUGCACCACGACCUGUCACUGCCUCUGUGAGUACAGUCCCAAAUUGAUGAGGGACUUUUACUUUUUUUGGAGGCAACAGCAACUCAAUCUUAGGGAACUCACUUUAGGAAACACUGGCUGAAAUAAGAUAAAAAAACACAGAUUUUAAAUCUUAAACUUGCAUUAAAGACCCAUUCUGAUAAAAUCACAUUUUCCUUGUUGUCUACAUGUUCAUAUGGUUCUAACCUGCUGUGGAGGCCUCACUCAGAGGAGAAAUACAGAGGGGGGUCGCGGAACAAGCGUGUACAAUAGUGGUUUGCAUUGUUCGUAAGAAAGUUAAUUAUGAAGAAAAGCUCUUCAAAAUAACAGGUAAUGUGAUUUUGGCUAAAAACUUAAUACUCACAAUUUGAAGACCACUGAGAACACUUUAAGAAGUAGAAAAAAUAAAAGAUCAGAGUGGGACUUUAAAUGUACUGAAGUUCAUUCCCAUAAAUGUCCGUGUCGACCUAACCAGGCCUCUAUUAGCUGACAGUUAGGCGAGGGAAUAGAGACAAGCUGAGAACACAGUGUACAGUGAGCAGGUGAUUAUGUAGAUUAUAAUCCCAAGAGGCCCUGUCCCACUCCAUCAGGACUCUAAUCAACAUAUUUACCUGCUCUCUGUACAUGAGCUUGUUAUCACAUGGUUACCAACCACAGCUGUAGACAUGGAGUCCGUACUUAAGGGGUUUUAAGGAAGGUGAACAGGUGAUUUCUCUCUUUCUAAGGGCUUGUUAUUCGUCCUAGCCUGUACACAAUGAUUUAGCUGGAACAUGCUAAACUUUAGAGAGGAAGUUCUAGAUUAAAAACAGUGUUCGAAAAUUUGCAUUUCAGUCGACAUUUGCUCACAAACUUAAAAGAAUAAAUCAUAGCUUGUAUUAUUUCUGACUCUUACUGGAUUCUAGUGUUUCUAGGAUAUUUUCUUUUGAAUAACUGUAUUUAAAAUAUUUAUAGAAAGCAUCCCCCUUUUCUCAGUUGUAUAACAAACCACUUACUUUAUCUCCCUCCUCCUGAACCCAAAACUACCUACGCUCGUGGGUAAAAAUCGGGACUUAGCCUAAAUCCCAUGCGAUUAGCUUCUGAACGUGAGUUAUUUCUCUUUCACGACCAUGAAUUUUCCCUGUGAAUGAGAUGUUAAUCCCCCCGGAGAAAGCGUUUACUAGAUAGUAAUCCAACGUUUGUUCUCUUCAGUGUUGGACCAUCUGAGCUGCUAACAGGUGAGAGCAGGUUUAAUGUGUCAUAGUAGCACUUCAUUCCUGCGCAAUCAAAGUGUCACACAUUAUUGUCUGCUGUGUCUGGCUGUUUGCAAACACUGCGCUAAUACUAUAAUACCUGGUAGUGCGGUAUUGUUCCCUGAGGGCUUGUUGUGUACCACCUCUUCACAGGCAUUAUUUUCUUUUCUAACAAAGGUGGGUGUUUAAUAGUGUGAAAAAAAAGGAUGAAAGACAACUGUGAAGAUGAUUGUAACACACUCCUGAACACAGGCUCCUUAAAUUGGAUUCUUAAGAGGGUUCUCUAUCAGUAAAUGAUGUUUUACACACUCACCCGACGACAGCUCCGGAAGAAUAAUGGUGUCAGAAAUCUUAUUUUGUAAUACAAGGCUACAUGCUGCAAGGUCAGGCAAUUAGGGAAAGCUGUUAAGGUGCGCCAUCUCAUUUUCAUUUGUUACACAAGCUGGCCCAUUUCACACCCGUCAUGGAUCCUAGAAGUCAAUAUUGUCUGCAUAUUCGUAAAUAAAAGCCUGACUCUCCACUCCCCCAAGGCAUUAUUGGCGUUGCAAGUCCACUUGAAAGAAGCAGUGAGUCUCCAAAGGUCAUUCUGCUUUUGAGCUUUGUACCUCACUGCCUGGCAGGUUUAUUCUCCGACAAAGGGCCAAGGGGGGAGUAGAGCGCUCUCGGUGCGAGCCAAUUAGGCCUUGUUUAUUUUCCUCUGCUGUCUAAUAAACGUCACUUUCUCGUUUUAAUGGCUUGAAGGGGAGAGUGUGAUUAAAAUUUAGGCCCCUGGUGUGACCGAACGUGAAACAGAGUCACGUCCUCUGCACAGGUUCCUCCAUCACAUAAAAUGGCUCUUGACACAGUAUUGUUAUUGAAGGUUAUGAUAAUAGAAAUAUUUAUUAGACCCAUCUGACCUCUAUGUGCAAGAAUAACGACCAAUGUGAGGCCAACAUGAGUAAAUAACAGCACAGACAACAACUGCGUUCAGUUUACCGUUUUUCAAAGAACCUCAAAUUCCAAAAAUAAUAAGAAAUAAACCCAAAAUUUUUUAAUUUUUGAAAGUAAUGACUCGCAGAUCAUAAAAUGCACUCCCUUUUUUUUUCCUAUUUAAAACAACAACAAAAGAAAAACAAAAACGGUUUCUUUCACCACAGCUACAAUGUUGCACACUGCCAGGGGCAUGGCCAAAGGGUAACCAGGGACGACACAGGUCCCUUUUGAAUCGGAUUGGCUACCUUGGGUGCCUCCUAAAAAUACCUCCUAAAAGGUGGAAAUAAAUGUUGAAAUCAAUCAUUCGGACCUAUUUUGUUGGUACUUAAAAUUGUUGGUAAUACUUAACAGAUUUAUUUCUUACAAGUUCAUGAGAAGAAGAAAUCCUUCACCCCCCUGAGCAAAUUCAAUCAAAAAAUGUCACUAAUAUCAUCAGACCCUUUAUGCAGUCAUUUUAGCAUUUAGUCAUUUUGUACUUUUCUUAACUGGCACAUGGUUGAAAAAUGCUCCAACUAACUGCUCUUUAGACUAUUCGUUUUGUGCCAUUAUUACAGGGCCCAAAACGCAUUAAAAACAGCUUCAUCCAACUAAUGUACACAAGUUUUGAAAGUACUAAGAGCUUUAAAACACCUUUACAAUAUGAUAUAGACGACUUCAAACACACAAGUUAAUCAGUAUUUAAUAUUUAUGACAUGACUCUCUCCUCUCCGUUUUUUUCUCACGUCGCUCCUGCUUGAAGCGCUGCGUUUCAGUCUCAUUAUAAUCGUGAUGUUGUUUUUCAUCCGUGACAUUUAAAAAUGUCAAUAGAAUGCAGAGCACCUAAAACAUAUGAUAAUUUAGCAGAUGCUUGGCGCACACUUGUGGGGAAUUCUCAAUACCUCAGCAGUUCACUUUAUCAUGUUUUGUUUGACUAAGUCACAAACUUGUAAAAACUGGUUUCUAAGAAUAGCAGAGGAGGCUUUUUUCCCCUCUUUCCCUUUACGAGCUUGAGCAUUAUGACAACAACAAAAAAGCUCAAAUGCUUUGGUAAUGAUGGACUUGCAUCCCAAAAAUAGGGGCAAGAGAGUAGCAGUAGAUAGGGGAGACUGGGGACAGUUGCAGCAAGGCUUAUUCCUCCAAUCAGAAACAUGCUUGGUUGAUGACACUGAAAUUGCAGAUGCUCAGUUGGAAGAGACACAUUUAACAUCAUCAUCCGGAUUUAUAGGAAAAAAACAUGUUUUUGAUGUAUGAGAGUAAAAUUUUUCAAGCGGUUUAUUUUUGUCAUCCUGUCGUGACUGUUUGCACCACAGGCUAGUGUUGCAUGAUAUGCAGUGUUACAUUUGCAUCAAGAUUUGUAUUCGUAUCUUGGUAAAUUCCACAAUCCAUUGACUAACAUUGCAAUCUUUAACAUCUGCACAUUGACUCAUAGUAGGCUUAUGUUUUAUGCAGAAAGAAACAAACUCAAUAUUAGAUACUAGAUCAAGGAAAAAGUACUAUUACAUUUUGUGUAUUAAAUUAUCAUAAUAAUACAAUAAAAUAAUACAUAUUCUCAGACUUGUAUGCUCACUGAGAUGAAACAAAAAUUAAAAAAAUUGAAAAUUGAAAUUGAAUGAAUUUGUGACAUGUCACAACCAUCCAAGGGAUGGGAUCAGUUGCAAAAGUUGACUUUUUUCUUUUUUUGAAUGAACAUAGUGAAAAAUCUGUCAAAUGUAAUCAUAUUUAAAUGGUAUGGGGAUACUGAGGACAGAUGUAAAUGUACUAUUUAAAUAAAUGGUUGGCCUAGUCCAAAUCCUCUCUGAAUAAUUGAGAGAAGAGUGAAGUGUCGCAACUGUCCCCAGUCUCCCCUACUUCUUAAAGUAUCACAUUUUUAUGCUGCAAAUUCAGGUAAAGGCUCUAAAUUCACUUUAACUUCUGAAAAAGAAAUGCAUUUGGUUCAAUAAUCAAAUGAAUCAUAAGUUUGUACGGUUUUCAGGAACAAUGGGUUCUUUUGAAGUUCGACAUUUUCCCUUUAAAACUGAUUUCAUAAUAUUUUUAAUGAAAAUGUUGAAGUCUCUUUUUGAUGUAUUAUUACUGUCUUGAGCUGUGGCUCAUUUUUUCCAUUUCAGUUCUGAAUUCCUCCCUGAAUCCAUUUGUCCUCGGCUUUUUACAUUAGUACCAAGCUAAUUCCUAACUGAAACCCAGAGAUUUAAUAGAAAUCUUCAUUCUCUUUUCUUUACUUUUUUUUUUCUGAGGAAGGCUGUGAAACAUUAAGCAGAAGUUUUAGUUACACCCCAAAGAAAAGGCUUGGAAAUAAGAAGGGCAGAAAAAUAUAUCAAAGACGAUAUUCUACUUUUUCAUGUUAAAAGAAAGGAGACAACUGCAAAAAUGAAAAAGACACUAAAAUGAGGGUUUAUUAAGGUGCCGGUCUGAGAUUAAGAGUUUCUGAAGCUGUAAAUCAUGUAAAGCCACUACAGAUGUUUCAGAGAGAGAGAGAGAGAGAGAGAGAGAGAGAAACACACACACACACACACACACACCCAUCUAUCUAUCUAUCUAUCUAUCUAUCUAUAUAUCGAUAUAUAUAUAUAUGUCCACAGCUCCAUUGGGAUUGCUGGCGGAGGCGGGAUUUAUGACCUAUACUGCAGCCUCUCAAUAGAGGGUGCUGUUCUCAGAGUAGCUUCACCCAGCGAGGAGGCAGACUCUGUCCAUUCUUUACAGAGUCUAUGGAACCUGCAUUUUCUUUAAACAUGGUUGCAAAGUGUUUUAAAAGAAGAAGAUAAAAACCACGUGGAACGAUAGAGAACUAAAACGGGACAGUAGAAUUGAUCCGAUUGAGCGAUGAUAAUAACAGUCAUGAACAUGACAGGUGCAGAGAUGUGAACACAGCUGGAGAGACGGUGCUCUCAUCGCUGUUUUCAACAGAUUGGAGUAUAAAAAGCCGCACAGUUGUGUUUUUAAAGUAAUAUUCAUGAGAGCAGAAAGUGAACAAGAUUAAAGACCAACUGAGAUGGAAAUUUCUACAAACUUCUGUCUAAAGGGGGGGCACCAGAAAGUACGCUAACAAUCCAAGUCCAGUAAAUGAUUUAAAUCCAAACAUACAUAAACACAAAGAUUCACGUAUUACUUCAAGUCUUUAAAUGUUUGCUCCUCAAAGAAUGGCCUGUAACCCAUGUAACCAUGUCAAGGUCCGUCCUCUUUCUCAGGUGAACAACCUCAGCUUUUUGGGACUGCUUUUUAUAGGACUAUUUGUGGUUCUUGAGAGUUUUGUUUUUAGUGUUUUUUUGCUUGCAACCAACACAUGCCUCCCAUUUAAGUGUAGAUUUGCAUAUUCUGCCAGCAUAAACCUUGACAAUUCUGGAUGAAGGACUGCACUGAUGAAGAGCUGAUAUGUAAAAUUUUUUGAAGCUUUUGAGGGUUUGAGGCAGAAAUUGACGACAUGUCAGAUGGAGAUUUAAGAUGUACGAAUGACUGAAGUCAGAUUUUCAAAAAGGGAGAAUAAAAAGUCAGUCUCUCUGAGUGUAUAUGUGUAUAUACCUCAACAGUCAGCAGAAUUAAUACCAGGAGUUGGUUAUUCCGGAGUUCAGGAGGACAGUCACCUCCUCACAGUACCAGUCCAUUCUCGCUGGAUGACCUUUUGGAUUGACAGAUUUCUUGAAAGUGAUAAUAAAGUGUCAGUUUGUUCUUUUAAAAGGCUGUAAGGGAUUAAAUGAUAAAGAAGAAGGUGAAACAUCUUUCAUGGACCCAGUGUGUGGUUUUAGUAGAGAAGAUUAUUGGAGAUUGAAGGAGAAUAACAUUUAAAUUAUAAUACACAACUGCAGGGAUUGUUGCUUUUCUCUUUUCAGCCUUUUUUCUCAAACUAUUGGUGAGAAAAUGAACCUGAAAACAGUCAGAAACUGUCUUACAUAAAGGAAAGAGGAUGUAUGUUUCUCAGAAGGUCUAACCCUGCAGAGAAGGACGUGUACACUUAUUAAAAAACAGGAAUUAAAAGAGAGUUUUGCAGAGCGUAUUGCAGAUUUAUAUGUUUUUUUGUGACUGUUUGGACCAAAAAAGAAUAAAGUCACAUCCUGGGAAGCUUGUUACGCCUGUGCCCACACUGAGAAGGCCCAAUUAGCUUUCUAUUCAGCCGGGACUCUGAAAGACUAACAGUCACUGCCAAAGAUCACCAGCUGUGAUUUAGGCGAUAUAAAAUGCCAGGGAUAGUACAAAAAGAUAGUGGAGAACAAGCUCUGUAGGUGAUCAGUAGAAUCUUAACAUUAGUUCAAAAAUUUACUGGCGAGUGUUGCGCUGUGUAAAAGCCAGAAAAGGUCAAACAAGGUCGUGUCUUUUAGAUUGAGAUAAAAGCUUAGUUCAGUCCAGAUAAUGUGAACUGCUUAAUAUCUGCGAUUAAAAGAGGCUCACUUUAACAGUUUCCAAGAGCUGUUAUCCAUAACAAUGAGCCGGUGAUGUACAAUCUGCAAAAUUAAAUCAUGCUAUUGUAAGGCAGAGUGAAAAUGACCUCAAAGUCAGAGUGAGAGCACCACUGAAUGCUUAAUUAGGCAGUUAGUGUUGGCAAGCCUGCUGCCUAAAUAAUGGCUGUGGUGUGGAUCCAAAACAGGAGCAAACAUUUUGCAGAGCUUUCAGCUGUAAACCAUGCCGGGGCUGCCAAAGGGCUUUGUGUACCAAAGAGUCCGACUGCUGCUACAGUACCACCCCCGUACUGACUAACUCUCUCUCUCUCUCUCUCUCUCUCUCUGUGAGUGUGUCUCCCUCUUUUAACUCAAAUCAAUGCAAGAAAAAAAAAAGCUUUCCCACAUAACACUGUGAUUAAAAUAUACUGCCAAAGCAAAUACAGAUGAUUUGAGAGGAAGUCUGAAUAAAUUAGACAAGAACUCUUAGCAAAUGCAGAUGCUAAUGUCACGGGGUCAUGGAGUGAUUUGAGCAUUCAAAAAAAAGAAAACACAAAUGACUUUAUCUGGCAUAAAAUGAGUGUCAAAUUAUUAUUUUUUUUUCCACUUAUUUCAGACAGCUGUAAAUAAUAAGCCACGCACAAUAAUCUGUACACAAUGAGAGUGUAUCAAAUAUGUGUACAGUUAAUGCAAAAUAGAGACUCAUGAGGGCCUCAAAUACUAAUAAUUUACUAUUUGAGAAUGACAUGAAGUACAGUCAUGAAACAACAACAACUUUUGCACUAAUUUGACUCCAUAUUUGCCAGGAUAGGCAGACACAAAGGCUUAGAGGACACUGAUACACUAUCUUGAUUUAAAAAAUAAAAAUAAAACAAAAACACAAAAAAAAAUUUUUACAGUAUAAACAGUCGAGAUGGUUGAGAAGCAAAUGCAGCUGCUGUUUGUUUUUUGUUUUGAACUUAACCUGAAGUGAAAGCAUGAACAGCUAAGAUGUGACAGCACUGUGGUCCUGACUCUAAAAAACAGUUUAUUCUCAUUGUGUCUAUCUAUGGUUGACACAAAGGUGAAGAAACUUCACAUUGGCGUAGUCACAGUGAUUUUUCUGCCUUGUUCCUUCAGAGUAACAAAUGGCUUUAACUUUGCCCGUGCCAGUUUGAGUGAAUCUUUGAUGUAAAAAAAGCUUUUAGAAAAUUAAACUUUUGCAGUUCAAGGAGCUUGAAAUACUUCUUUACUCUUUAUCCACGGUGAUAAAUUUGGUCUUCAACAACUUAAGGUGACAAAUCUUCAGUCGUGCACAGAACAAGUCAAAAAAUAUGGCUGGUGUCUUAAAAGUGUCUAUACACAACACAAAUGUGUGUUUGGCUUUAUAGUUGAGCUUAUUUUUACAGCCCCCAUGCUCCGGGGAGCACUCUUCAAUAUGUUUUUAGUGAGCCUCUGUCAGCUGGCUGGAGCCUCCAGAUAAGAGCUGUUAUGUGUUGUGUAGUUAGUGGUUAAGUAUUGGUGUUCUCCGCAGCUCCCUGUGUCACUGUGUUAUCUGAAGGGUCCCAGCGAGCUCCUCGGGCUCGACUCUCCAGGUCGCAGUAAUGAGAGAGGAUAAUUACCGAUCACACUUUGUAAAUGGAACAGCAGGACGAUAGAGAGCGUCUAAUGAAGCCCCCCACCCCAUCUCACCUCACCUCACACACUCCCUCCCACAACAGCGUAAAGAGCAGAAUAAUGACAGACACCGACACUGCUGCAGGUCUCUCUGGGCCUCGUGAAGAGGAACUUUUGUGCUUCAAAAACUUGAUAUUCGUCUUAGAGUUUAGUCCUACCUGAACCUCGUUUUUUAAACCCAGAAUAUAUUUAGUAGCAGAGACGACAGGAAAACAAGAGACGCUGCCAGUCUGAAAGAAAAACAAAUGAAAGUAUUUUUGUUUUAAAAUGGUAAUGCCUACUUAAGGACUUCUGAUGCUGUCUUCUAUUAUAAAUGUGUAUUAUCAAACUUCUUUCCUUUAACAGUGAUGUCAUUCUGAGGAUAUUAUCUCUGCCUGGAUAUGUUGGUAAUGUUAAACUGUAUGUACCAAACACCUACAAGGCAGAAUAGCAAAGGGCAACAAAAAGGCUUUCAGACCAGUUUAGUCAGUACAGAAUCAGAACCAAAGACUGUAUCUAGAAUGAAUGCCAUCUGUCACCGCGAACAGCGCCCUCUGGUGACGGGCUGCAGUAUAGGUCAUAAAUCCCGCCUCCUCCUGCAAUCCCUAUGGAGCUGUGGAAAAACUUUAGAAACUUAUUACCCAGAAUAUAAAUUGUUCUCCCCCCUGCUUGUGAUGUUGACAUGUAGUUACUGUGAGACUGGUUUGGGCUCAAAUCCUCUUUUUUCUGUGCAGCUCCAUUUUUAAGUCUGUAAAACAUAAUUUCAGUCUUCUAAAGGUCCUGAGAGGAACUGUCAGUUUGUGUCAGUUUUGGCGCCCCCUGUAGACAAAUCAUGUACUGCUCAAGCGCUGUCAUUUGACAAAAAAAAUCAAAUUGUGCAUCUUAUGACUGUCAAACAUAUCACUUAUUGUAAAUAUUUGCUGUGCCUUAUUGACACCCACACCCUCACACAGGUUUCAGGCAUAAUAAAAUCACAUUAUAAAAAUGGUGAAUCUUGAUGUUCUUGUUUUUGUUUGUAUAUCAUGAAAAGGCAUCAAUAUGAAUGUCAGUCUGUUUCAUAAAUGUCAAAAAAGUAAAAAUAAAUAAACCCUAACAGGAGCUUGAACGCUGUUACCUGUGUCCUGACUUUGUGUUUUUUAUUGGAUAAUCUAGUCUGAACUCUCCCUCUUAGUUAAACUACAGUACUGUCCUUCCAGAUCUGCUAAAGUGAGGAAAGUGCAUUACUCAGAAAAAAAAAACAGCAAUAAAUGAUGGACACGUCUCCCUGACUCGACCUUGUCUGCAAGUGCAAGAAUGAAAAUGGCUGUAUUGCUCUUUUACAACAGUCAUUAAUUGAGCUUGUGGUUACAGGCAGACUGGACAGACAUUUAGCAUUCUGCAGCACAGAUUUAAAGUUGAUUAAAAGUAUGAAACAUUCCAUUAAAGGCGCUUUCCAUCAUAUUACCAAACCAGGAGAAAUUGACACUUUGACACUGAGCUGUCAGAGUUUACAGCACAAAGAAAAAACGUGCAAAAUGUGAAACUGACGUCAUCCUGACUGUGGCAGCAGAGGGAAGCGUACUUAUAGAGCACUCGCUGCAGCCUUUGACUGGCUGCAUCCUCGUUUUUUGACAGACAAAUAAGAUUCAUGAUGUUGGAAAAUAUCAUGAAGUUUGAAUGUUCACCAUCAAAUCAAAACAAAGCAUACAUGCUGCAAGAGUUUUGACUCUUAAAUAUCUUUUUUGCAUGAAGAAAAGUCUUGUUUAUGAAUAUUCAUCAAAUAUAUUUAUUGAAAUUGCAGAAUUGAGUUCAGUGUUGGUUCAGACAGCUCUGGAGUCCAGCACAGCCUGUACUGAACUCACAACCAGCUCAGAUAAUCUUCACAAGGAAAUAACAAUAUCAGCUACCGGCUUUUUUUUUUCCUUUUGGUAAAGUGAUAAAUUAUUAUGUCCGUAAAUAUAAAAGUGAGACAACUCUGCAUAAUCACCUAAUCUGUUCGAUUUAAUUUGUUAUGCACCAUAGACUCUGUUGCACUCUCUGGACUCAAGACAUUGUGUCCAAAGAUUUAGAGAUACCUUUGGCCUUCACCCAGGGCAUAAAACCCUGAAUUUCACUUUAGGGAUUAAUUUCAAAUAGUUGACUAUUUUACAAGCAGCAACUCCCCGUAGCUGCUUCUCCUCGUAAUGAAGUCAGUGAGUGAAAAUAUGAUGAUCGCCAAAACCCUGAGAAGUAGCCUCAGCUGUAAAAAAAAAAAGAAAAGAAAAAGAAAAAAGUGAAUUCCUUAAAGUGAUGUCUCAUCUCAUUAAUUUUAAUUGCAGAUCACAAAUGUUAAUAAAGGAUGAGAUUGAAAAGGGGCUCUCUGACCUGAAGUCCCGAUCAAACCUGUACCCUCAUCUUCUUCUCCUCCACCUUCAAGUGGAGGACAAACACUGUACCCAGCCAGAAAAAACAAAGGCAGAGGGGAGACGGAGCACUUUGUCAGAUCAGCUAAUUGAGUAUUUGGCCCAAAGCAGAGGCCAUUUAUAAGACACCCUCCCUCCUCCUUGCUUGCCCAGCACACUCCCAUUCCUUUGGCCCUGUCCAGCUGUGUGCUGCUGUGACAUAGGGCUUUGUCACCCCUGUUCCUGUAGACCCCCUCCCUGCCUGCUGCUCGUUCAUCACAGCAGAGUGAUUCCCGGGUUUAAAGGAAAGUGAUGAAGAUGCUUGCAGGCCCACUGUGGACACAGCAGGGCCCUCCAGGCUAAAGUGCCCUGAUCAAUCACAGCCCCUCAGGGUCAAAAUGCCCUUCAGACUCAAGGAAACAGGUGCACAAGUUGAUUCACAAAAACAUUCAAAGCAGACAUACCCACACAAACACACACACACACACAGCAAUCCCCCCCCUUAGGUCUGACACUAAUCCCACUUGUUGUGCCCGUUUUGGCCAACUCAACCCUUUUAUCAUAGCGCAGCACUUCAUCUUUGUUGAGGAUGACAAUUAGGAGGCCACCAAUGUGUAAUCAGAGGGAGUGUGGCAGAAUCAUAAUAAGUGUCUGCGCCAUCUCCCACUCUUUCCCAUUUGAACAGCUGUGACUCCAGCAGUGCCCUUGGCAAGCUUCAUCCCCAGUUGUCUCAUUUACUUGCAGCCACUGAAGUAUUUGUUUGGAAUAGUGUGUACCUCAAAUAACUGGAGAUAGUUGUUGUCUUGUUUUUAAGAGUUUGUUUCCAAAAAUUGCAAUGAUUUUUUGACAGCAGACAAAUACAGCGUGACCCUGGGUUAUCCAUCAGCUCCAUCUGCGUUUUUUUCCUGAAGUGAUUUUGAAUGUUAGAGAAUUUGAAAUCCUGGCAGUAGAUCAUUAUGACCUUUGUAACUUGUAUUAUCCUGCUGUGAUUGAACAGUCCUGGGAAACAGAGAGAUUAGAAAACCAGCUGCUGUACCUGCAGUGAUAAUUUUGUUACAGAAAUAUUGGCAAGUUUUCUUUAAAGCACCUUUUUUCAUGAUGAUGACUUAAUUGACCUUUUGCUGAGCCAAUGGCAGCUUCGUAUCAGUUGCACCGGGACCGGAACUUGGAUAUCUAUAGUUUUCAGCUCUAUAGAGAAGCAUUAAAAAUCAUGAUUUUUCAUCUGUUUUAUGGCGCACUAUUUUACUAUAACAGAAAGAAACAUGGUAAAAAGGUGUGCAUGGGGUACGUGUAAUACCGACACAAGAUAUUCAAACAGGAUGGGCAAAGUCAAUGUCUGCUAUGGAUUUAAUUGUGUAGCAGACCACACAGCCAACUUAACAUCCAGAAGAUCAACAAGGACGUCUUCAUUUGUUCUACGGUAAAUUACGUCAACAUAGCUUUAAAUUUACUAACCUUAACAACUAUUUUUUUAUGUCAUUAGCGAUGCAGUAACAGAGCUUUCGCCUCUGGUAAACUAACUAACUUAGCACACUAGCUGAGUGACUGCAACACUCAGUGCCUCUCCAGAUUAGUUUAAUUAAUUAAAGGUAAAUUAAUUUAACCUAACCCUGCAGUACACAAACAGUGUUGGUCUUGGAUGUUGUGUUCUCACCAAUCACAUCUAAUUUUACAUUCUGGAUACAUCCCUCCAUGGCAUAAUGAAGUCCCUUUUGAAGGCUCCGGUUGUAUGUCCGAGUUAGCAACAGUAACUAAGGGGGGGCGGGGCUUAGCAAUAGGUCAAUUGGUCAGCAAACUAUCAAUGAAAAUCUCUGCUCAUGAACCAGAAAAAAUAGCUGGCUCUGUCAGGCUGUCAACAGUUACAUAACUUAUCUGCAACAAGUGUGUCGCUCUAAAUUCUCACAGACUCCACUCAUCUUUCUGGUUGUCAUUGGAUGAUUUUCCAUCCGGUGAAUGUCAGCAAUAAAGUCUGUUUACAUAUUCAAGCUGGCAGCUGGCAUCACCAAAAAUUGGUGCCUUAUUAUAACCUUCAGCUCGAGGAAAAGAGACGACCUGUGAAGACUGAGCGUACCAUCCUGAUUCCAACAGGGACACAAACACACAGUAACUUUUAACAUUUCAUGUUCAGUAAACUCAGAUUUCUUUCUGUAAUUGGGUCUCGAUUGGUUUUGAUUAUGGUAUUAUUUUUUGACAAGGUUACAAAACUUCACAUCACACCUGUUGGUGAUUAGCAUCCUGUGCUAAAUUAACUGAUAAUCUACUUUAACAGAAUCAAGCUACCGCACCGUGCACUUCCACCUGCUUCGUCUAAAAUCUGACUCAUGGUUUCUUCAGGCUGAUUAUAGAGACUCUGAGUCAGUGGAAACUGUGUUUCUAAAAUAUGACUUUCAAAACAGGUACUUGUCCCUAAAUUUUGUCAAUACCAUGAGGAAGUUAGAAAUAUGUUUUCAGAUUUAUAACCAAACACAAGAAGGUAUUUGUCAUUCAACUGUAUUUUUCUUCAAAGUUAUCAUAAAUCUGUUUGAAAAAGUUUUGACUGAAAAAAAAAAGACUCAGAUUAGACUAAACGCUGUCUGUUAUGAAACUAAAGGGAAGACAGACAGACUCAAAUACCACUUCAAUAAACAACAUUUAGAAAUUUAUUAAGACUACAUUUUAGAAGAAUCUACAUUUUAAUUAGAUUUUUCAGAGAUUUCAAAUAAAUUAUACAAGUAGCAAUGUGAUAUUAUACACAAGGAGCACACCUGCAACUAUCUUCCCUUAUUUAAGUAUAUAAGUAUAUCAGUAAAAUACCAACGACUAAAUAAAAGAAAACAAAUGUUUAAUUCUGAAACUCAACAUUAAGUCAAUAUUAAAUCAGUUUUGCAUCAACCUCACAUCUCAUUUCAGGGGCUCCACUUCUGGAAGAACACUAACAGACAAGAACUUAGAAAAUCAAUCAUCUCUUUAUUACAGGAUAAAUUAAGUUACAACACAAACGAUGAUAAGAUAAAAGGAAUAAAUCAUGAUAGAUGAAAGUGAGAUUUUGAGUCAGACAAUGAUUAUUGAGGUUAAACUGUGGAGGUGAAUUUGGAUAUGGAUUUGGAUGAAUUUAGGAUUACUCUAAUUAGUGAUUGUUUAAUGAGACAGCAUCAGCCCUGUUUUAGUCUCUGGAGGUUUGGAUACUUAAGUGAGGCCCGUCCUUGGAGAGGAUGGAGAAGGUUCACCUAAGGUACAGGCUACCUGUUUGAGAGGACUGAAGAGACCAUGUCCACACAGAAGUUGAGAUGAUCCAUCAGACAGUGUAUCAUCAGUGUAUCAUCCCCUUAGUGUUCUCACAGUGGCAGACAUGACAGUCUGUGAGAGUAUCUCCAAUUUCAGGGGACCACCUCCUGAUGUUGCAGGUUGUUAAAGUGUCUUUGAACCGGGGGGAUGCAUUAUGGCUGUAGGCGGGGGGACGGGUGUGACUCUGUAUGCAUCUCUUUCUUACAUCCCUUACUUGUACAACACAAGUAGGAUAUGUCCACAGGUCACUUGUUUCCUCUGUUUCUCCAUUUGUCAUCGUGCUCUUAUUGUAACUAUAUUGUCUAAUAACCACUAACCUAUUUGACAGGUUGGCUGGUUAAAUUUGUGUCAGUUAUCUUCAGGCCCUGUCAGACAGCCAGCACAAAAUGUCUUGACUUACAUCGCAACAUCAGUAAUUUUCUCCCUAUGCAUUUUCCAUUUUGAUGCCAAGCCCCCACACUGUAUGAACAGAUAUUGAAACUGUGCCUAUGUUAGCUGCCAUUAGCGUGUUGGUUUGGAGAGGAAGUGUGGUCUGGCUUAUGAUGGAAGAUGUUGAUGAUGAUAUAGCUCUCUCUCUAGUCUUCCGACCACUCAAAGUACUUUCACAUUAUGAACCACAUUCACCCAUUCACACCCUGAUUGUAGAGGCUGCUAUUUUAACCGCUCAUCAGAAUCAAAUAAUCCCACUGGACACAGCCAACGGGGGGCAGAUUGGGGGGAAACAACUAAGACUCACAAGAAUCACACUGUGCUUUCCUUAUAUUUAGAGAGACAUGAACUCCCUCACAUUGUCUUACUUUAGCUGAUGUAUUUCAUGAAGGUUUUAUGAAGGUCUUCAUAACAAAUCCAUUCUUUAGAAAAUGUCUGUGGAUUCACUAAUAUUUUAUCAAACAGGUUUUUUCUUUUCAGCCCAGUUUUUAUAGGACUGAAAGACCUCAUAUUUUCUCUAUACAAUUUAAAGUCCCAUUCUGAUCGUUUUUUCUUUACUAAAAGUGUUCUCAGUGGUCUUUGAAUUGUGAUAAUGAAGUUUUUAGUCAAAAUCUUAUUACCUGUCAUUUUCAAGGGCUUUUCUUCUGCAGAGCUCCAGUAGCUCAUUAACAAUUCGCCUCUGAGUCGUGGGCGGACUCUCUUCCUCACGCUAGUUUGCAGCCUAACAUUGUCGGUGACGUAAAAGUAGCAGGUACCAUAGGAGCUAUUCAGCUCUCGAACACUAAUGUCUUUGGGGACAUGAUGAAAGUUGAUAUCAUAAUUAGCUUUCUUACGAGUGUUGCAAUCCACUAACACACACGCUUUUCUUCAAUCAUCCUCUCUAUUUGUCUGAGUCUGACCUGCAUAGAGGGGCUCAGGGGGCGGGGCUUGCAUUUGUGACAUAGGAAAUCUCACUGUGCCUGAACCUGCCGUUUGGGUCUGUGAGAGAUUCACAGCAGUUUGAAUGCAGAAAUACUCAGAAAGACAAUUUCGCACUUGUUUUUUCAUGAUAUGUCCUCUAGAAUCAUGAAAAAUGUCAUAUGAACAUGUAGACAACAAGAAAAACAUGAUUUUCAUCGGAGUGGGUCUUUAAAGCUCUAGUGAGUUUUUGUUGUUGUUGUUCUUGCGUUUAUGGAAACAAAUAAAUCUGAAUUCCUUCUUAUCAUAAAAGCAAACAAGACCGUCAGCAAGACAGGACUGAGUGGUUGGCAACUUUAUAGUAACUUUAAAAUUCCUGAAACCAGUGUAAGGGGUAGGAGUCAACUGAGUGGGAGAAAAAAAAGAGUCCCGUUUUAACAAUUUACAAAUGAAAAACUCAAAGCAAAUGACACAUUUGAGAGCCUGAGGACCCUCUUCCUGUGACAGGAAAAUGCAACUUUUUCAACAGGGUGUGCCACAAUUUGAGUCUGACUGAAAUGAGCCUCUUUGUAGCUGAGACACAAAACUAAAUGAAACAAUUUCCAGUAAAAGCGGACUGUUUUCUGGUAAACAUUUCUAUCCUUUUACACCCUCUAUAUCACAGAUUUGUUGGUUGGUACCAGACUGUUGUCUCAUAACAAACUGAGGAGCUUCUCCCUCCUGCUUCGCAGUAGCGCGCAGGAUUUCCAACAUUUAAUCAACACCUGACUCCCACACUGACUUGAACACCUGUUUGCAAGCCUCUAAUCAGCUCCCAGGCAUAUUUAUGGGCCUUUAUGUCUCUGUCUCCCACCAUAUCAUCGAUUGUUGCUUCUGCUCAGGAGCGGGUCACACCAGAGGCUUGCACAGUAACUGAAGUUGACAAGCUAACUGCUAUUAUAACAUCAGCAGUCAGGAUUGCUCUAUUAACCUUCACAAUUUUCUUUGCACUGAGCUGCUUACCCUUCUGCCCUCAGUUCUCAACAUUGUGAAUCAUCUACUUCACGGAGGAGUAAAGGGCAAUGGGAGCUGUAAGUGAGCGGGCUGGUUAGCUCGGUUGCUAAUGAGCCAACAAGUACAAAGUUAAUUCAAAGUUAAUUAUUUGACUGUCAGGUUUCCUUUUCCAUUUUUGUUAGAGCUUAACUCUUGGCUGCUGGUUGUGUAACGUCACUGCGACACGUUUGAUAUCAUCGCAAACCCAAGACUAGGGAGGACCGGUAUAUAACAGCGCAGGUCACCAUCCUAAACUUAACGAUCGAGCUGAUGGGAGCAUGCUGCGACUCCAGUAAAACUCCAAGAUUAGACUUUCAGUUUUUAGUCUGAGACUGUGAAAAAUCGUUUGGUGGAAGCCCAGCGUAAGUUGUUCUUUUCCCCCAUCAGACUAUCAGGUUCUGUUUUAUUACAGACAGUUUGGAUCCCUUUGUUACAGUUUUUGAAGAGACAACAACCAGUCAUGGUAAUCCUUUUAAAUAAACUGAUUUGGUAAAACCCUUAAACUUCAGCGUCACCAGCUCCUCAGUAUCCAGUAUUCCUGUUAGCUGCCCACAUUUUUUGACUUCCUGCCCGCCUUGCCACUUGCUUUGUUGGAUUACUGACAAAGAAGAAUUUGAUUCCAUUCAAUCUGCCUGCCUCUGCUUCUGUCAUGCCCUUGAUUCAUGACUUGCAACACUUCACAAACAGAAGCAGGAAGCUUUGUGCUGGCUUGCUUUUUUAGAAAACUUUUCCUCUGCUCCCACUGAAGAAAUCAAGGUGGAUAAGUGUUGUGUUUGUAGACCCGGUGCUGUUUAAAAAACGUUGUGUAAAAGAAUACCCAUGUUUGAGAAAUGUCAGUCAGUCUUAUCCUUAAAGUUCCGCUGAAAAAUACAUCCUGACAGAGUUUCAGAAUCUUUUCAUCAAAAUGCCGUCCGCUGUAAAUGUCCUCGACGAAAAAGUUUCCCAUUGUCAUUUUUGCAUAUGGUCUGCACUCUAGUCAAUAGUGAGGCUUGGAAAAGACCUGAUCAGCAUAAUAGAUGUCUGUAGAGGUACAAUAUUUCUGCUGAGUGCAGCACCAUGUCCAAACCAGUUAAAAUGAUUUCCAGUAGCCCUUUUCAUUGUCCUGCUCACUAUCUACCUCCCUCUUCUUUUCUGCUGGAAUAACCGCUACUGUUCUCAGCUCUCCCACCUCCUAUUAAGACCCUACGGUUAAUUGCCAAUUGUUUUACAUCUGAAUCAAGUAGGUAUGUUUAAAUUAGGUUCACCUUUUUUGCAUGCAAAGCAAAAUACCUUGCUUGUUUAAUUUAAUUAGAUCUUUUGUCAGGGAGGGCAGAGUAAAGCCAGCCUCACCGCCGUGAGACCAGACUCUGGGCAGAGCACAGGACUUGGACAAGAAACUCUGCUUCCCAGCUGAGAUCGUGUCCAUGAACCUUCAACCAGACCUUGUUCUGUGGUCAGCCUCGCUCAAGCUUGUCUAUAUUAUGAGCUCAUGUUUCUUUGGGAAAGCGCAGUGGAGGAGGCCUACAUGUGGAAGAAACUAAGGUAUGAUGAACUUGCAGCCAACGUACAACAACAAGGCUGUAAGUGAAAGUACGCCCGGUGGAAUUAGGCUUCAGAGGGUCAUUAUUUAUUUAUUUGAUCAGGACAAUUCACGUUAACUGACAUGUCAGCAAAAGCAUCAAUGUAAAUAUGCUGGAGUUAGCAUAAAUGCUCAUUUUAAUCUGUUUUCCUAUGGCAGAUGUUUAAAAACAUGGAAACAUUUCAUUAUAUAUACUCAAUACGAUGGUUCAUAACCAUCUCAACAUCCGGGCUACUCAGUGUGUCAAAGACCUCUGCUGAAAAAGGGAGUCAGUGGCUGUGGAUCAAGAGAGAGGACCCAACCUGGGCUUAGAUGAACUCACUAGAUGCCAUCAAGUAAGUUGAUGGCAUCUGGAGGUAAACGUGUGAUGCUACGAUUCACUGCAGCUACACACCCAAGAAGGAUGGCAUCUCUCUCCUGACCGCCCCACAGAGUCUUAACGGUGCCUCAUGUAUGUGUUUAAUGAGGGAUAUCAAAAUCUAGUCCUACACAACAAAUCCAUCAACCAGUCAUGCUAAACUUGGUCCCGGGACUGGGAAUGGGAAUAGUGGCCUCCAAUAUAUUUCGUUUUUGGUUUCCAAGCCCUCAGUCCACUUCAGAGGCCAAAUCUCAAACAUCAUCUGACAAAAUGAGUCAGUGAUCUCGGCAAGGGAGGCAGAGCGAGCUCAAAGGGAUCAGGAUGAGACAAUGUCUCGUGUCCCCUCAACUGUGCUGUCUUUGCUGCUAAGGCAUCAUAAGCCCCUGCAAUCUGCCCGUAAACUGUGAAGUCAGCAUGGGAUCAAAUCUGCAUCGUUUCAAGUCAGAGGAAUGAAAGAGACUCAGAAAAACUGGAUUUCACUCAGUUUUGAUAGUUUGAUUGACACUUUGUGUUCAACUGAACUUGAAGUGUUUACUUUCAGCACCGCAGUGAUAAUGUGUCCUCAUGUUUGACCUUCACUGUAAUUUACACUUCUUAUCAUUAAAACAGAUAUUUUUCAAGUGCGACUCGAGAUCAUUGUUGUCUCAUGAUCAAAGCUAACAUUAGGAGAACAAUGAAGAGGGUGGAAAGGAUGAAUUUAGAGGCAGUGUUUUGCCAAUCAAAUUUACAUCUAAAAAAAAAAGGUACAAACUGCACUAACAGUUUUAAAGUUGGAAAUCUUGUAUGCAGGUUUAGGGCUGUCAGAUUCUUACCUCACAGUUAUCAUGUUUUUUAUUCUGCGCCAUUUUCCUCAAACAUCAGACCAACUGCAAGAAACCUCAGUGUAAUUGUUUAAUUAAGAAUUAACCUUUCAUCAUUUCCUGUCCAACCUUGUUUCAUUCAAUGAAGAUGAAUCUUUAAGAUUAAGAUUUUUAUUCUGAUGUUGUUUACCUUUUUACUUUCUCUCUCUUUUCUUUUCACUUUUUCUUUUUUUCCCUCUUCUGUGAAUCUUUAUAGUUUAUUGUCUCUUUGACUUAUGAUUUAUUUCUCACUCAGUCAUGAUUGUUAUUUACCCGGCUUCAUCUACAAGCUGAUCACCGUGAUCAAACUGAAAUUUAUCAUAAUCAUUAAUUAUGAUCACAUAAUCACCCAGUCCUUGUGUCUCCUAAACUUCACCUUCAUCACCUGGUCCUGACUUCAGAAACAACGCAUUCUCAGACGUAUCUCUUAAAAAUAUUUUGAAGGGGGUUGAAGAAAGGUGACGUUUUUUAAGGACAACAGAACUAUUUGCUUAUUGUUAAUACAGCCAUCUGACGUUGGGAUUGAAAAUGAAUAUUAAAUGACUUUUACAUUCUCCUCUCAGUGCCAAGAGCGCUCCAUCUACAAAGAGAGGGCAGCCGUGUUUUCUUAUCUCAUUAACGGUUAUUUUAGCAGAUGUCUUCACAGGCCAGAACAGUGAGUGGGCCUGUGAAAGAAGAAAGGCUUCUUCUCCUCGGGAACCCUGAGGACCUCCUGUCUAAUGAAACGCUGUCAAGGUCCAGUGAGCUGAGCUGCCAGAAGAAAGCCACACAAUGGAGAAAAGCCUGACAACCGGCACAAAGCGAGAGGCAGAUAGCAACCCCAACUCCUCAUACACUUAUUACAUUUUGGGAACCACUCAGGCAGAUAACGGUGGGAAGCUGCCUCAUGCUCACAAACAGAAACUGUUGCUUCUCUUUGACUGAAUACAUUAUUUACUGUAAACUGUAGACCUAGCUGCUGACAACUGUAAUUAAUUAAGAUAAAGUUACUCUCCUUAGAGCCAAAAUAUUUGGUCCAAAAGAUGAUUGUAUGGCCCCGGAGAAUUCAGUGCCAAGAGAGAAAAAUGAAAACUGCAGAGUUGGAUGUGCAGCAGUUCUGCAAAUCUGCACUUUAUACAUGAGUUCUCCCAGACACCAUCACUUUCCCCAAAAAGAGAAGUAGCAUGAAAGAUAAACAGUAUAAGUUGGGUGAACUUUCUAUAUCAUAUACGAUACAUCUUCUGGAGGAGAAAACUGGUGGCCCUGGCCAUCUGGACAUCAUUCAAACAAACCACCUCCAUACCGAAGCGAUAGGGCUGUAUUUCAUGAGCUCCACGCCUCACGCUGACUUUUCCAGUUAAUUAAACAAGAAGCCGAGACAGACAGAGAAAGAUGAAGACUGGAAGCAGGGAACCAACCUGCAGCUGCUGUAACAGAAAGAAGAAAAAGAUUAGACUGUCAUAAAAGAGAGGAGGAAAGAUAUGGCGCUGUUAUUUAUAACGCUGUUUUAAUCUGUCGCAGUUAUCCGAGCAGCAUUUUCAUUCUUAUUACAGAAAAACCUUACGCUGGGACAACCAAGGCCACUGAUGUAGCAGUUUGUUUGUUUUAUUAUUUCUUUUUUCAGCAGUAAGGACACAUAACCUUCAGUGUUCCUCUCCGCGCCCCUGUGACUAUCAGCUAUUUCCACUGUUGUGUUUUCUAUUACAGGUUGAGCAGAUUAGAGAGCAGCGCAGUGUGGGGCCUGUGCUGUCAUCGGUUUCAUAGCUGGGCUGAAAAAAAAAAAAAAAAAAAAAAAGCAGAAGAAGAAGAAAAGAUCACACAGAAGAGCCCCACAGAAGGUGAUAAUAAUUGUGCAACUCUGCUACGCUUUCUCCUGAGCUUCAUACGGUGAAAGAAAAACAGCGUCAUUUUUCGAGUGUUUCUUUGGUCGUACAGCCAAAUAGGGAGAAAUCAUUGAGAGAGGAAAGCUGGACACCUUCAAGGUUUCUUUGUGUAUUGUUAAAAGAAAUGAAAACACUCUCUGUGAUAUGGAGUUUACAUUUCUGCACCAAGAUUGUGAGGUAUAUGUCUCAGUACUGAAAGACUAGAACACGAUGGCAGUCUUCAGUAAAUACAUCUAAUUUUCUCAAGCCAUGACUGGAGUUCCAAUUCUGGACUUCGGUGUACCAUUGAUUCCAAAACAUCUAUCAUCCCUCUGUCCCUCUCUUAAAGAAAACCUGCAUCAUCCAGCGUCGUCUCUAGUGUUUGCAUGCAUUUAAAAGACUAAAAUAAUGUAUUUUAUUAUCGAAACUUAUGUUGUCAGUUAUUUAAUGGCCUCUAAAGCAGUGAAAAGAAGUUGGAGGAGGGUUUAGUCUGCCUUGUUUCACAGAAAUGUUCUUCUACGUUACAAAAACAACUACAUGAUUUGGAGAUGUCGAACACUGCAGUGAAAUUUAAUGAAAUUCAGGCAGCGUUGUUCCAGGCAGGACAGCAGGGACCACUCAGCCCCAGAUGGUCUCAAAUCCUGACAAUUCAAGAAACCCCCCUGGUGUGCAUGUAUGUUUUUUUUCUCCCUGUCUCUGUUUCAGCGAUUUCUUAUUUGGGUCAUUUUUUUAAAGAACAUUAAGAGAUAAACUUGUUUAAACUUGCUGAACUGUAUUUGUUUUCUUCUUACCUGUUUAGGGUUCGAGUUUUUACUGGCUUGGCAAUAACAUUACAGAGUUUCAAAAGAUUUAAGACACUUAAAAGAUUCAUUAUUUCCAAGUAAUACAGUUAAAAUGGAACACGUCAGUAACUCUUAUGGUCUAGCGAGCCAGUAUUGUAAUAAAUGGUACAACACAAUGUGGGAAGAGCAGCUUCAAAGUCCUUCUUUAACCAUCUGUGCUGCAUUCAUAGACCACAGACACACUGUGGGUAUUACCAGCAUGCAGAGUUCAUUAUAUCCCAUAGGUUAAAAACGAAGGAACAGAUUGUGGCAGUAAAAUAAUUGCCUUGACAAAACUAUACCAGAAAUGCAAAGUAAAAUCCAAUUCAAAGCCCGGGGAUGACAAGCAUGGGACAUGUUGUCGAGUUCUGUGAUUAAGACUGCAACACCAAACCCCGGAGGAGUGGACGGUUUCUUCAUCUUCCAGCCGCCUUCGUUAGCUGAAUUGUCUGGUUCAGUGCGUUGCAUGAUUACAGCUCUCAUUAAGGAUGGACUUGGACUGUGUAAAUCCCAGGACACUUGUGUGAACAAGGAGCUGAAGUGACAGAGCCAUGAUACAGUCGGUCUGUCCUAUGAGACAUGUCUUCAGAGUUCACUGCACUGGGGAGGACAUACACUGUGAGCUUAAAUCUGCUACCUUUGCCCUUGUGCAAAUGGAUCUUUCACUGGAGACCUGUUAGACUCUUCACCUGAGAAUUUUAUUAUUUUCAUUUUGGUAUUUUUAGGUUUCUAAACGAUACAUAUAACCUUUUCCGGCUCUCAGAUAAAAGACUAAUGGACAGAAGACUAGCUUUCCUGGUUGUAAUUGACAACUCAUGACUGUAAUUACAACCAGAGUCUUACAGUCUUUUUUCAGAGACACUUCCAUCAAGAGUCUGACUUUUCAUACAAAUGGUGAGGUUUGGCCAUAGACUGUGUAUACUAUGGACAACUUGGUUCCACCAUCUGUCAUUAUAAAAAUUUGAAGCCGAAUUACUCUACUCUUUCUGUAUUUCCAGGAUUGUUUUCCCACUUCCUGGAACCAACUCUUACACAGUAGUGUUUUACUCAUUUGGUGGGAUUAUGCCUGGCUCAAACAACGUACCCGCAAUCUUCGUACGGCCAUAGGCUGUAUCAAGUGUCAAUCAUAGAAAACUUAAACCCUAUAACAUUUAAAAAUGGAGCUGCACAGAAAAAAGAGGACUUGAGCACAAACCAGUCUGACAGUAACUACAUGUCAACAUCACAACAAGGGGAGAGAAAAAUGUAUAUUCUGUGUGAUAAAGUUUGUUUACAGCUCCAUAGGGAUUGCUGGAGGAGGCGGGACUUAUGACCUAUACUGCAGCCCGUCACCAGAGGGUGCUGUUCUCGCAGUGGCUUUAUCCAGCGAGGAGGCAGAUGGCGUCCAUUCUAUAUAUCGUCUAUGGUUUUGACAGAUGACUUUGACUUUGCUCUUAGUAAUCUUUAAAAGAUCCCAAACAGCAGCAGUGAUUCUGCUGGAUAACCCAAUAACCAUUCAUGCACAUCCAAGUAAUUUUCUUCAGUCGUUUCAACAAAGCAAAUAUUAUUUAUUCGUCAUAAAAGUUGAAGAUGACCUGGUUAAUCCACAGUGUAACAAAAAAAAAAAGACUGCUAAAACUAAUACCUAAAAUCUACACAAUUCAGCUUUAUUUGUGUUCAAAAACAGUUCUGUCUCAUUAAAACUUUUAAAGGUAUAAAAAGUAAGAAAAUGUUUUCAGAAUUAGAAAAAAUACACCAUUAUUUGAUAGAAAGAAGGAAUGACUCCCAUCCCACAGAGUCAGAGAGGACACAAGAGCUGCCCUCACAGUGACAGUCCAUCUGUCCAUCAGAACCCAUUAAGAGUUCCGUCUGCAGGGAAUCAGCAGUUGUCCGGGAAGAGAUUCACUUUCUGGAAUGACAAUUAAACAGAGCAAACACAACGAAGACAGAAGCAGCAAGUGCAAGUCACCGCAGACAACAUGACUUUAUUCUGGCACACGGACUGUUUAAAGAAGAUUGAUUAACGGGGAUGUGUUUUUGAGGAAAAACAAAUUUAACCUUGACGGCAUUUUCAUCAUGGAUUUGAGAAAAAUUGGACAAAGACUCUGUAAUUAAAAUGUUUGUAAUGAAGGUUAUACAAGCGGUCCUUCUGGCAACAAAACCUGUUUGUCCAUGAGUAAAACAAAAUUAAUUUUAUGAAUUCAAAAGAUUUCCAAAAAAUUAUUUCAAAACUUUUAAAACAUGUGAAAUAUGGUGAGUAAAAAACUAAGGACUGUGUGCUUCAGGUCAAAGGCCGUUGUUUAUCCAGAGCUCAAAAUGAGGGGAUGUGUUUCGUUGAGGAGCUGCACGUAGGAGGGUAAGAAACAUCCGUCUUUCUGGAGCAUUUUUGAGGAUUUGAAUAAACCAAUAGAAUCUGAAUGAAUAACAGUCACAUAAACUCGUGCUUUUCUGUAUUUAUGUCUAAUCCAUCUUUUUGUCCAUGCUCCAGGGGGUUAGUAGGAUACUGUUUCAUAGAUUAAAACAGAAUUGUUCUCUGGAGGUGGAAAGAUUUUGUUGAAUGUAGGUGUGCUUACCAGUGUCUGCUAUUCAACUUCAAUGACUGAUCAUAAAGCCAGAGUUUUCCUAAUCUGAUUUGGCUUUCUGUGAGAGGUGGCAAAAAAAAAAAAAGAGAGGCAGGGAAGAUUGGCAAAAGUUUCGGUUUCAACAUCAGCUGUUAAUGCGGCGUCAUACUCCAUGUCAGACUGUAAACUACAAACUAAACAGAAACGAUAGUUCGGGCAGCUUAAAAUGCAAACUUUUCAAACUUGGCUCCAGAGUGGAAUAUUAUGAAACUUCUCUUUGGACUGUGAACAGGGGGUAUCAUUGAGCCCACAUGCUUAUAACAUAGUCAGAUAGUUUGUAGUCUGUACUCUUGUGAAGAACAAACUUCUGGCUCUUACAUGGAGGAGGAUUUACUUAGUGGAUUUGAUCUUUAAGUUACAACUUCCUCGUUAUAAUUUUUCAUCCUGAAUUUUUUGUGCUUCAUGAGGACAAUCUAUAUGCAACCCCUCAAUAAAUAAACAGCAUAUGUUCUUUUCACAGUAAACACAGCCAUAUGUUUCCACUUUCCACAGCCAUCCUGCUUAUUUGUGUUAUGCACAACUGUAGCCAAAUGGUAACAGUCAAAGUUAGCUUGUCACAUAUGGAGAAACCCACAUAACUUGCAUCAAUUAAGAAAAACGGGAGAAUAUCUCAGAGUUAUCAAACUCAUGUCAUUUCAAACUCUUGGAAUUGCCCUGAAAAUAGAUGCAAUUAAGUUUCUUUCAGCAUAUUCAAGAGUACAUAUAUUAUCUUGGCAAUUACUGAACAGCACUUGACCCCUCUUAUUUCAGAAUUGGCUAUAAUUGAAAAUAAACUUAAUUCCAGACGGAGCAGAUGAAACUGGUGGGGGAAAGCUAUUUGUGUGUCCUCCUUAAUAUCACAAAUGGAGACUAUGUCUUAUGCAGCCCACAACUCUUUUUAAUUUCCAAAAUGCUGUACAUCGAGGGUCAAGAGGAUGUUAACAUGCAUAUCAAGACUGUAAAUAUGCAUACCAAGGAUGGAUACGUGCAAUGAGGAUUAAACAUUUCAAGGAAAGGAAAAAGAAAUGCACAGCAAGGCUUAAGCAACGGCAAUAAAGUGCACUUCAAGAUCUUGAAUACAAGGUUAGCACUGGGUGUUAAAGAUGCCCCCGUGGUAGAGAGGAAUCUAACAGGAUAAUUUGCUGUAAUGGGCAUCAAGGGUGCUCGAAGGAAAGAAGGGAAAGCCUUAACCACAUCACAGGGUCUUAACAUUACUCUGACUUCAAAGUGAUACGGUCCAACCUCUUAAGAAUCAUAAAACUAUAAUCAGUUGAAGAGAAAUCAAAGUGGGUUUUAUGCUAAAGGCUUCUGAUAAAAUUAGAACUUUUUGUCCUUGUAUUUGAUGUGCUCUGCCAGAGUUCACAAAGGGUGCAGAGUCACUUUCUCAUCUCUUACGGCCUGACUCAUGUCAGGCAGAUUUGCCGAAUGAAAUACGGAAUGAGGAGCGUUAUUUUUCUCUCUGUUUGGUGACCUGUAGAAAAGCUCAGAAAUAUGACAAUAAUAUAAUUGACUUUAUGUGUCAAUGAUUGAUUAUCAACUUUACAGUUUUUGAGUUAAAUAAAAAAACAGGGCAAAUAAAUUUCAAUCAGUGCAGACAGUCCUCAUCAGGCAGAGUAUCUGCAACUACACCUCAAAAAUAAAGCAUCUGUGUUUGAAUACUGGGGCAGUGACUCUCACACCUUCACCAGUACAAAUAAGAACUAUUUUUUAAAAGACAAAUAAGUAUAUUAUAUAUAUAUUUUACUCCUCCAGUGUAAAGUCUCCCAUGUUGAGCCAAGAGUAAUGCAAGAGUAUCCUAAACACACAGUGUCACAUUCAUAUGUAGGGUAUGUUUAUAGUAGCUAAAUUAUUACUUAUUUACUUGUAUGUAGUUUUUCCUCCAUGGCCAUGAAAACAUCAUGAUACGCAGCAAAGGUUGUGGUCAGACCCUAUAGGUAUGAGAACUAUAGUUCAGUCAGAUGCAGGUUGUAUGCCGGGAGCGUUUACUUGUGCCCUGAGGAUCUAUGUUGCCUGGUCAGCGUGAGCAGCAAGACAGAGUGGUUAUACCUCCCUGAAUCAUACACCACUGCGGUCGGUUUAUUGAACUCAGUUGGCAUGUUUGGGCCUCCAUGUGUAAAAUCAUGUCCCAUGGGAUGAACAUAGUAACUGUCUGCUCCUCGCAUCUGGACUGAAAUAUGACAGCAUUAUCGCCGGAGCAGAGAGGGGGAGAAUAAGUAAGAAGAAAGCCUUUCCCACAGAUGCAGGAAAAUAAGAGAAAUGUUCGCCAGUGAGGGACCAGGUUAGUCUAUUCAUACCCUGAAUGGCUGGCUAAGUAUCCCUGCAGUUCCACAAAAUGGCCUGUAGGCUAUUGAGCGAGCACAUCCCUCUGUGUGGGGGUUCAAUUGUAGCAAUAAUGAGUGCAGCAGAACGAUUAUAAAACACUGAGAGCAACAUGUUUCAAUUAGCAAAAAAUAGCAAAAGCUGGUAAAAGUGCAUGUGCAGUAUAUUGUAGCCUACAGCCAAUUCAUGAAUCACAGUAUCUUUAUCACAACAUUACCAGCCCAGUGUCGGCCAACUCAGAUCAUUUGUUCACUGCGAGUGGUUCAUGUGUACAAACUUCGACCCCAGCCUCAAUACAAAUGACAUUGGUUUUAACCCCCCGCGCUCAGUUCUGGGUCUUUAAGGCAAUUCAACCUGCUUUACAGAUAAAAAGAAAUAUAAUAGAAAUGAAAAAAAAAAGAGAUUGGAACAAUUUAACAUCAAUAAGACAAACAGAUCAUUGUUUUCAUCUGUUCCGUGUUUGACCAAAUUAUUUAUGAAAUCUGUUGUUUUUCAGAAAAACAAAACUGGACGUAAGCCUGAGUCUCUGAGACUUGACCGAUCCCCAAGACCUCAGUGCACAGUUAGUCCCUGACCCGGAGCUCCUCAGCCUUUUACCUGUUCUUCCCAUUUUAUUAGUUAGACCCCAAUUUGUUUUUUAUUCCCCUGAGAAACUUGGAGCAGAUGAAACAUUCGUAAACUUACAAAUCAAUAAAAUAUUAAAAUGUAAUUUAAAAUCAUGAAAACAAUUGAAAUUGACAGAACAGCAAAUAUCAAAGUAGAAAUAAAAGAAAUUGACACUAUUGGAAAGCUGCAGUAAACAAUAAUGUUUUCAGCUCUGACAGUUUGUGCACACCUGAGGAAGUUUGCUCCACAGGUGAGGACCAUAGAAGUUGAAUGCAGCUUCAACCUGCUUGGUUCUGACCUGGGGACAAUGAGUAGAUCUGUCCCUGACAACCGGAGGGGUCUGGAUGCUUUGUACCCAACCAGCAGCACUGACAUAGAUGAUAACAACCAGGCCACUGAAGAGUAUCAGGGCUUUACAACAAGCUGUCGUUUGUCUACCCGAGACUUGCCAAGUAAAGCAGUGACUGACUUUGGAGGAAGGGAUGAGCACUCCCUGGUGGGCAGUAAAUGAGGUAAAAAUAUCCUCCAGAGCUGUCAAUGAAACACAGAUGAAAAGGACCGCUACCUAAUGACCCUGAAGAAGUGAUCAGCCCUCCUCUCAUCAGAACCUCAGACAUGAAGCUAAGAAAAGUCAUUCUAAGGAGUCAUAGCAACUACCUCCAUGAACUUAACUACCCCUGAGAUGCUUGUGAGUGUGUAUUUAACACACACACGCUCGAGUGAAUACACUUGAUAGAGCUUUGUGUCGGUGUUGGUCUGGAGUUGUCGACCUGUGUGGACUCAGGCAGGAGUCUCCAUGAGAUGAAGCAUGUAGAGCUAGGGCAUCAGUAGAUAGUCGAGUCCUUAAGGAUGAAAGCUGUGAUGCGAGGAAGACAAAAGACCAAGAGACAUGGGGCUUUUGUUUUAUAACCAUCUCUUUUAAACUAAAUCAGAAAAUGUUUGAGCAUCGCACGAAGGACCAGGAGAAUAAAACAUCUCUCUGUGUCUAACAAACAGUUUUAAGGUCUACAGUGCGAAUGCUUCCUGCAUCCAGGAGAUAGCACACAAAAAGUGCCUCCACUGUGCCUCCACCCCUGGGGCUACACUUUGGCUUAAAUACGUUUGGUAGUUAAACUACAUGAGCAGUGGGCAUGGGAAUGUCAACUGUGUCCGCUGAAAAAUGGCAGUAUUACUGGAACUGGCUGUGUGCUGCUCUGCAUGGGUGAAAGAUGCAGCCCAAAGUGUCACAUUCGACCACUGCUUUCUGCCAGAACAUUUUAACGUGACUGGCAUUGAAUCUGCAAAACCCAAGGAAACAUAACAAGAGCAGUGAACAUCAUUUUUCAGAAAUAUUCUCCCUAUUUUGCUGUUUUUAUGAUGGUGUUUGAGAGGGGUGUCAUACAUCUCCAGUAGGUGCUCUCUGUGGUUGAAUUUGGUGAAGCUUUAGGAUCCAAUUUGCAUGAUUUUCAUGCUCAUCAAACUAUCCAGUGACCCUUAUUGAAAGGGGCAUCCUCAUUUUUGGAAGACCACUCCCAACAGGACAGAAAUGUUUUUUAAUCGUAGGGUAAAGGUGGUCCGUCCUGGCGACUCGGUAUUGAUUUGCAGAAACCUUUCACUCUUUUGGGACGAGUGGACCUCAAACUACGCCUUCAAAAUGAUCCUACCGCUCACAGAACCACUGGGUCAUCUUGAGAGGGUCAAGCACUGAAGUUUUCUUCGAUAGUUCCAUAGCUGACUGUUUGAAUGGUAUUUUGUUCUCUCCAUGAAUUUAAAUGGAGUCAUACUAAAUAAAGCAAAGACAUUAUGCUGAUUACAUUAACACUGUCCUAAAAGAGGAGGGGUCUUUGGUGAUCAACUCUUGCUUCUGAUCUGCAGUUAAUUUCAAAUAAGGGCCAAAUCCAAUUAAUUGGAAUCUGGCUUCAGGGUCAGUAGACAUGCGGGACCUGCCAUCGAUGAAAAUUAAACCUCCAAGGGUAACAACCAAAUCUGUUUCAAGAGGACAUUAAAAGUGGGCGUAAGCACCAAGUGUGUAUACUGUGUGAAAUUGCAAUGCGAUCUAAAUAUUCUAAAGAAUCAGCGCGUGUGUGUUUACUUCUUCGUAUUUCCUUUUCCAGCAGUUUUUCUGUCUUUAAGCCUAACAAAUGGCAAAGGCUAUUUCACUAAGUAAAACCAACCCUGAAUGAAUUAUUCUGAUAUUGGAAAACAGCCCUUUGCCCCUAAUUUGUCACCUUUUUAGAACAGAAAAUUGAUUAGACUGCUCCCAGAAUAAUUGCUUUCACUGCUACUGCCAACCUAGAAUCUAGAUGUUAACUUUUAUCCUUUCCUAACGUUGAGCUGAGUUAGAGAUUUCAGUCCUCUUCUUCUCACAUUGUGAUCUUUCUUUUUCGUUUUUUUUAUAAAGGACUAGAGGACCAAUUAUUUCCAGGAUAAGUGGAGGUGGAAUAUUAGAGAAAAGAUGAGUGGAAAAAGUUUUAUUCCUAUCCUGAUGACAGAGAAGGUGAAAUCUCAGAUGUAAUGACUCAGUGUUAUCAAACUUCAGCAUCCUUAAGGAGUGACUUACGGGCCGUAUUCUCCUCUGUUUAUCUCCUCUGACACAUUUACUGAGUGGAAGUGCAUGUUGAUGUCAGCUCACAGGUCUUUCCUUCAUAUUGAGUGAAAAGAUGUGAUUUCAAGGUUGGGUUAUGUGCAAUGAGGCUUACAGAGAUAAUCUUCUUAGGCUCAAUUUGUUUAUGUGCUUACUCAGUAAGCUGUUAGAAUUUUUGAGGAUGGUUAGUUUGUACACGUGUUACAGAGUUUUUUAAGUGAUAAAGUGGGGAGUGUGAUGUGAGGUCGUGUAACCUCAUCUGAUAUGCAAGUUUGCUCGGGGCAGGAAUAUGUCUCAGUUAAGUUUUCUUCUCAAGACCAAAAGGAAAAAGAUGAAUCAGAUGUAAAAAGAAAAAUAAACUGUUAUUGCUUGAAACAGGCUUCAAGAAAUUACAAUGAGAGAAAAUUGUUGUAAUUCAAAGUCCUUUCUUCACCCAUCGCUAACUUUGACUUGUCUUUUAUUUCUUAGUCCCAUCAGAGCCAAAAAAAAAACUGUGUAAAGUGUCUUUGAGUCUAGAACAAGGUUUUUCAAACUUUAAAAAGCCAAGGAUCCCCGAGCAUUUGCCUCCGGCAGAGACCACAAAUGUCUUAAAACACUAUAAUACAAAAUAUUCAUACUUGACAUAACGGUUCAGUAAUGAUAUCUUUAUUAUGAAUAAAUCAACUUGUUAACAAUUCAUUGGCUGUUUAUUUACUUAUUAUUAUUUUUUAACAGUCAUUUAUUGAAGAUUUAGACAGGCUGUGCUAAGAACGUACACAGGAAUCAAAAAGGAGGUUUUUCUCCUGCCCAAAAUACAAAGAAUAUAUAAAAACUACAAAACAAAUAUAUAUCAUAAAGAAAAAGUGUAAUACAGUAGAAGAGGAGUGUCAAUGUAGAUACAGUAAAUGGAACGCACCAUAAGACUUGACUUGGACUUGCCCACUGAUAACAGAGACUUAAGGACUUGGGGUUUUGUGGCAUAAUGAAUAUACCAAUGUCAGGAUGUUAAACAUAGUAGUUUCUGCCCUGAUCAUCACUUGAGCUCAGUGUAUGAGUUUACUUAUAUUAAGAAGCUAACAUGUAAAACUAGAGGGCACUGGUAGAGACUUGAGUAUCUCAUUAAAAUAAGGCAAUAAUAAUGUCUUAAUGUCUUUAUACAGUUUAAUGCCAUAUGAAUACAAUGCUGACAAUACAUCUGGGUCCAAGAUUGUGAUGUUUUACCAGGUUACUGACGGUUUAGAAUCUAGGCUACAGCUCACCAGUAUAUAAUUAAACCCCCUAAGUCUCUUCUCUGUGUUACACCAAGUCAUUUUGUCAUGUAAUAGAUUGGCAAGAGCAUUUUAAUUGGCCACGUGAAUCUGAUAUUUCUACAACUGUGAUAUGCAUUUGAGAGAAAAGAGCGUCAAGAAGACCAGCUCUGUGCAGUGAUAUCAAAUCAGUCUGUCAUUUGAGGAUAAUAAGGAUCCUGAAAUGAAAGUCCUGGAAUUGGGCUUCAUGUUAUUUUUAGCACUGAUGGCCUGAACUUCAUCAAGACAUGCAUGGAUAGAAUAAAAUUAGCAUAUAGUUAAAAAAAAGAAAAGAAACUGCUAAUGAGCCGUGUUUCAUUAAUGACAAAUCCCACAGUUUGAGGCCAGGGUGGUGAGAGUUCAACCAAACUCACGUUACUGAGAAAGUUCAUUUUCAUUCGUUUUGAGAGUUUGUACAACAUAUAUGAUUUAUUUUUCAGCGAUACUGGUCGGCUUUCCAUUUUUUCUUCUGACUCUAAAAUGGCCAUUCCUCACCUCACAACCAAUCCUAAACCAAACUACUACAUGAUCAAGCUCUUAGUUUCUCUAACCAACCACAGAACUCAGACUCUGGUUAACCUGCUGUGACUGCCAAAACUUAAAAUAGCCGAGUAUGAAAGUCGGUCCCUCUAAGGAAGUCUAAAGCCGUGCAGUUGUUUCAUCUUUUACAAUAUUGAUGAAGAAAUAAACGACCCCACAAGGUCAAAUCAUGGAAUUAAAUAUUGAAGUGACCCUGAACAUGUCUACAACUCCAGUCUGACAUUUCUUCAUGUCUGUUUGAUGAAUAUAAACUGCUUAAUCGUUGUUUAAUCAAUCAGAAAUAAUCACAGUCUAGGGAAUAAAUGUAAAAACGUGGUCAGGAGAUAUUUGGGAUCUGGAAGUACAGAUGAAGACCCAACCAGCCAGCCAGAUAUUGAGGGAGUCCAGCUGGCAGGAAUGGGGUCAACCUACCCAAACAUGCUGCUUACCCAGCCAAUGAAAAGCAGAGAAGAAUCUGACAUUGAGGGAAAAAGAUGAGGAAGUUUCAGUUGGCAACCACAAGGCAGAACAACUAGAAUGGGCUGGAACCAGUCCUGCAAGACAGGAAUAUGGCUUUAUGCCCCUGAUCUGUGCUGAAAUACAAAGCUCCUCUUAAUAAGUCCUCUCAGGCAGCUGUGACUCUGGGGUUGAGUAAGUCAUCUCUUCAUCAGAGAGUUGGUCCACAUGCCCAAGAGUCCUUGGAAGGCAAGAAACUGAGCCUCAAGUCGCUCCUGGUGUGUGAUUGCAUGCAAAUGGGGUUAGUUAAUACUGAUUGUCACAACAGGGAAUGUGAUGUGUAGUAAAAAUAAGCAAGUUCUGUUAGUGGUUAUCAUAUCAUACAUGUACGUGUCUUUGUGCCAUGAUAUCUUAGCUUUGUCUUUUAAGUUUGCACACAUAUAUGUAUAGAUGGGAAAUUAAUUUAUUUAUUUCCAUGUAUAUGUGGGUGAUGGUACAAAAGAAACAAGCUGAUAUGGUCACUGCAGAAAAUAUGAUGCAGAGUGGGUCACUGCACAUCAGAUAGAGAUGAAUUAAACUCUGGCUUUCCCUGAAGAGGUGAUGAUGGGUAGAAAAGUUGAAGUGCAAAUAUUGAUUUACCCAGUGAGAGGGGUCACUUUUCCUUUUCUGGACUCCACUUAUGUCCACCGAGGAGUCUAAAAAUUAAGCACUGCCUCUCACCUAAAUGAUACAGCAUAUUGAUCUGCCUGAAGGAAGGUUGUUCUUUAAUGUAUCUGUCCAGAGCUGACCUUGCUGUUAGUGUAACGGUGUCUUGCCACAGGCAGACACACCACACUGAGGUAAUUUUUACUUGAGUUUGCUCAGGGGGGAACAUCACACAGAGACAAAUACUUCCGCAGUCAGUCUGUCAUUAUUCUCCUUAUGGUUGGUACGUCUAUUAAGAAAUGUUCUGCUGACAUACUGAUGAGGAUAUUACAGAUAACAACCAGCGCGUUCCUCUUAUUAUCUGAAUCUCUGCCGUAAGAAUGGUUGAGUCAAACUUUGAAUUCAUACAACUUUAAAAUCUUUGGCGAGGUUGGCUAACCCUCAUUAUUUUAGAGAAGUGGAGCUAAAACUAGAACAUUUUUAAAAGGCCAUGGGGGCUACUGCCAGGGUGUGCACGUUAUAACCAGAUUCCUUAGAGGUUUCAAAUAAUUAAUAUUAGUAGCACUGUGACAGUAUAUAGAGGCAGCAUGUCUAGAACAAACACAGUAUUUAUUUAUACAAAAAAAAAAAAAAACCUGAAGCCAGAGCAGGUGACAUUUAAAAAACUCCUAUAAUUUCUCUUUUUUGGGGCUUGUCUCAUUGACUUCAGUGCAUUUUUUUUUCCCCUCAGUUGUUCGCGAUGUAAGUCAAAUACAACAGAGAAAAGUAAUCGCACACUGAUCAGACCAAUUACAAGGUGAGGAUAAUACAUACAAGGUAAUAUGACUGGGAAUAGAAAUGAGUCCAUACCCAGCAGUGCCUUUGGAUAUGCUUUCAUUGUUUAUUUUUUUUUUUGGUAUGCACUUCAUCGGUGCAGCAUGCACUGCUUGAAACUAGACUGAGUCACUGAGAGUUGCUGAGAGUCGCUGUGAUGACGCUCGGCUCAAACUGCGUAUCCCCCGGGUGAGCUACGCAAUCUUCAUACGCCCAUAGGCUGUGUCAAUCAUUGAAAACAUGAACCCCCUAAUAACGUUUAAAAAUGGAGCUGCACAGAGAAAAGAGGACUUGAGCACAAACCAGUCUUACAGUAACUUAAUGUCAACCUGUGUAAUAAAUUUCUAAAGUUUGGAGGAGGCAGACGGUGUCCAUUCUAUAUACAGUCUAUGGUCAAAACCCUGCAGCUCCAGUGUCUUCCUCUGCCCCUCCCACUAAGACUGUGUCUACACUUCAGUCAAAUCUUCCCGUUGUACUUCACAGUAACACUCAGAAACUGUGGUUUCAACAGGAUGUUUUAAGUUUCUUCAUUUAACAAAGCCCAAGUCAAAAGUGAUUUCAUGUAUUUGUCCACAUUAUUGAAGUUAGUCACUCAUUGUAAAUCUGAGUUUCCUAGAUACAGAUGCAAAUGAUGAAGUCUCAGCCCACCUCUAAUUCAUGAAGCCUCCCUGCUGCAUUUUAUCUACAAAUAAACACUGUGUGAUUGUUUUUACUUUUUGUGGUGGAAAAAACAACAGAACACACUUCAUGACAUCAAUUAUUUUAAUGUUGUGUAAAUAACAUUUAAUAUUCACCCAUGACUCAUACUAUAGUCUAAACAUUGCCCUGUAACUGCCGAGCACUGCAGUGAGGAAGCUCUGAUUUUCAUGGACAGAGUGUCUCAUACAGCCAGUGUGCACAAUGAUGGAGUAACGUAUUUCGUCAGAGAUACUCUGACAGAUUAAUCUUUCUGAUUUCAAAGUAAAAGAUUGCCAUGACGACAGCAAAUAUGAGAUAAAUGGGUCAAUCUCUCAGCUUGAUUUCAUGGUGUACUCAAGAGGAGCCAGCAGCUCACAAUAAUUCAACAAGCCAAGCAGAGGAAGUGUCCAGUGGAUGGCAUGGGGAAAUAUUAUGCUACUUGUUUGAUGAAAGCACUAUCCCUUUGAAAUAGAUUGGUUUGAUUUCAUGCAUAAUGCUCUCACUAAGCUUAUGUUAGUAUUACUGUUGUCCUGUUUGAACUUUGUAGCUUUUCAUUGUGCAGCCAUCAAAUGAAACUACACACAAUUACCACUGCUGACAAGAGCCAUAGUGUUUGUGUGGAUAAGUGUGUAUGACGCAGGCGGGUAGUGCAAUAAAAAAGACAGUGACAAAUAAAAAUAAAGCCACACAAACUGGUCCUGAUGGUAUCAUGCAUAUUCUCUGAUCAGUUUCACCCUGUUACAUUUCCCUCUUUUUUGAAUCACUUUCUUUGUGUUCAGUCCAGAUAGCAGCAACUCAUUAAACCGCCGGAUAAAACACAAGCAAAGGAGGUCACGGUGCGCGUAACGAAACGAUUAUCAGAGGCAGACCACCCUCAUAUGACUUAUCACACCCUGGAUACCUUUCUAUGAAAGGAAAAACAAACAGUCAGAGCGAGAUCCAGCGGUACAAUCAGACACAGUUCUUUCAUGUCCUGAUGUCUUGGGUUCCCUGAGUGCAGAGGCUGAGGCACCGAGCAGGCUUUGAUAAGCUCCCAAGAAAAAGACAAAAAAACAUCUAAUUAAGAUGGGCUGCUGGCACCCCUGACUACUUAUGACUGUACAGCCAGUGAACAACAAAAACAGUUCGCCAAUGUGCUCCUCACAGCAUGGACAAGAAAGUGCAAUAAAUAAGGCCCUUGUUUGAAACACAGAGAAGAUACUAUUAGCACGAUAAAUUAAUCUCUUUACCAACAAAUGUGCUACCAAAGAGCCAUUUGUGCUUGGGGAUUAUCUAUUGUUUUAAUUAAAAAUGAGGGCACUAAUGCAAUUCCCAGCAGGAGAGAACUAGCCAAGACAUUGUAAUGAGUCUGUUGGGAGCAACCACAAUACUCCAGAGCUGGUCCUCCAAACAAGCAGAAUUAAGAAACCCCAGUAUCUAUCAUCUGAUAGCUUAGAAAUGAAAACAAUCAAUUACCUAAUUACCUGACAUUCGAUUUGAAAGGUACCAUUCAACAGAUAAAGUGGGUUUAGGUUUCUGUGCACUCCUUUGUUCAGCCUCGUUCAAUGAGAACUUAAAAGCUCCUGUUUUAAACCUGCACAUAUACUGUUAUAUUUGUUUUUAUAACAAUGUCAACAUAAGGCCAACAUAAACACACUCUGUCAGGAUAACAACAACACGUGUUUUCGAAUAACAGCCAAACCGACACGUCGAAAGUAGCACGCACCUUUUACAAAACAUGUAUGAAACAAAGAGAGCAGCCAACAUGAUUAAAGUGUAUCUCAAAAACUACACAAUAUGUUGUACCUGCACUCAUGUUAAUUUCUCAAUGUGUUAAAGAAUAUGGUAAACUCUGUGUUUCCCAGAAUAAUCUGUCUCCCACCUCUAAGUCAUAGUUUCAGGCCAUGUAUGCUGGUGUGUCAGUGCAGCAUUUAUUUGAUUCAUUAGUCAAAAAGGAAAGAUAAAAGGGUAAAUUCAACUGAAUUAAUCUGAUUAAUGAAUGAAGACACUUGUAAGAAUCCUUUCUCUUAAUAACUAUGAUGAAAUAUGAUUAAAAUGUAGUUAAUUAACGACUGAAAUUUUGUGAUAAAUCAUAAUCAAAAUCAAAAACGUCAUCCUUUGGCAGCCCUGCUUCUUUAUCCACUCUUGUCUUUUAAGAGCUCAGUAUUUUUGAAACAUAAAAAAGAUGUUGCAUUAAAGCCUAGAGAGAUGUUAAAUAUCAAUAUCUUGACUCUAAAACACACCAUUCAAAGAAAGUAUAAUUGUGCAUAAGUAAAUAUACAUCAAACUUGAAAAAAAAGUACAUUCAGCAGCAGAGAAUAUUACUCUUUAAUGAAUAUUGGAAUGAAACAUCACGUGCAGAAAAUAGAUGGUUCUGGAAAACAGGAAAUAAACUGAUAAAACCUCUUUCAUUUACAUGAGAAGAAAAGAUUGGAGUAAUUAAAAAACAUGCACUUAAAAUGAAGUUUUUAUUAUUCCAGGCCCACAGGAGUGCUGCUGCAACCCCUUUGUCCUUCAUUUCCAAUUAGUCCAAUUUUCCUCAUCUCUUUUUAUAUCCCAAGACCAGUUUGCUGUUCAAACAGCAUCUGUCUUGCUGCGCCUUCAUCUCCUCAAGGCUUCAGCCUAUUUCUAAUUAAUCUGUCCCUCUAACAGCAGAGAGGGAGGAGGUCAGAAAACAGACUGAAGGUGACUGGGAUGGGGUCUACAUCUGUUUUCAUAUUGAAUAUAUUUAAUCUCCGGGGAAGACAUUGGAAUUAUAUUCAUGGAGUUCAUCUAUAGUUUAUAGAAUAAUCAUUUCUACUUGAAAGUGGAGCUGAUUGGAACUGGACAUUUAAGACUUAUACUGACCUCCUCUCCCCUACAUACUGAGUGGCUGUUAAUAAGAAAUGCUUAAAAUUAAUCAGUUUCUAUACUUAAAAAAUGAGCCACUUAUUUGUUUUAAUUGAUGACACGUGCAACACAUGCAAGAACCGGCUCUGGUAGAUCUCUUUAUGUACAGAUACUCAAAAAUAAAAUGUAACACUACAGUUUUGGUUUAAUUCAUUCAAACUGUGAUUAAAGUGCUGAAUCACCCUUGAACUGUGCUCAAAACAGCUCAAACAAGCUUUCUUUUUUUAAUGACUCGCACAAAAGCAGCUCACCUCCUGCUGCAAAGACCUUGAUCCAGCCAGAUAUUACAUUUGCCUCGAAUAAAGUGAGAGGAAGAUCACACUUAUCACCACUUUAAUUUUUCUUCUUUAAAGAACGAUGCAGGAUGUCAUCAAUUCAUAAAAGUCAAGUUCAUCUCUUGAGGUAUGAAGCUUUGUAAGAUUCAUAACAAUAUGAGAUAAAGACUUGAGGAAAACAGGGUAAACUUUGAUCCCAUUCAUGCACUUACUUAGAUUACAGAUACUCUAACCCUGUGCACAACUAAUCAGAGAUUGAAAUGCUGAUCCUGUAGCAAGGACGUUAACUAUGAUACACUUUUAUAUGUUAAUUGAGUUCAAAGUUUACAGAAGUUAACAUGAAAGUUGUUGUUAAAACUGUUUAAGUCUGAAGAUCCACAUUCCCUCUGCUGCAACAGGGAAAAAAAAAAUCCCACAAUCAAGUCCAGUAAAGAAAUCAGUCUGAACACCUUAUAUCUGUAAAAUGAACAAAUGACUUCAAAUCAGCAAAGGCUUUGUUGCCUAGGAUUCGUCUUACCAUGUAGCAGCAGAGUUUAGAUCCAUCUUCUUUCUAAGGUAAACAGCCUUAACAACAUUAACAUCCAGAUUAUCAGUAAAGCCACUAUUUAACAAUGAAGGGAUUGACAGGUUGAUGGACAUGUGCCCGAUUCUGAUUGAAAACCCUCAAACUCAAUUGAACCGCCAGUGGGUCCAAGGUCUGGGAAGUUGUUUUUCUGGGCUCCUGGGCGACCUUUGUCAAACAUUCAUUUUGAGAUGAAACACCAUGGAAGCUUUUCUCUAAGCAAAGAAAAAAAAGCAGAUGAAAAAAUGACCAGGCAGGCAUAGAUGGUGACCAUGGAAACAAAUGGUCCUUGGUCCUUGUGAAGAUUUCGCUCCAGCAACCAUGGAUGACAAGGCUGAUGGGCAUGACAAGUAAAUCACUGAGGCGAACCAGACGGAGUAACACAGUACAGUUACGUAAGGAGAAGAUCCAUAUGCAUCUUUGAUCCUCGGCUCAGUCAUGUAUGGUGGUCCGAUGACAGAAAGUGAAUAUGUGUGACAGACCGAGACACUGUUAAUGACCCAUUACUUAGAGAUAGAUUCAAUUUGCACCAGGAUAGACUGACAGCGGCUGUUUAAGCAGGAAUGGUAUGAAAGGCCACAUUUUAAAGACAUAUUAAAAGCAUACUCUAGAUGGAUGGUGUAAAAGGGUCCAAUGUUUUGCAUUUCAAAGUCCCUAAUGGAUUCAAAGGAUACAAAAAUACUGAGCACGGCUGGAAAAGAGACAGCUUCCAGCGAUGCUGUGUCUAGACUGCAUGGGCUUUUCUUUCUCAGACGUCUGUCUAUGCCAACAGCCCAUGCAGUAAAUGAUCUUUGGUCCAAUUUAAAGGUACAUCCACUUUAUUUGUGUCACUAAAACCAAAAGGCGCUGACAUGAUCAUCCCCAUUCUGGCCGCCCCUUGUCGCUAAUGUAUGACACACAAUAGCAUAAUCACCCUUUCCACAAGCACCUUGGCACAUGGCCCAAACCGUCACAUUCAUGUCCCUCGUAGAGCCUGGAUGAUAGGAGACCUUCAUCACCCGGCCUGUAAACAAGGAGUAAUUAACACACAGGAGGGCUGGCUGCUCCCAAACAGACACGGCCAUGUCGAGGACUUUACCUGACACCCAGGUGAUGGCGCAGGCUGUUCAGGGGCCCAGAUGGUGGACACCCGCAUUGGCCAGAUGGUGGCCAUUCGUGGGUCUUAGCUAAAGGAACUAUAGAGUAAGUCCUGAGUGUAUCCCAGCUUAGGCUGUGGCUGAAAUACCUCUUUAGCUGACGUACUGACUGUUACCUCCAUAAUAAAUCAUAAUCACUGUGUACACUUUGCAAAUGUCAACGAAUCAUGAUGAUAUACCAACUCUGACAGAUGUGGUGUCACUUCAAAGUAAUUCAUAGAUCACUGCUGGCUUUUUAGCGAGUUGUAGCAGUUGUGCCUAAUUAUGGAAAUUAAAGCGAACUAUGAAUCACACCAAUGUUCCACUAAAGCUGAUGUCUUAACUCCCAAAUCUGCUCCUCUAAGUUAGGUCUUUUUAUAAUUCAAAGGACCAGAAUAAAAGAGAAUUUUACUGGACCAUGUGACAGAAUAUAGGAAGUCUGAAGUUCAAUUUACCAGUGUGUUUAUUUAUUUAUUUAUUUUGGUGUGCAUAUGAACUGAUCAAAUCAUUCAGAUGCCAGGUGUGACAAACCCGCCUUGUGCACAUCUCACAUGCAAAAUCUAGAAAACAGAAGUUUUGCAAAUUUUUCCAACAUCUGCGCACAAAUCGUAGCCAAAGUAUACGGAAAAAUAUGAAAAACUAAAUAUAUAAUUUCAUUAAUUUUUUUAUUUUUUUGGAAAGAAUAAAAUGUUUUUUUAAUCACGGGAAGACGUUCAAAAAGAACUUUGGAAACAGCUGCAUUGAAGGGAGAAAAAGGAAAAACAUGAAUGAGCUCCUGAGUGUGAAUUCCUCUUCUGUAAAGUUGUACAGCUGUUGCAGCUCGUCUGAAUCUGUGAAAGUAAAAGGAGAUUGCUCCAAUACAGGAGUUAAUUUUCUCAUAAUGUCUGUAUUGAUCGUCCGGCUGAUAUCUGAGUGAUUUUGUGGAGGACAGCUUAGUUGAGAGAAAAAGCUGACAACAAUUUGUCCCCAAUUUAUAUGACAAAAAUAUUUGUGUCUUCUGUCGAUAUCCAUUAGGAUUCUCGCCUUGACCUCUCUCUGCUGACAUCAGCGAGUCACAAAGCGAGAGAAACCCUGGGAACAAAGUAAUUAAAGCAGUCUGAAGCCCGGGGGAUCACUUUAAUAUGUGUUUACCCCUUUAAUUUAAUUCAUUACUGUACUAUAAACUAUGCAAAUGACAAGGACACGCUACAUCAAUUACUUUUUAAUGCUAUGGGCGCUGGCAGGUUUCCAUCAUUUCCUUGCAGCCAUCUGCACUUCUAAAAGUCUUAAAAUGCAUGUUUGCAUCUGUAUCACCACAUGUAAGUCCGACAUCUUCAAACAGUUCCCUAUGCAUAAAAAAUAGGUGACUUAAAUAAUAUGUAAAAGGGUCAUCUUUGUUUACAGCAGCAUGAUAAGGCAUCUGUGAUGACGGUGUUUCUGCAAAGGCUCUAUGAAUCCAGAUGCCGACUGUGGCCCUUCUGUUGGAAAGAGGGAAUGCUGGGUCAUCAUUUAUAGAAGAAAACGCUGAUUCAACCUGACUUUUGGUUCACCAAGAAACAGGCAGAGAGAUGGAACUGAGCCUCCGGGCCAGCAGCAACAUUUCUUAUGCCAACUCAGACACAGAUGCACAAAGCCGGUUUUAGGCCUGACUCAUCCCUUCAAACAAAAGUCAACAAAGGCCCAUAUCGUCAGAUUGACUAACAGACUGAUUAUUCUUCUCUUUGAUCUGUGGGAAAGACAAGUGGAGCCACAUCUUCUUGGAAUCAUUAAUAUUAAACAUGUUCAGCAUUUACAACCUAAAAUCCUUGUGUGUAGGGAUCCUGAGGACGGCUUACCAUGCACACUGACUAUUGUUACAGGUAACGACUCGAUAGACAAUCAGAGCGAGCCGACCAAGGUAGGAAGAACAACAAACGCAGCCAUGGCAAUGAUAGUGACAAACUGAGAUGGACGUUCAAAUCAUACAGGAUUUCCUGUUAUGAGAGUCUGGAAAUGGUGGAUGUGUGUGGUGUGAGGUUUUUCUCACAAUGUUGCACACCACACACUGUGAGAACAAAACUUUCAAAUCUGUCAUUAAUUGUUGUCGAGUGUAUAUUUUUUAAAUUUGUAUUUAUUUUUUUAGUUUCUCAUUCUCAUUUUUUUCGAUUUUUAUUUUUAUUUUAUUGGAUUUAAGGUUCUCAGAAUCCUUCGGCAAGACACUUGACCCCACUCUCCCCCGCUGGCUAGACCCAGUGGUGUGUAGGUGGAAUUAGGACCCAUAUUGUCUUGGUGUCUGCACCAAAACAUGUAUCGCUGUUUACACAUCCUAUUGUACAUAGCUUAGUGCAUUUACAUGACAACGCAAAAUCCUGUAGCACAUAAGUGUAACAUGCUGCGUCUCUGCAUGAGUACUUGUUGCUGUUGUAGUUGGUGUUGUUGCUGUUCUAAAUGUUGGUAUAAAAGUCGUAGCAAUAUUUGUAGUUGCUGGAACAAGAACAAAAUCACCCCAGCUACCGCCAUUGUUGUUGCUGCUGUGUGCGUGAGGGAGGAGGACGGGUGCAAUGAGGUCACCGUCUUUUCCGGACUUAUCUGUUUAUACCAACUACAGCAUGAAGACGAAUACCCAGAUAUCCAGCUGCAGACCCGUUUUCAAAAAAGAUGCGGAGUCAUGGACAAACCCACGUCUACGUGUGUCAAUAUCACCAGAUGGAUCGUUUAUUUUACCGGUGUCUUCGUACUCGUGUAAAGACCACCUUAGUCAGAAGCUGAUUGGCUCUGUUCUCAGCAGCCUCUGCCAUCAGUGUGUGAAUGUGACAUGUAAAGUAAAAGCACUUUGAACAGUGUAGACUCCAGAAAGUGCUUAUAAACAGAGUCCAUUUACCGUAACUGUGAGGAGAAAAUUGGAUAUUGUGACAGCCCUGCUUGGACUGUUUUCAGACAGUUUAAGCUGUUAAAGUUAACAUAUAUACAUGGAUAUGUGAGAAAUCUCAAUUGUAUUCCACAUUACUGGUACAUUUGACCCAAAGCUGUGAUAAAGUGGUGCUUCUAUACACUUGCACUUCUUUAAAAAUGACCACAUUUGAAGAAACCCUCAUGAGAUGUGAUUCUGAGAGAUUUUCCAGCUGCCUUGUCUGCGUUGUAAAUGAAAGCGCUGACUCAAAUUAUCUUCAGACAAUGCGAUUGCAAGACAUCCCUCAUUUAAAGUCUCAGUAUGGACUCGCCGCUUUAUGUGAGAGCUUUACAUUAAUAUGGAUGUCAUGUUAACCCUCUGAAGUGUUACAUCACUGUUCAGCAGCGAGGAGAUCAGGAUGACACAUACAAAGAUGUGCUGAAGUUUUCCCCUCAUUACAUAAUGUGUGUCCCUUCAACAGCAUAAUUGCCAUAACCAGGGGAGCCAUCGCAAACUUCUGUCACUAAGUGUUCCUCCACUCAUAUGAAAUGUUACGGCUUGACGGUACCUGCUGCUAUCCUUUCAUUUCUAAUUCAUGGCGUUAAUAUUGCUCGGGGCUAACUCCGGGGAACUUCAUGACGCAAAGUGCAAUGAACUUCUCUCCCUGAAAUGAAAAGAACAAGUGCAGAAUAUUGAUAAGGUCUGUAUUAUCUCAUCAUAUAGAGGCUCAUAAUCAAACAUUGUAAUCCUUCUGCAAUGGUUGAAUGUGCACUUCAUCCAGAAAUCCAGAUAAUGACGGGGCUAAGCUUUUUGAUCUAAGCAUUUUGGAGGAGAAACUGAAACUAUGAUUAACCUAAUAAAAGAAUGAUAGCUUCUUUGAUGUUCAUGCGCAGAGAUAUUGGGGAGCUCUGGCUUAAGAUGAGGCAGAUGCUGUUUGUUUUUUGAUCUCUGUAAUAAAUCCUCUGAGUGGAGUGCAUGAACCCUCACUGAUUCCAGUAAGUAAAAAAAAAAAAGCUCCAAAUAGUCUGGUUCACCCCAGUGAGUUUUUAAAAUGAAUUAUUUGGAAAAAUAAAUCAAAGUCUGAUAUUCUACCACAAAAUACUUCAACAUAUCAUUAGUCAUUUUAACAAACAAAAACUGGAGCACAGAGCACUUUUUAACAUUUCUCCACCUGGUUUUUUGUUUCAACUUUCAAACUUAAAUUUCAUUAACAAAUGGUCGUCAACAGCUGCAUGAACAUGAAGAACCCAACGAUAGGUUGAGAUUGGUAAUCUGAGAAUAUGAGGUUUUAUUAGCAAUCUUUGAUUCUUUAUUUAUUGUUCCAAAACAACUUAAAGUCCAUCUCAGAUCGUUUUUUUCUUUACUUCUUAAAGUUUUUCUCAGUGGUCUUUAAAUUGUGGUUAUAAAGUUUUUAGCCAAAAUCACGUUACCUGUGUCAUUUUCAACGGCUUUUCUUCUGCAGAGCUCCAGUAGCUCAUCAGCAAUUCACCUGAGUUGUGGGCGGAGACAGCGCUGCUCUGCACACUCCUCUUCAUGCUAGCUUGCAGCCAAACAUGUAGAAGUAGCAGGUAACAUAGGAGCUAGUCAGCCCUCAAACACGAAUAUCUUCAGGGACAUGAUGAAAGUUAAUGUCAUAAUUAGCUUUCUUAUGAGCAUUUCAAUUCACUAACGCACACGCUUGUUCCGCAAUCGUCCUUUCUGCUUUUCUGAGUGUGGCCUGCAUCGCUGGGCUCCGUGGGCGGAGCUUGGAUUUUCUUUGAAGGAAAUCUCACUGUAUCUGAGCCGGCGGUUUGGGUCUGCCAGAGAUUCACAGCGGUAUGACUGCAGAAAUACUCUAGUUAGAAGACACUGAUGUGUGUUUAUUUAAAGCUCCUGUAAGCUUUGACAGUGUGACUCUACACAGGAAAACAAUGAGAUUAUAUGGGGAUUACUUUUUACCUGAACAAAAAUCUCAUAAUUAGUUAAAGACUGAAGACUAAAUGCUGUCAAACCUCUGUCAUGUUUAACUCUAACUUGAGCAGACACAGACUGGAUUAACAUUAUCAGAGGACCUCUGUGUGUUCUCAAAUAUGUUUCACUGAUUUGUCCUGGAUUUUCUUUUUCUUCACAAAUUACAGACAUUGUUGGUUCACAUGGGAUUAAAACUCUGUUUCCUGCUCCCACUGCAAUUAUAACAAAUUAUCAGAGGUCUCUUGGUGCUUCUAAUGCUGUGCUUUUUUUUAGAGCUAGCUGUGAGUGAAUUGGUCUUUACCAGGAUUAAUAUGUCCAAAAAAGAGGCACAGAUUUGUGGCGGCAUCAAUGCAGUAACUGAACACAAAAAAGAGGUAUGAAAGUAAGAUAGUUAAUCAUUAAAUACGCUUUACUCUGCUGGUGUUGCAGACAAAAAAGUCUCAAACUCUCAGAGAUGCAAAAACACAGUUGAGUGAAAUGUACUCAUGCGUUGAUAGUUUGUGUUAUAUUUAAUGAGUCUUGUUGCUAACUUCCAAACCUCGGCACGAGGAUGUUAGACUGAUGGCUUCUUUUCAGCAGAAUUACAGUCAAAUACAGUAAAUAUGACAACAUAUAUUGACGUAUCUGAAUUCUUUUGUUUUCUUUUAAGGAGUUAAGAAAAAUGACGGGAAUCCUAUCUUAAAAACCAAAUUUAAAUUACAGCUGUUGUGGAAAUGCAAAAGGUAAAAUAAAGCUUAUGGCUGAGGUAUCAUGCUCCGUUUGCAUGAGUGAACUAGAAGUUUAUAGAAUACCAAAGAAAUAAUCUGCAAAGCUAGAAAGCAAUGAAGGGUGGUGAGUCAGAGACAGAUAACAGGGCAGAGAUGAGGCAGGAAGAAAUCAGGGAUUGAAAGGGCACAUCACCAGCAUCUCCGAAAUCCUCUGUCGAGAGGCACUGCACAGUCACUGACAGUGUAACAUGUUGAGAUCAUUAAAAAGACCCACUCUGAUCAGUAGAUUUUAAAGCCAUUCAAGCAAUUCAGAUACAGAGAAAAAAUCUAAUCUGCAGCAUAUCAGAGGAGCUGUAAAUGAAACUCAGCGGGAGGAUCUCAUGUUGACGUCUGGGUGGAGCAGAGAACUAUUAAUCUGCUAUAGACAGCCGAGGGCCCAGCCCACCUGCAGAGUCGAUUUUAUACGCGAGCAUCUGUGCUUGAGAACUUAUUUCACUCCAAGCUUCAGCUGUGAAAACUAAUGAAAAAAGCAAACUUUCACACCUGAAUGAGAUACUAUUUAAUAACUGCAGAUCCAAUAAAUACUGUAUAUAUCAGUGUGACGAGGUACUUGAGUCCGAUCAGGUAGUCUUCCACAUCACUUUUCAGUUACCAUCAGACUGCAGCUCAUCAUUUCACGAAUUUCAGAUCCAUUGUGUACCUUUUUCUUUUCAUGCUCUCUUAAAGAGCUCACCACGACCACCGUCCCACUAACACCACCAGGGAGCUGCUUUAAAAACUUUCUGCUCUAACAUUUUUCUUUUCUAUGCCGGGAAAUCUAUCUCAGCCCAACCACAGGGGGCUGUUUUCUCUUGUCUUUUAUGUCUGGAUUUGCAAUUCUUUGGGGCUUUAAAAAUUCUUUAUUCUGUACAAGAAACAAUAUUGUUAUGCUUCAGGCUAAAACAUCUUGCAGUCUUCUGGGUGUAAGUUUUGAGACUGUCCUUCUGAGAAAAAUAACAAAUGGCAAAAACAACAUACAGAAACACAGACUCCUAUCACACUUCCAGGCUCCAUUCACCGGCCAACAAUGUUUUUCUGUCAAGACUGAUCCCAAUUAUUUCUCACCAAUUCAUUGAUUUGUCAUACUCCAAAAGGAAACGAUGAACAACACAGUUUGUUUCCCAGAAUUCCCAGACUGUCCUUUCCUACCUAAAGACAAUAUCUCUUUGAGGAUAUAUUGCAAAAGCCGUUUUUUCUUUUACUUCUGCAGGCUCUGUUUUGACUGAUUUGGAACGAGAGCAGCACUUGAGCUGAAGGACAUCAACCGAAUUGAACCUUUAGAAAAAAAAAAUCCAGUUUGACUUUCAUUUUUAGUUUGGUGUUCUUGGAGCGGCCGUCAAUAAUUUCUCUUUAUAAAACCAUUUCUUUUAUUCUGACUUGCAUUGAUUUUGUGGUAAGAGAUUUCUCUUGAACCUGAAAAGAAUUCAUAGUAGAGGAGGGCGCAGAAAAGUCUUUUUUGUCGAGGAAGGUUCCCAAUUGAGUGAAACAACCUGGAAGUGUGAAAGUAUUUGCCAUAAUAAAAGCUGUUUAACUUCUCCAAAAGACAAGGAGAGGAGUUCUUUGCUUCUUAGAUUAAAUGUGACUGAUGUCCUACCAAUGACCGUGGACUGUGGUUUCUCAUGAUACUUGUUUUGUGAGAUCUUAGUGCUGCUUUCAAUACAAGUAGAUCGUGUUACAGAGGCUUGAAUGUCAAAUAGGUAUCACAGGGACUGCUUUAGCUCGGUUUAAGUCACAUUUGACAGUUGUUCACUGGUGUCACCGUGUCAGUGUGUGGGUGCCCCAAAUUAUAUGAUACCUGGAGGCAAGUGAGUGAGGAGGUCAGAUUACCUGGUAAGUUGUAAAAAACCUUUGUCUAUCACUUGAUCCCGCUGGUUGAAUUGGCAAAUUACCGUUGAAAUUAUGUUGACACGCAAAUAAAGCGAGUAAGACCGACUCAUCCAGGCAUCUAGAUUCACGUGAAUGAGGUGAGUAGAUGAUUUUACUCAUGAACUGUGUAACUAUGGUAACCCUAGUAGGACAAACUCAGAAUUUUGACAGCAGAGCAGAACAAUUACAUAUGAUUAAGGCUGAAAGUGUUCAGUCUUAGUUAUACUUACGAGUAACACAACACAACACCAUUCACAGAUAAGUGUAUGGACAGGCCAUUAUGUAGACAAACCUUAUAUCUUCUCCCCAUGGGGUUCAUUUUUAAACAUUUCAUCUGAGGCGGUAUUUCAGCUGAGUCUAAAUACUAGCAGGGAUGUGUGGAGGUUUCUGUAUCCCAAAAUAUAAUGAAUACACAAAGGAGUGACACAGCCUGUAGCAAAACCAAAUGAGACACCUCGUGGUGAAUUUUUCUGUCAAAUAUGCCUUCCCGUGUUUCCUCAAAAGCCCAGAGAUAAGGCUGGAGAGAAAGUCAUUUUGUUUUAAGGCGUGCAAGUGACACCAGGAGAGCAAGAAACUGCUUUGAAUUUGUUGUCAUGUGAAUAAAAAACUUUUUUUUCUUCCUCUCAGUGGCUGCGAGUUCAGAGGAAACAAAUGAAAUGGCUUCAGAUCGACACACAAAGUCAAGAUACGUUAAAUGACAGAUUGUUCUGAUGUGUUUUAAAUAAGAUUUAUCUAUUUUAAAACUGUUGUAAAACUGGUUGUAUCGUACUUCCCUAAUUAAUUUGACCUAAGACUGUUUAAUUAUUAGCAGUUUUUUUUUUCUUUUUGUUUCUCUUAUUUAUUCACUGAUGAGAGGAAAAGAUGUGGAAAUAAUAAGGACCUUCAAAAAAGUCAGAGGUUAUUUUUCUCCCAGCGUCAAAAUUUAAAAGACAUUAAAUGAAAUAGGCAUUAAUAAAAUGUGUGAAGGUGCAAGUUUUUGUCUCGAUUUCAAUUUCCAAAAUGCUAAAUUUCUUAUGGUACACACAUAUGUUGACAUCUUAGAUUACAACCCCUGUUCCAAAAACGUUACGGCAUUGAGUAAAAUGUUAAUUGUACCGAUUUAAAUGAUUAGUAAAUUUUUAAACACUUUAUUUUCGAAGAAGAGGAUGAUGAAGAACUUUAUUGAUCCUUGAAAGGAAAUCCAAUUUAAUUAAAAACAGUGCAAAAUUAACACAUGACAUUUUCAGACUGAAAAAUGCUACAAGGCCCAAAACCAAUAGUGGAUGUUAGUCGAUUUCAACCCCUCAGGCAGAACUACAUUUAAAACAAUCAUUACUCUGUCUGUAGUGGAAAUCACUGCAUGGCUUAAAAUCAUGACCGAUAAACAUCAGGACAGUUUUCGGACUUGGACAAGGUGGACUGAGCACUGUCCUGCAGUGUGACCAAUUUUGAAAAUCAUGUAUUUUUGUCACAAUUCCAGGACACCAUGAUUUUCUGGGUCAUUUCUAGGAGUCUAGUGUGCAUCAAAUAUACACUUCCUGCAGGCUUGUAGCAAAUAAGAGUCAACUCAUUUGUUUAAAGUAUUAUUCAGUUAACCAAACUGACUAUUUAUUUCAGACAGAUGCUGCUAAAUCAAAGCACGAAGGGAAUCAUAUGUUCAGGUUUUCUGAGCAGAUUUUUCCCAUCUGAUAAAUGCUUUUGAAAUUAAAAAGAAAGUCUCUAAAUUCUCCCUUUUAAUCAGCUCCGUUUGACUUUUAAUCAAGAAGAAAUAAACAAGUUAACAAACCAUGUGAGAGAUGUUUUAUGCAUCGAAUAGCUCCAUCAUCCUAAUGUUUAGUAAUGAACAGUGGGGGAGUGAUGCCAUGCGGCCCUGUGGCCAGAAACAACAGACUGAAAGACGGGUGAGAGAUCCUUUUGCCCUUAAACAGUGAGCUGCCUUUGUGAAUUUAGAUGCUGCUCUGCUAUGCACCUCCACACGCUAGCAUCUCCUGACAUCAAAAAGACUGGCAGCCUUCCCACAUUUCUUGUGGUGCUCAUCACAUCGUCUAACACCUCAGUGAGCACAGGGGGAGAACAAAAAAUCUGCAUGAAAUCAUCAGUAUGGCAGGUUAUGAUCCAGUGUCAAGAAAAGACAAAAAGGAAGUUUGUCUCAGUUGAACUCAGGGUGCCUCAUUAUGUGGUCUAUAGAGAGGGAUUUCGACUGCAUGACUAAUGUGCAGUUCUGUGUAUUCCAGAGGAUCUACAGCCACAUGAAAUUGCCCACAGGAUGCAAACUCUGUUUUGGAAAGAAAAGACACCAAAUAUGCAAACACAAUGAAAACAAAUAUUUCUUCUCUCUCUUUUUUCUGGCUUUGAUGUCUGUGCGUCUAGUCGUUGCCACCCCUCACACAGCCUCAGACCAUCUACAGAUUUGAAGGAUUUUCUGCCCUCAAUUAACCACACUGAAUAAUUUACUGCACUGCAUUCUGAAAGACUAGAUUAGCCGGAGAGGAGGUAGAAAAUGUCAUAUACUCCAGGAGCUGAAUCAAUACACAGAAUUACAUGGUCUCUAAUUAAAACAUGGACCUGUGCAGGUCUCAUGUAGUCACAUCGAACCUCAGCUUCCCUAAAAACCAUUUACAUGAAGGUACUUCAAAUAGCUGCCAUGAGCACAGAUGUAAUGGUAGUGCUCCACAAAUAUAUUUAAUGCAAGACUCAUACAUAUUUCAUAUAAGGGUACAGUAUAAUCAGUCCCUGUUGCUCAACACUAAAGGUCAUUACCAGGGCGAAUUUGCAAAGCGAAUAAUUAACCUCUUUUAAAAAAAAACUCAAAAAGUCAAUGCAAGCUUCCACACCAGCUACGGACUUCUGCAGAGUGAAAAACGAACUUAAAUUUUUUCGCCCCUGUACCAAAUUUUGUGACCAUUCACAGAUGAACUGCCACCUUUCGAACAGGCAAAAGGCAUAAGCUGAAUAUUUCGCAUUUUCGUCCAUGUAGAUUCUUAUUGAUCCAGGUCAUGGAUUUCUUGAAGACUCCAAAAACAGGCAACUGGACUGUGUAGAGUCGAGAAGACGUUUCGCCUCUUAUCCAAGAAGCUUCUUCAGGUCUAAAUAUUGCUAAUGUGAGGAGCAGAUAUUUAUCUAACUGGAGAAGGGGACAGACAACGACUGGGAGGAGUUGGAAAGAAUGGGUCGUAGAAAGCCAUCUCCGGGUGUGCCAGAGAGAUUGUGCCUGAGUCCCCCCCCUCUGUUCAGAGAAGGUUUCUCCAGCCGGGUCAAGAUGGCUUCUUUAACUCCUCUUUAGAACCAUCUGUCUUCUCUAGCCAACACCUGUACAUUGAUGUCCUCGAAAGAGUGACCCGUGUCCUUUAAGUGAAGGUGGACAGCUGAGUCCUGACCUGAGGAAGGGGCUCUCCUGUGUUGUCUCCUGUUGCACAAGCGCAUGGCUCAACACAGGAGAGCCACUUCCUAGAACUGAAGAAGCUUCUCGGAUAAGAGGCGAAACGUCUUCUCAACUCUACACAGUCCAGUUGCCUGUUUUUGGAGUCUUCAAGAAAAUUUAACUUUGCUUCGCUAAUUCACUGGUGUGUAACGACCUUAAUUUAGGGUGAACUUAAACUGACUUCAUUCAAUCAGAACUCCUUUAACAUAUCAUCAAGAAGGAACCCUAACUCACAGAUUCUUCACCCAUUAGCUGGAUAUGUGUGUAAUUAUGUCUUAUGCUUAAUGUGAAACUUCACACUAGUAUUUUGUGACAAACUACACCGGACAAGUCAAUCACUCAAGGAUAGACUGUUUUACAGUCUUGCCAUCUGGCUGAUGUCGAGCCUGUCUUUACUCUUCUCUUCGGUUAACAUAAAAUGAUGAAGAAAUCAUUCAGAGGACGACAAAGUGAAGUACUUAUAUUACAAAAACAAAAGAUUUUCUGUCACUACAGUGGAAGAAAAACUUCCUCUGCAAAUUGCUGGAAAUAAAAAGUCACAAGACUCGCCUUCAUUAUACCAAUAUGAUUGUAAAAAUGUCAAAAAGUCUGUUUCUCGCUUCCUUUUUUCUUUCUCCUUUUUGUCUUUUUCUCUCUGUGUUCCUCUCUCUCAUCUUUCACCCUAACCAUGCCUUCACAGAGAAUCUGUCUUGGACCAAAGGGAAACACAACAGUGCUCUAUCUGACGAGACAGCAUCGGGAACACGUCCAGCGAAAAAUGGGUGCAAUUAGUGUCUCGGAGAUGGUACAACAGCUGCAGGACAGAAACAUUCCUCAGAGUUGUCCCCCAAAGACUGAACACCACAAAUCUAAAAAGCACUGCGGAAAGUAUCAGCUUGUAGUGCUUUUGUUGCAGCAAUAAAAUAACACUGUGAUUAUGUAGACCUCCAUGGAUAGAAGUGACAAGAGCCAAGCACUUGUUAACACCGUCUUCCUUGAGCUGUUAGCCUGUUCUCAGUGUGAAAAAUGAAGUCAGCACUCGUUGUGACAGAAUCCAUUCCAUGUAGUUUUCUAAAGAGGAAAAUACUAGAUGAACUUGCCACUUCACAGACAGCAUGGAGACAGAGAGCACAAUGAACUGUGAAGCAAAGCCUGAAAUUAGGAGGUAAAAGCCCCCGCCUGGAAAAAGCCCACUCCAGAAAGCUUUGACUGGAGACACGAGGAAGCUCUCAGUGAAACGUGAAAACGUGUUCUCGUCUGUAAUCCUGAAGGAACUGGAUAUUUACGGACCUCAUAUGGCAACAGUAAGAUUUUGAAACCUAAUACAUUGGUUAUUGUAGGUUAUAUGGCUGAUAAUGAGGACAAAUUAUCAGUACUUUUCAUGAUAUUAAGCAUCACUGAUAACAGAAGACAGUUUACUGUAAGUGUGUUCUUCAUUGAUUUUCCUCUGCUCAAACAAAGAGCUCAGGCCAGCUCAGAAGCUGGUUUUAAAGGAGUCUACUGGGAGAGUGAAAAUCAGACGUGGUGUCAAAAGCAAAGCAGCCGAGGAGCUCUCUCCUUCAGGAUUAUGCGGCUCUUAUUAGAAAGAAAACUCAAAUGCCUGACUGUCUUUGCACUUGCAUCAGAUUUCCUGACACAGGAGAUUCAGCUGUUGAGAGCACCUACCAGUUAAAUGAUGCUUCAUAGCCUAUAACUGGAGGAAUAUGAAAUAAAUUAAGAUUAAAACAAAGUAUGAUGAUGAAAGACAAAUGAUCAGACCAUGGCCUGCUACUUAAUCAACUUAUUCACUGACUAAAAGAGGAUUGCAUUAUUACCUUUUCGAUUAGAGUGGCCGGUGUAAUGGCAAUGUUCCAGAGAGUUAGUGAGUGAUUCAUAAUAAAAAUCAUAUAGAAGCUGAUUUUCAGCAGGAUGAUGUGUUUCCAUCUUAAUAACUUUAAUUGAUAUUGAUGUUGUGUUUAAGAGGUGCAGACGCUCAGUUUUGCAUUUCAGCAACAGUCAAAUUAUCUUGAUAUCUGAAAUAAAAAAUGGUGAUGCAUUAGAAAUAAAAGUUUGAAACCUCAACAUGGAAUAUUAAAUGUCAGACACUGGACACAGUUGUGCUUAUUUAAGUAAUGAUUGUGACUUUGUCAUUGUCUAUUUGUAAAUACUUUUCCAUGUAAUAUAAAGUUUUAUCAAGUAGUCUCCUGAAAAAAAAUUAUACUUCUUGCUGAUCUAUCUUGACAUCAAGAAAAAACUUUUUUCAAGAAGUCAUAUAUUUUGUUUUACUCUGCUCUGUAUAACUACUUAAUAAUGAAAGUCCAGAAUCCACCCAACAACAAAAGUACAACCCGCUGUUGAGUCGCUGUGAUGCGCUUGGCUCAAACAGCGUAUCCCCCGGGUGAGCUACGCAAUCUUUGUACACCUAUAGGCUGUAUCAAGUGUCAAUCAUAGAAAACAUGAACCCGCUUAUAACUUCAAAAAUGAAACUGCAAAGAAAAAGAGGACUUGAGCACAAACCUGUCUUACUGUAACUGCAUGUCAACAUCACAAGUAGGGGGGAGGAACAUUUAUAUUCUGUGUGAUAAAUUUCUAAAUUUUGUCCUCAGCUCCAUAAGGAUUGCUGGAGGAGGCGAGAUUUAUGACCUAUACUGCAGCCCGUCACCAGAGGGUGCUGUUCUCGCGGUGGUUUCACCCAGCGAGGAGGCAGACGGUGUCCAUUCUAUAUAUAGUCUAUGAUCCCUCCUAUUCACAUCUCACUUCACUGAGUCUGUGGUGUCCUUUGAGGACAAACAGCUGAAGAUUACACAAGCCUCUUGUGCAUAAACAUGAAGAAAACUUUAUAAGCAAAUGGGUCAAGUCUUCAAAUACAUUCAGCCAAGUUAAAUCCACCUCUGAUAAUAAUAAUAAUAAUAAAAACAUACUGAGACUUUGAGGUGUUAAAUACAACUCUUUAAACCGACUCAGUCUUUGAUUUAGGAGGUGUUUUAAAUCAGGACACACGGUCCAUUAAUUCAAAGGCGAUGAAAGAUUUGAGAAAAGGUCAGAAUAUAUUCUGGAUAUUGAAUUGGAAUAGUACAUGAAAGAUAUGUGACUACCACUGCGAAGGCUUGAUUGUUGGCCACAAGUUGGUAGGCCCACAAUACAGAUUUGACACACAGCAGAGAUUGAUCUGACCCUUUUGAAGAUGUGUGGUAGAAGAUCGUCAAAGAGCAAAAGGGCAUUUUCAGGAAAGAAACUCUUCUCCGCUGUAUAAUCCGUCCUGCUGCCCUGAAUUCUGUUUUGCUAAAAGGUUUAUUAUGUAUGAAUUUUCUUGGUCAUUUGAAAAGAAUUCCUCACACUGACGACCUCCAUGUUUGACACUUAAAACCACAUAAAAAGAUCUCAAGGCUUCUGAACACAGUAGACUUCAGGAAGUGAAAACUUUUUAAGUUUUAUUCACGAGGUGAAAGAGUUGAGAGCGCUGCAUAUAAGUGAGACGCAAUGCAGCAGCAUGAUAAACAAAAAUGACAGUGAUGGAGUAGCAGCUUUGACUGAGUUGAUGACACCGGAGAGUGAGUAAUCUAACAAAUUUCUCCAUUUGGCUAUGACAUAUCUCAGCAGACGGAUGAUAAAGAUGCAAGUAUGAGGAUUAGAUCGACCAAAGAAUUCAAGAAAUCCACGUGCUCAGAGGCAUAGAUCCUAAAAACCAUGGACAACAUAGGCCAACAUAGAGUCCUGGAGGAUUGUCUGCUUAUCAUUACUUUUUUCCCCUUCAAUCUAGGUAUACUUCAAGUUAUCUAAUAAAGUGAAAUACAGUUUUGUUUCUAUUGUUUUGAGGUCAUUCUGCAGUUGUGCUUCUCUGUAACUUAUGUGUGUCUCUGGUUGUUCUCUCAGUUUGUGGUUGUUUAGCAUGAAUCUUAUUGUACUUCUUCUGUAUCCUUUCAAAUUUCCCACAGAGCUUUUUACUGGAGUGUUUUUUGUGUCUUUGCAGAUUUAUGUAAUUCGGUGUGGACGUAGUUCUUUCCAAAGUUAUAUUACCAUUGUUUUUUUUUUUUUUAUGGUUCCCAGGUUUUUCAGACAUUUAUCAUCUAUUUAACAUAAUCCAAACUCAGGACUGACCUCAUGAAUACAUAGUUCCAUAGUCCAUAGAGUAUUAUGAAACAGUAGGGCAGCUGCAUUAUACUGUACCUUUUUGAGAGAAAGAAAUAUUGAUAUUCUAGAAAACAGGCACAGUGGACUGCAGGGGGCAGUAGUGGCUUCUUCACUAUUGCCAACGGCCCUAUAACUGAAAAAAGACGUAGAGAAAAAAAACAAAAUUUACAUUAACAGGAACAUCAUAAGAAAUGGUUAACUCUUUUCCACGGUUGAUGGGAUUUUUAAUUAUUUAAGAUAAAACACUUUUCAGCCAGUGAGCAGAUGUUCUGUCAAUCUGUGUUUUCACUAUAAUACGAUGGGUGGCGCUGUGACGGAUCACGUGGAGAAGUACAGCACUCCCACUUUUAUGAACAAGCAAAGAAGCUCAACCUUAACGGAAAGGAGCCAGGUGCAGGUGGGGAAAGAGUAAAUGACCUGUUAGUAGGUCUGUUGAAUUCUUAUGACUAAGGUUUAUGAGGUAUCGUGUCGCUCCAUCCUUGCUUACCACCCUUAAUUUGGUAGAAAGUGUUAUGUUUCUAUUCCAGCUUCCUAUGUGUAUCAUAAAGAUAAGAGAAAUAGCCACAAUAAACACACAUUUAUCUUUUCAACAGUCUAAUGUCUCUUUUCCCUACUGUAAGUAUUGCAGCGUUGCUCUACCAAGUCACCUGUUAUUUACUUCAUGUCUCUCGUUAAGACGACUGAGGGAAAGUGUUUCUGACAACAGACUUGUGUAUAUGCCAAUAUAAUAUAGAGAAGUGGUUGCAGAAGAACCUUGAAUGGCAUGUUUUUUUUUCUUAUAGCAUAUGCAGUACAUCAGGAUAAAGGGACAUAUGUUCAGGUAUAAGUAGCACUGGCAUUAGCUUUAUAGCAGAAUAACCACCUUCACAAGACCACCCAGUCACACUUAGGAACAUCAAAGUGAAGUAGAAUACCAGGGUCAUGCACCCUUUGGGCUAAUGCAUGUUAUAUAACUGGCACAUAGACAACGGACUUGUAUGUGUUUUGACCCCAGCUGUCAUGGCAACUGGUUGGAAUGUAUGUGAAAGGGCAACGUAUAAUAAAAAAGUACUUAUAAUGGCUGGAGGCAGAGAUUCACUGUAAGCGGCUGCUACAAGUGAUAGCCAGAGAAGGGUUUUCAUCUCUACAGUAGAUAUAAGGCAGUAAAUCCUUUUACUUGAGUCAAUCCCCUCCAAAAUUUAAGCAGGAAAACUGUUUUAUGUUGGUGUGACAAAGGAGUAUCUAUUGAAUUAUUGUUUUGUCUGUGAUGUUUCUCUUUUCAGGAGGGAGUCUGAGUUUAUGUGACUCUAAAUUAAGGUUUGGUUCCUGCAUCCUUAAAGUUAAACAAAGGCAACUAAGUCCAUUGGUACAGAGUAAAUUAAAAAUGGUUGUCACCUAAAAAGGGACAUAUUUAUACUCAAUGCAAAAUAUUAAUAUGUGAUAUUAAGCCAAGGCCUUCAGUGUUUCCCCAGUGUAAAAUCACUCUGAGGAAAGGAGUUCUGGCACAUUUCACUCCCUGUGUCACUGUGACGAAGUCCUUAGUUUCUGAGAGGAGUUUAAAUUAUAGACAGCACAAAACUGAAGAUUGAUGUUUAAGUAUACAACCAAAAGGAGGAAAAAAAAAAGUACUUUUCAGCAGUUUCCAUGGAGUAGUUGAGUGAAAGGCAGUCACCCAACUUGCAUUUCUACCACAAGUAGACUGAUAAGAACAUAUUUAAGAGCAUCACUUUAGGAUCAAUAACAUCAUCCUUAAUCAAUAUUUGGUUGAUAGCUGUGUAAUAAUGAAGGUGAUGUUUGUAAUGUGGGCCCAUUGUUAUACAGAUUAAUGUUCAUACAGACAGAGAAGGACUUAAACGCAAAGCUGGAGUUUAACUUUGAACAGAAUAACAGGGUUAAUUUCUGCAGCUAUUUUAGAUUCGUUCUUAGAUCUAAGAUAAAAAUGCUUUUCAGAAAAUGUUCUUUCAGUUGCAUUUUGGUCCGUUUUGCCCUUUGGUGUCGUUGUAAUCAAUAAAAACUCUGGACAACUUAAUCGUGCCGAUUUUGAGCCAAUUAUCAUAGUUUAGUCACCAUUUCUUCAGCCAUACAAAAACAAGCAUGCUUUAAUCUGCAAUAUUUUACAUCCUUAAUACUUUCACCUGUGUAAUCUCUGAAUUCCUUACCUAGGUAGGGUAAUUAAACUCAGAUUACUUCACCAAUGUACCUCUGGGUCAAGGACCAAAACUUUCUUUCUUGCUCAGCUGGCAGUCAGUCUGUUUAAGUCUUCUCUCUGAUACAUACCUGGAAAAAAAAAAAAAAGAAUGAAAAAAAUUAAAAUUAACAUGACAAAGAUGCGCGUGGGCAUAGGAAAAUAUCACAGCUAACAAGUUAGACUAGGAAAUAAGAAAAUAAAAGCACAUCUUUCCAAAAACCCAAGGUGAAAAAUAUACAGUAGGAGGAUAAUCAGCACGCAUUAGUGAGCCUCUCAAAGACACUUGGGUGAAAUAAAAAUAAAAGAUCGGUACUGGAAGCGUUACUUUGUGGUGAUUAUUUGAUAAUUCAAAGCAUCUAUUUGGCCACUGGCCGACAACUGAACAUGCCAGAUUAACUGAGGGAAAAAUUAACGUGCAAUAAUUGAGUCAUUUUGUUGUCUUUUGGCAGAACAUACCCUCAGCACUCGAUGGGGCACAUCAUUACAGCAAUGAAAAGAAAAGGAAAAUCUUGGCACAUCAUUAAGAAUAAAUAAUGUCCCUUGCUUGAACUGUUAUUUACGUAAUUUGGAUUACACAAUAUCAACACUUUGUUUUUGCCGAAGCGUAAGAAAACAUUGUUUAUCAAAAAAGAUGACCCACACUUCAAAGAGAGCUUUAUUUCUACAAAAUGCCUGGUGCCUGAAACCGAUGCUGCAGGCUGGAAAUACCCAGAGGCCUCAGAACUGCAGUGAGUAGAUUACACUGAAGGCUGCACAUUCCCCAUAGAGACAGAACAAUUACAUACACUUACUUCAUAUUCAGAUAUGUAGAGAGUAUAACUAUCUAUUGUUUCAUGAACUCAAUCUGCAUACUUCUCUUUUUAAACAGAGAAAUGCCAAUUACUGCUAAUGGUAACUGGCAGUGUUGUAACAGGGCUCACUCACACUGCCUCUAUUCCUCAUAUUUGAUUUGCCCUUGAAGGUGCAUACUUCAAAGUUACCUUUUUCAGUGCCUUUUUUGGCUAAUGUCUUAUUAUUGUUGUGACCCAAGUUUUGAAGAAUGCGUCCUCCUGCCUUUAUGUACUUAUUUGUUUUAAUUGGGUUUUAUUUACAGUUUUGGGUUGGUUUUUUGUUUUGUGGAGGCACAGCCGAGUCUCAUUAAACUUUAGGUGAAUGGACAUUUAAUCCACGUAGACACAUUACAAGUGUGGCUGUGCCAAAGCAGGGCAGUUAAGAGCUGUAUUUCAGGUGGUACAAGGACACUCUGAGGCCGGUUUUCCUGCCAGAAAAGUUCUAUGAACUCAGACAGUGUAAGAGGACCAGUCAGCAGCACAGCAGCCAGUUUCUCUGUGGCCAAACACCAUAACACCAUAGAUGUAGUGAUGACAUCUUUGCCUUAACCAUAUUUGGACAAACACAAGAAGUCUUUGGGGGAUGGCAAAGUUAUAAAAGAAAGUUUAUAAAGGUGUGUGCCGUGUCCUAUUUCAAGUUUUGAGGGUAACGCACUACAAAGUUAUGGAUAACAGUAACGUCCAGCUUGUCUCUGUAUGCUCUGACAGUCUUUUCUUUCGCAGGAUUCACUUUCUUGGGUGUUUUGCUCUCACCGUGUUGCUAUCUCGCAGCUUCCCUGUCGAAUGUAAACAAAAAAUUGCCUUUAAAGAUGGCGCUGUCCGACACCCCAUGCAUUGCACAAUCAUGUGGUCUUUGAAAGUCCUAUGCAGAGAUCGAGUUGACUGACUUAGAGAUGGAAAUGGAGACGGAGACAGAGGCUGAUGACACAGGGGCUUUUAGGAAGUGGUGAUACUCACAUUACUUUUGUUUUAUUAGUCGAAAGGCCAAAAAUAUUUGUGUAAAAUGCACUCUAUGCUCAGGUGACAAUUAUACAAUAAAACGAUGCGGACUAUGAUCAGUGAUGAUUGGGAUAUGAUGUUUGUCCAUGCAUCCCUACAUGAUAAAUUAAGAAAUGGGAAAGUAAAGUAACAAGCAGUGAAGUAACUACUUACUAGUAACAAAUUACUUUUUAUGACUAACUACCCCAACACUUCCUAUGUCAACCAAGAUAGGGGCAUACGUUUAGCUUCACUUUAUAAGUCUGGGAUCUGCUUGAAUUGGGCCUGUUCCUGGUUGAUCCCUCUUUGUUGUACCAUGGUAGUAUAGCACUUGUGCUGACACAAUUUAAUGGAUGUAAAUAUAGUUUGAUGUAUAAUAUUGGGCUUUUGACCAGAAGAAUUAGAGAACGCUCAGGGAAGAAGUGGACACGAGACUGAGUGUUGCUUUUGAAAUGGUACCAUAUAUUUAAGCAAGCAGAUGACUAAUAACCACAGUGCAAUUAUUUACAGUGACAUACAAGGACAUACAUAACAUGGAAAUGAUAACAGAAGUACAGUGCAAUAAAUCAGUGAAGUCAGACAAUGUAAAUCAGUUCAAUCAGUUAGUCAAACAACACGAUGACCAAAUAAGUAAUGGGCACUUGGCCACCAAUAGUUCCUCACAACACAACAACCCACGUCUGGGUGCAAAGGUGUGAGUCCAGAGGAUUGGGAGGAAAAGGGAAAAUGUUGGGUGGAGUGUGUGUGUGUGUGUCUGGAUUGAUGGGCUGUACAGUGGGGUGAGAGUGUUGCGGCUACAAGGAGCCCCUACCAGCCUGGCAGAGAGAUGUGGGCUUCCUGGGUCUGUAGGUCACUUCCUUUGGCC